rnacentral:lncRNA from 1 species
ACAAAUGUUUUAAGUGUUAUACUCAUGAUCUUAUUAUCCAUCAACUUUGUCUUGCUCACUAUGCUUAAGGUUAGAGAAGAACAAAUACACUUUUGGUUCUGUUGGUGUUUUCCACCAACAGGGCCCAUGCACUUGAUCUCUGCCUUGUCUCUAUGAGCAGGACACUUCAAGCAAAAUAUGAAGGAGUUUCACAACUCCCAGACUCCACCAAGUGAAGAACUUAGAUCUACGAGCAGAAACACACUACGAGCACAACCACUGCCCUGAGAUGCUUGAGGACAUAACUACUGGAGUAACCCGUGGAAGUAAUUACUGACCUUCUGCCGGUCAAGAGAGGCGAUCCAGGACGCACCGUCAUCCCGAUCUCCAUUGGCAUGGUGGACUUCCCAGAAGUACUCUGUGACUUUGGCUCCAGUGUCAACAUUAUGCCCAGGGUACUCUAUGAAAAAUUCUUUACACAUCCUUUCCUAGAAACAACCAUGUGUUUGCAGCUUGCAGAUCAUACACUAAGUUUCCCAAAGGGAAUAUUGAAGAACCUCUACGUCCGAGUUGGUACCUUAUACGCUCCAGCAGACUUCGUGGUGAUAGAGACUGAUAGUGAUGAGAGGGCACCCGUCAUCCUAGGGAGGCCAUUCCUGAACACCUCGGGAGCUGUCAUCCAUGCUAGUGCUGCCAAGAUCAGUGUCUACAUCAAGGGAAGGAAGGAGACGUUACCUUCAAGAAUAAGACUACACAAAUCUCAGAGCAAUCCCGACAUGAAACAAGGAAGAGGACCAACAGGAGGAACAGGAACAAGCAAAUGUGGACCAAGUCAGCAAAGAUGGUCACUGCAGUUUAAGGAGGUCAAGAUCAUCGACUUAAGUCACCGUUCCUAACCAAAAAGGAUGACCCAAGUGUGCCAAGCAUCCAGUGCUCCAUUGAUGGAUACAACUUCCAGAAGAUGCUUUGCGACACCGGGUCAGGUGUCAACAUAAUGGCCGCCAGUCACCUAUCAGCUCCUAUUCGGAACCAUACCCCUAAAACCGACAUACAUUCAGCUUGAGAUGGCAGAUCAGACAUUCUGAAAGGUUAUUGUCAUGGGAGAAGACGAAUUCGAUCCACUCGUCAUCAAUGGGAGACCGUUCCUCAGCACCGUUAAAGCAAUCAUCUACAUUGGAACCGGAGAAAUCCGCAUGAACUUCCCCUCUGAGAAGGUACGCUGCUGUUUUACUGACCCUAACUAUAUAGUUGAAGACUCUAAGCAGGUCAGGACAAGAAGAAGAAGACGCAACCGCAACCAGAGGAGGCAAAUCAUCAAGGACGGAUGGGCAGACUACGAAGGAGAAGUGAUAAGGUCUGAAGACAUACAGUUUGAACAGAACUGUUAUGAGGAGACCGUAGCACCAAUUCAGGUGUGGAGAAAGAAGAUAGUUAUACACGAAGAGCAGACGCCGCCGGAACAACCGACUACGCCAUCCAGCAAAUCCCAGGAUGAUUCAGGAAACGGAGAGUCCCGUUCGGAGGACUUAAAAACACCGAACGCCUUGCCAAGAGGUAAACUUGGUAGUUAUCUUUCUCCUUUCAAUUAUAUAAAAUAGUUUGCUUAGUUAAUCAGGUUCACAUCAUCCUGAAAAGAAAAUAAAAAUGUUAAAAAUAGUAAGCCCCAUGUGAGUAUGCUCAUGGCAUAAAACCCAUAAGUACAUUCACUGUGGUGGCGUAAAAAUAAAAUAAAUAUAUUCCUGUCCUAUAAAAAUGAAAAUAUAAAAAUAAAUUUAUGAUCCUACCAAAGAAAGUAAUAUUUAUUGAGGAGGCUCAACAUGAUAAAGGCUAGAUAUUUAUGCUAACACUUAACUAGUUCCACAAAGCUUUGUUGUCUAUUUGAGCUCCACAGAAUUCAAGGAUCAAAGAAGACUAGCAGACGGAGAACAUCCUAAUCGCUGUCAGGGUGCUACUGACAUUCAAAUAAACCUCCACCACUUGCUAGCUACAUUAGAAGAAACUACGUCAAAAUCCAGCUUGGGAGAGAGCACCCCCAUUUAUCCAGCUAACUAUUCUACUCACGUUUAUACUUUACUCUAAUAAUAAAAAGAUGCAUAAUCAUAGAAACCCAAAUAAAGAUUUUGUGCUUAUAUAUAUCUUUGCUUAGUUUGCUAAAUAAAUAAAUAAAUAAAGUUUGCUAUGAACCCUCAUGAUAAGCUCUCACAUGGAAAUGAUGAAUAGUUGCUCUACCAUGACUAGUUCUUAAAAUUGAAAUCUUUCUCAAGUUUAGGUAUGACUGGUAUUAAUUAAGAUUUGCUCUAAACCUGAACUUUUGGGGAGAGUACUUGAUCUAAAGUCUAAGUCAUUAACGGAUACGAUAUGGGAAGGUUGAGCUGCUGUUUAUCUGUUCCUAGAGAUGCUAGAAUUCUGGAGAAUUUUAUCUUUGAAAAUAUUUCAAAAUGUUGCAUGAUGAGUUCCUGUAUGAUGAGAGUUUAAAUUCCUACCACAGCCAUAUAUACAUGCUUGCUAGACUUUGAGCCACACAUUUACUUUUUACUGCUUAUGAGCAUUGAGUGUGGUCAAGCUGUGUAGACCCUUAGGAGCUUGUCAUGUGGUUAAAUCAAGAUUCACUUGCACGUUCACUCACACAUGCUACUUUUACUCCGGAAGUACCAUCCACAUAUAUCCACCCAUUUCCAUCCCCAGAACCACCCAAAAAUAUUCUACUCCUAAUCCAGGAGAGAAUAGCCAAAAACAUUUAUGUUUUCCCCUGUGAAAUAAAUGCUCAAGUUAUCUUGGUUACUACCACUUGCUAUAUUAUUUCAGGAGAUGAGUGCUCUAAAAAAAAGAAGAAAAAAAAGGAAAAAAAAGAAAGAAAAAAAGAAACAAUGCGAGGAAAUAAAAAGGGGCAAGUGCCCGGAACCUCGAAAGAAAGAAAAAGUGAGACGAGAGGUAAAAAUGGACAAGUGUCCGACAAUAGAAUUAGGGGUACAAGAUACCCACGUGAGAGAAAAAGAAAAUAUAGAGCAUCUCAUUCUCCCCAAAAGUUUCAAAAGAGCAAGGAAGGUAUGUAUCCCCUCAAAAGAGCAAAAGUAGAAUUAGACUUUCACCAUUGUUAUCACCAUCAUUACCAUGCAUCAUUCAUUCGCCACACAUGCACAUCUUGAUUUGACUUAUUGACUUGUUUCUCUGGAUCCAUGGUUUGACUAUGCAAUAAAUGUCUUGUAAGUAUGUAUUAGCUGUCUCCCACCAAUGAGCUCCAGAUAUCAAAGCCUUAUCAGAGAUGAGCGUCGACCAGACACCCACACAAGCUCCAUCAUCUUCAUCAGGUCAGCAAGUUAAGGUCCUUCUCAAGAUAGGAGACCUUAGACUGAAGACCCGAAGAGAGAAGGAAGUCUAUCAGCAAUUGAAGAACAAAGAUUUCAUUCACUCCCCUACUCUCGAUCCAAUCCUACUACAAGAAACAGGUAUGGACACUGAAUUUGACUUAAUUUUUCAGAUGAUAGGUUGGACAAAUUUUUGGAACAUAAUUGAGCUGGGUUCUCAUCUUCUCACCCUCGAAUUUCUUUGCACCUUACAAUAUUAUGAAGGAGGAAUUGUUUUUCGGAUGUUCAAACAGGAGAUUAUGUUGUCUUGGAGAGAGCUGAGCGACCAUCUUGGUUUCUUUUCAAGAUGCAUCCUGAAUAUUGACUCCGAUUUACCCAAUUUUGAGAGACACCAGUUUUGGAGAGAAAUAUCUAGAGAUAAUUUUUAUAGUCAAGCCCGAACCAGUGACAUGGAACACCCCACUCUUAGGAUGUUCCACAAAUGGCUUGGGUAGAAUCUUUUCUAUCGUGAUGAUAUUAGGAAAGUAAGAGUAGGAGAUUUACAACUUUUAUAUGCUGCUAUUUGUAAAGUACCCACUUCACCUGUUACACUAUUAGUUUCUCAUUGGCUUAGUAUACCUAGUCUUCAGGGACCAGUAGGAUGUACUUCACUUAUCACUCGUCUAGCCUCUAACCUUCAUUUACUAGAAAACUCAUCGUUGGACUUCAUAGAUGAGUGAAGAAUUUAUCAUGGCUAUGACACAUUUAGACAGGCUCGGAUGUUAAAGAAAGAGGUGAAUAUGAUAUAUAUGCUAUAUGAUGAUAGAGGCAAGAUUCGGUUACCUAACCCGAACCUUGGCCUAUACGUUGUUCAAAAUUUUUUGAUUGAGAUUGCAGCAACACCAGUGAACCAGAGAGCUCCACAGCGAGUGGCAUCUGAAAGGAUGACCACCUAUCGAGAACGCACCUGGUAUGGAGCUGACCCUGGACCAGAAGAAGCAGCGCACAAGCAUUAUUGCGAUUACAACCCUCGAGUCCUUCGAGACCCAUGGGUUCGUCAUGCGCAACCACAAGAGCCAACAGAGGAGACAUGGCCGGAGAGCCAAGAUCACCAGUGGACAGACCUGCCUUUUCAUAUGGGCAGGUACUCCACUGAUCCAUAUGGAGCUUCAGGAUCCAGACCUCCGCCCCAAUUUGAUGCAGGACGAUACUCCGACGCCUCCUACGCUUUCACGAAUGACUACUAUCAAGAGGCCGAUGCUUUCUUCACUCGUACCGACAACUCUCUCCUCAACAUCCAGAACACGCAAGCAGAACAUGGAAGACUCCUAGAAGAACAACAAAAAUGGAACCAGGACCAUGCUGCUGCAGUACAAGAGCUGAGACAAGAUACAACAACAAUGAAUGACAACAUCACAACUAUGAUGCGGUUCUGGAACAUCGGGUAAGACCGACGUCAACAUCCAGCUUGGGGGAGUUCCUCCCCAAUUUAUCAAGUAAGUUUCUAUUUGCUCUUCUUAUUUAUUGUUUUCUAUUUUAUCUUAAGGAGAAAAAACUUAGAAAACCAAAUAAAUAGUUUCUUGCUUUAAUUUACUGCAUUUUAUAAACAUGAAAACAAAAUAAAAAGAGUGUGUAGAUAAGUGUGCUUUAUUUUAUCUGUUAAGUGCAAAUCUCUAGAAAAAAAAUGUAUUAUGGAAAUAAUGAACAGUUGCUCUGUUUGCUUACUUUUAAGUACCUAGAUUUUAUAUUAGAGUUCUUCCAGGAAUUACUAAAACUAAAAUUACCAUCUUUGGGAAGCAUAAAAUUAAAGUCUAGGUAAGCGAAAGGCAUGAUAUAAAGUUGAGCUACUGUUUAUCUUGUUCCAACUACACUAAGUUCUGGAGAUUUAUUUUGGAAACUUGCAAAUCACAUGAUGAGUUCCAAGCAUACAAAACUACCUACCACAGCCAUACUUGCUAUAACAUCUUUUACUAUAUUUACAUUGAGUUUGAUCGAGCUGUGUUGACCCUUAGGAGCUUUUCAUGUGGUUAAAUUAAGAUAUUCACUUGCACACAUCUACUACACCAUCCAUCACCAAUCAUUAAAAUUGCUAAAAAUAUUAUCAUUCACUGUCCCGAACAUUGUUAUUCUCUCUCUCUAAAAAGAUUCAAUGCAGAAGAGGCAUGGGUUAUGCAAAAAUAUGCAAGGAAAAAAAAGGGGGAAGUGCCCGGAACCUCGAAAAAGAAAGAAAAAGAGUGAGACGAGAGGAAAAAAUGGACAAGUGUCCGAAGUAGAAUUAGGGGUACAAAGAUGCCCACUUGAGCGGAAAAAAUGGACAAGUGUCCGACAGUAGAAUUAGGGGUAUCUACUACCCACCUGAAAAAAGAGAUAGCCCAUGUUCUCCCAAAGCAAAGAUCAAAGAAGAGGAGAGAUAGCAAUAUGAGGAGCAAUGAGAAGUAAGUUUCAUUAUCACUUAUACAUUUUUUAUCAUCACUAUCAUUUACUCCACCACACAUGCACAUCUUGAUUUAAUUAUAUGCUGAGUUCCUUUUGGAUCCAUAGCUCGAUUAGACAACAUAUGUAUAAGCUGUUUUUUCGCUCCUAUAAGCUCCACUUAAAUAUUCCAUUAGCCAUAAGUAAGUGACAUUAUGGUAAGGAUCCACAAAUACCACAUAUAGAGAGACUUGAGAGAAUCAUUGCUGGGAACUCUGAGUUUUAUUUUAAAAACUUAUGAAAAACUCUAGAACAAAGGUGAAGUAUAGACAGGAGGAAUAGUGCUUGACUUAACUAUUUUGUCUUUCGAUUACUUAAGAUUUAAGUGCAGGUAUGAAAGGUCCAAAUGGCUAGAGGGGGGGUGAAUAGCCUAUUUAAAAUUUCUACAAACUUCACUAAGCAAGAGAGUUAGUAAAACAAAUGGCGAAGCAAAUCUAGCACUAGCUCAACUAAGCUAUGCAAGCCACCUAUACAAAAAAGUACAAGGCUAAACACUAAAGCACAACAACAAGAGAAGGCUAGUUACACUCCUAAACAAGAAAACUAAACUAAACAAGCUAAGCAACUAGCAAGGUAAACAAGUAAGGAGUGGAGAGUGAUUGUUAUACCAACGUUGUAGAGUGGAGAUAUAUCCAACCAAUCACUCACAAUCACAAGAGAAACCUCGGCAAGAGAUGACACAAGAUUUUUUACCGAGGUUCACUUGCUUCCCGGCAAGCUACUCCUCGUUGUGGCGAUACACCCACUUGAUGGAUCACGAGCUAAUUGGCAAUCCAAAGCCAAACCCUCAGCGGGUGCCGCACAUCCACUCACAAGAUGGGGAUCCUCCAAGCCACGAGCAAUCUACUAGAGUAGCCAAUUGCGAUCUCCCGCGGGGAAGGCUCAAGAACCCCUCACAAAUCACUUGGCGAGGCUCGAAACAAUCUCCAAUUACGAGCUCAACACCACCGCUGCUCCAAGCCAUCUAGGGCGUCGGGAAACACCCAAGAGUAACAAGAAAUCCGCAGCAAACUCAAGAAUCAAGUGCCACUAAAUGCAACUCUCAAAGCAAUGCACUUGAAUCUCACUCAAUCUCACUAGAAUUAGCAAUCAAGCAAGGAGAUGAGGGGAGUGUUCUCUAGCUCAAAGUAUGUCUCAAGUAAUCAAAUGUGCAAGAGAGAACCCCCAAAAGCCGGCCACCAACUAUUUAUAUGCCCCUCAAAGAAACUAGCCGUUGGCUGUUUUCACUGGGCUGAAAACGGGGGCACUGGACGCUACUAAGUGAGCACCGGACGCUCGACUCCCUGCGUCCGGUGCAUUGGAGUUGGCCACGUGUCGAACUUGAAUCUUGCGCGUCAGUUUCUAACGGCUACCUGCAACACACCGGACGCUCUGCAAGUCCACACCGGACGGUCCGGUGCUCACCGGACUCGUGCGCAGAGAGGGUGUCAAACUCGCGACCUCACCGGACGCUAGGCACUGGACGGUCCGGUGCUCACCGGACUCGUGCGCAGAGAGGGUUACAAAAACCCCUCACACCGGACGCUAACCACCGGACGCUCUCAAAGUGCGUCCGGUGCUUAACCCUAGCAGGGUCAAGCACACCGGACGCUGAGGCCAGCGUCCGGUGCCUCUGCACUCAGCGUCCGGUGAGUGUUUCUUAGAGAGGAAACACUCCCGCGACUUCUCCAAAUUACCACAGGCGCAAUAGAAAAUAUACACUUAUUUUUCUCAAAAGCGCCGAAUCCUGCCUCGCAAGCUCGGCGGGAGGGAGAGAGGAACCCACACCCCUCUCAACCCUAGGAACUCCACCUCCUUUGCAAAAGUGCUAACACCAACAAGUGUCCACCACCAAAGUGCAAGUGUGUUAGCUUUUCACAAACUUUUUCACCAAAGGAGUUAAGUUAGCACUUUACUAGAUCCUAAUGCAUAUGCUCAAGAUGUAGACCUAGUAGCACUUGAUACGAGAGAUGACCGUGAUUUCCCCUCUUGAUAGUCGGCUAUCUAUCCUAAACCCGGUCAAUCACUUCUCUACUCAUCUUAGACCGGCAAAAGUAAAACCCUAUGUUUAUACCUUUGCCUUGAUAACUUUGCUCCUCGUCUAUCACCAUGAUCUUCACUUCAUGCUUCAUCCCUUUGUGAUCAUGUGGCCACCUUUCCAUGCCAUCAUGCACUUUCAUCACAUGUGUUGCUAUGCCUAACUCAAAUCACUUAAACACAAGGCAUUAGCAACUAGGUGUCAUUAAUUACCAAAACCAAACUUGGGCUUUCAAUCUCCCCCUUUUUGGUAAAUGAUGACAACCAUCACAAAGAUAUGAAAUGAAAUCAUAAUGAACUUGAAUUGCUUGUCCAAAGCAUUUUAAUCAUGAGACAAGGUUGGACAAACAUUUCAAUUUCGGUUUUGGUAGUACUAGCUCCCCCUACAUAUGUGCUUCCAUGAGUUUGGUUCAAGUUUGCACAUAUGCAUAAAUUAGAGUUUUGGGAGAUUUAUUACUACCAAAAUGAUGCUAAGGUAUAUAGAAUGGACCUUUGAAGCAUGAUACCAAUCGGAGUUGCCAAUAUACCAUCCUUAGCACCAAUGUAGCUAGACAUACAUCAAAAACUCAAUAUACCUCGUGAGAUCACAUUAUAUGUCUAGAUACCACAUGAAAAAAAAACUCUAUGCUAGAAUUCAAAGCAUCAUUCAAGUUCUAUUUCUAGCAAGCACCAAUCAAACAAGAGUCGUGAAUUUAAACUUGCAAUGCAACAACUCAUUAUGUUAGUGCACAUACAAAUGCAACAAAUGGUUCAUGAGCUUGCUCUCCCUAUUUGUGUGCUCAAGUUUAAAGGUGUUUUCUCUCCCUAUCUUUGUUUCUCUUCCCCUUUUUGACUUUAUCUUGACUUUAUCUUUGUUUCUCUCCCCCUUUGUCAUCAAUGACCACAAAGGUUCAAAAACUAGUGAGAAUUAAGUCAAUCAAUGUGAGGGUCAAAUUAUGGUUCAAUCUAGAUCACUUGCCUCAAACAUGUAAUUCGGUUUGAUCCAAGGACAAGCUUUUUCACACCUCAUAAAGUAAAAGGGUUAUCUUGACCAUGUUGAAAUACACAUCAUAAGCUCAUAUUCUAGAUUCAACGCUAGGCUUGCAAGCUCACAAACAUAUCAUAUGCUACCACUAGAUCAAAUAACCAUAGAAACAAUAGUGGUACCAUACAUACAUCAAAUCCUUUUGAUUUUCAUGAAUGAGCCUAUUGUCAUGCAAACAUGUCUAUAUGUUCUAAUCAUGUCCUUAGCAAAGUAUGAAUGAUAUGUCAACCAACUUUACCUCGCUUUGUUGGAGGAGAGGCAUAUCAUAUAUAAGUGUGGGGGUGCACUCAUCUCAAGUUGGAGAAGUCAAGUAUGUUCAACUCAUUCCUCAAUUUGCAAAAUCUCUUCUCAUCAAGUGGCUUUGUGAAGAUGUCGGCUAGUUGAUCUUCGGUGCCAAUGCUUUCAAUGCUAAUAUCACCCUUUUGUUGAUGGUCUCUUAUGAAAUGGUGCCUUAUAUCAAUGUGCUUGGUUCUUGAAUGUUGAACCGGAUUUUGUGUCAUCUUGACUGCACUUUCAUUGUCACAUAGCAAAGGCACAUUCUUGAAUUUGAUUCCAAAGUCAUUCAAGGUAGCUUUCAUCCAAAGCAAUUGUGCACAACAACUACCGGCACUAAUGUAUUCGGCCUCGGCGGUUGAUAGUGCAACACUAUUUUGUUUCUUUGAUGACCAUGAAACUAGAGACCUUCCUAGCAAUUGACAAGUGCCACUUGUGCUCAUUCUAUCAAUCUUGCAUCCACCAUAGUCGGAGUCCGAAUAUCCAAUCAACUCAAAGUUAGACCCCUUGGGAUACCAUAAUCCAACAUCAUGAGUGCCCUUGAGAUACCUUAAUAUUCUUUUGGUUGCCUUCAAGUGACUUUCUCUAGGUGAAGCUUGGUAUCUUGCACAUUUGCACACACUAAACAUUACAUCCGGCCUUGAUGCGGUGACAUAGAGCAAACUUCCAAUCAUGGACCGGUAUAGCUUUUGAUCUACCAUGUUGCCACUUGUGUCACUACCUAAUUGAUCAUUUGUGCCCAUAGGUGUGCUCAUUGGUUUGGCUUCUUGCAACCCAAACUUCUUGAUCAUAUCCUUGAUGUACUUUCCUUGACUUACAAAAGUGCCAUUCUUCAUUUGCUUGAUUUGAAGACCAAGGAAGUAACUAAGCUCUCCAAUCAUGGACAUCUCAAACUCAUUAGCCAUCAUUCUUCCAAACUCUUCACAAAAGUCUUGAUUGGUUGAUCCAAAAAUGAUAUCAUCAACAUAGAUUUGCAACACAAACAAGUCAUUGCCUAGCUUCUUGGUGAAGAGAGUAGUGUCAACCUUUCCCAUCUUGAACCCUUUAGAGAGAAGGAAAUCUCUCAAUCUCUCAUACCAUGCUCUAGGUGCUUGCUUCAAACCAUACAAUGCCUUCUUGAGCUUGUAAACAUGGUUGGGUUUCUUGUCAUCUUCAAAACCGGGAGGUUGUUCAACAUAAACCAACUCAUUGAUGUAUCCAUUGAGAAAUGCACUCUUCACAUCCAUUUGAUAGAGCUUGAUGUUGUGGGCACAAGCAUAGGCUAAUAAUAUUCUAAUUGCCUCCAAUCUUGCAACCGGUGCAUAUGUUUCUCCAAAGUCAAGACCUUCUACUUGAGUGUAGCCUUGUGCUACUAAUCUUGCUUUGUUUCUCACAACCACACCAUCUUGAUCUUGCUUGUUUCUAAAGACCCACUUGGUACCAAUCACAUUGUAGUUCUUUGGCCUCUCAACAAGCUCCCACACUUGGUUUCUUGUGAAGUUGUUCAAUUCUUCAUGCAUGGCAUUUACCAAAUCUGAAUCUCUCAAUGCAUCUUCUAUCUUCUUUGGUUCCUCAAAUGAGACAAAUGAGUAGUGCUCACAAAAGGAUGCUAGUCUUGAUCUUGUUUGAACACCACUUUGAAUACCACCAAUGACUUGAUCUAAUGGAUGAUCUCUUGCUAUGCUUGUAGGUUGGAGUAUUGAGAGUUGAUUGCUUCCACUAGCUUGAUUUUGAUUUUGAUCAUCAUCAUGAGAGCCACUAGUACUUGCUUGAUUUGUAUCAAUUUGUACUUCUUGAUUGAUCAUGUGAAUAUCACUAUCAUCAUCAACUUGCCUUGGCCUUAUAUCACCAACAUCCAUGUUCUUCAUUGCAUUUGCCAAUUGAUCUCCUCUCACAUCAUCAAGAUUUUGAGCUUCAUUUUGAGAUCCCUCGGUUUCAUCAAACUCAACAUCAUGGACUUCUUCCAAUGUGCCACUUGCCAAGUUCCAAACUCUAUAUGCCUUGCUUGUGGUGGAAUAACCAAGUAGGAACCCUUCAUCACAUUUCUUUUCAAACUUGCUCAAUCUAGUGCCUUUCUUGAGAAUGUAGCAUUUGCAACCAAACACUCUAAAGUAUGCAAUGUUGGGCUUUCUUCCAUUCAAUAGCUCAUAUGGUGUCUUCCCAAGCUUCCCAUGGCAAUAGAGACGGUUGCUACAAUAGCAAGCCGUGUUGAUAGCUUCACUCCAAAAUGAAUGGCUAACAUUGUAUUCACUAAGCAUUGAUCUUGCCAUAUCAAUCAAGGUUCUAUUUUUCCUUUCAACUACACCAUUGGAUUGAGGAGUGUAUGUUGGAGAGAAUUGAUGUCCAAUGCCAAGAUCAUCACACAAUUCCUCGAUUCUUGUGUUCUUGAAUUCACUACCAUUGACACUUCUAAUCUUCUUGAUAGUGGUUUCAAACUCAUUUUGCACCCUCUUGACAAAAGACUUGAAUAGAUCACAAACAUCACUCUUGUCAUAGAGAAAGAACACCCAAGUGUAUCUAGUGUAGUCAUCUACUAUCACAAAUCCAUACUUGUUGCCACCAAUGCUAGUGUAUGUUGUUGGCCCAAAUAAAUCCAUGUGCAAUAGCUCAAAUGCCUUUGACGUGCUCAUUUCACUUUUCUUAGGAUGUGCCUUUCCAACUUGCUUUCCGGCUUGACAAGCACUACAUGGUUUAUCCUUCUCAAAGGUGACAUCCUGCAAGCCUCUAACUAAGUCAUGCCUCAAUAGUUUGUUCAAUUGUUUCAUUCCAACAUGACCAAGCCUUCUAUGCCACAACCAACCCAAACUUGAUUUGCUAAUUAGGCAUGACGUCAAUUGAGUGUCACUAUCAUUGAAAUCAACCAAGUAUAAGCUACCAUGCCUAAAUCCUUUGAAUAUCAAGUUUGAUCCAUCAACACUAACAACCUCAACAUCAUCACUUCCAAAGAUGCACUUGAAACCAAGGUCACAAAGUUGUGCAAUUGACAAGAGAUUGAAAUCAAGGCUUUCAACUAGCAACACAUUUGAUAUGCUCAUGUCAUUUGAGAUAGCAAUUUUACCAAGCCCUUUGACCUUGCCUUUCUUGUUGUUGCCGAAAGUGAUAGAAUCAAAGCCACCAUUUUGACUAGUAUCAAUUGAUUUGAACAUACAAGACUCCCCGGUCAUAUGUUGAGUACACCCACUAUCAAGCACCCAAUGCCUUCCUCCGGCUUUGUAAUUGACCUACAAGACAAGAUCAAUUCUUUUUAGGUACCCAAACUUGAUUGGGUCCUCCAAGGUUAGCAACUAAGCUCUUUGGUACCCAAAUGGCUUUCUUCUUUGAGCCCAUCCAUGGUGCACCAAUGAACUUAGCAUGAACACCUUUUGUAUCCUUGGUAAGCACAUAGAAAGAAUUUAGCUUAAUUGAGGAUACAUGAGCUUUGGGUUUCUUGUUCAUGCAUUGUUGCUCUAGGUGACCAACUUGCUUGCAAGCUUUGCAAUACCGACCAUUGUUCUUCACAAAACUAGUCUUGUGAGGAGCAAAGGCGGCCUUGCCUUUCUUGGGGUUAUAGCCCAAUCCCUCUUUAUAGAGAGAAGCUCUUUGGCUACCCAAGCACAUAAGCAAGCGGUCCUCACCACCAUAAGCCUUGGCUAAGGUGUGAUUGAGCUCUUUCACCUCCUUCUUGAGAAUUUCAUUCUCAACUUUUAGUGUGGUGUCACAAGUGAAACCAUCACUACUAGAUGAGGAUGAUGUAGAUGUGCUACAUGAAGGGUUAGUAGAAGCAAAAACAAUAGGCUUACUCAAGAUAUCACAUGUUAUGCCUAUGUUGCAAGUUUGAGCUUUUUCAAUUUUAGUAGGCUCAUUUUUACACUUGUUAACUAGAGAGGAAUGAGCUUCUUCAAGCUUAGUGUGAGCCUUUUUAAGCUUCUUAUGGUCUUCCUUUAGACUCUCAUAAGAUGCCCUAAGCUCAUUAAGUUCUUGCUCAAGGGUUUUCUUAUCCUUAAGCAAGGCCUUGCACUCCUUUCUAUUUUCUUUAUAGUGAUAAGUGCAAUCUUCUAGCAUAGUGAUUAGUUCAUGUUUAGUUGGUUCAUCAUCAUCACUAUCACUAUCACUAGCAUGGUCACUCUGAUCAUCGAAUGAUACCUUAGUGGCCUUAGCCAUGAAGCAUGAUGGAGUGUUGAAGAUGGAGUUUUUUCCUUGAAUGGCAAUGCUAGCAUGCGCCUUCUUCUUGGUGCUCUCAUCAUCACUUGAGGAUUCAUCACUAUCCCAAGUUGCAACAUGGGCAUCACCCUUCUUCUUGUUUGAGCCUUCCUUCUUUUCUUGCUUCUUCUUUUGCUUCUUUCUUUCCUUCUUGAUAGCAUCUUCAUCAUCACUAUCAUAAGGACACUUGGCGAUGAGAUGAUCCUUGCUAUGGCAUCUAAAGCACCUCAUGGAGUGGUCAUUCUUCUUGGAGGAGCUCUUCUUCCUUCUUGCCCGAUAGCCCUUCUUCUUCAUAAACUUGCCAAAUCUCUUGACAAGAAGAGCCAUCUCCUCAUCUUCAUCACUAUCACAAGAGCUUGCUUCUUCUUCACUUGAAGAUUCUUGCUUGGCUUUGCCCUUGGAUGUGGAGGCCUUGAAUGCCACACUUUUCUUCUUUUCAUCAUCUUUCUUCUCACCAUCCUUCUUCUUCUUCUUGAUCAACUCAUCCUUUUCAUCAUCUUCUCUAUAAGCAUCAUCGGUCAUCACUUCUUGAAACACUUGUUGGGGAGUUGAUUCACUAAGUGUUGUCUUGACUAGCACGGUGAUCAAUGUGUCAAAUCUCUUGGGCAAGCUUCUCAAGAACUUCAUAGAGAAUUGACUAUGCUUCACUUCUUCCCCAAGUGCCUUCAGCUCAUUCACAAUGACUUGCAACCGGUGAAACAUCUCUGGCACACUUUCAUCUUCUUGCAUCUUGAAGCUAGAGAAGUUCUCUUGGAGAAUGUAAGCUUCGGCGGUCUUGGUACCUUUGGUGCCUUCGAAUGUUUCUUCUAAUUUUGCCCAUGCAUCAUGAGCAACCUCAAUGUUCUUGAUUUGCUCAAAGGUCUUGUCAUCAAGAGCUUCAUGAAGAGCACUAAUUGCAAUGUCAUUGCAUUGAAGCUUCUUUUCUUCAACUGGUGUAGGUGCAUUCUCAUUUGCAACCUCAAACUUUGUUUCGAUCACCUUCCAAACUUCUCUAUUGAUUGACUUGAGAUGGGCGGUCAUCUUGACCUUCCAAUAAGCAUAAUUGGUGCCAUCAAAGUAAGGUGCCUUCUUAGUGUUGUUGAUAUGCAAACUAAGAGCCAUUUCUUCACCGUAGGUUGUUAAGACUCAAAUAAACGGUGCCUCGGCUCUGAUACCACUUGAAAGGUAGACAACAUAUGUAUAAGCUGUUUUUUCGCUCCUAUAAGCUCCACUUAAAUAUUCCAUUAGCCAUAAGUAAGUGACAUUAUGGUAAGGAUCCACAAAUACCACAUAUAGAGAGACUUGAGAGAAUCAUUGCUGGGAACUCUGAGUUUUAUUUUAAAAACUUAUGAAAAACUCUAGAACAAAGGUGAAGUAUAGACAGGAGGAAUAGUGCUUGACUUAACUAUUUUGUCUUUCGAUUACUUAAGAUUUAAGUGCAGGUAUGAAAGGUCCAAAUGGCUAGAGGGGGGGUGAAUAGCCUAUUUAAAAUUUCUACAAACUUCACUAAGCAAGAGAGUUAGUAAAACAAAUGGCGAAGCAAAUCUAGCACUAGCUCAACUAAGCUAUGCAAGCCACCUAUACAAAAAAGUACAAGGCUAAACACUAAAGCACAACAACAAGAGAAGGCUAGUUACACUCCUAAACAAGAAAACUAAACUAAACAAGCUAAGCAACUAGCAAGGUAAACAAGUAAGUAAGGAGUGGAGAGUGAUUGUUAUACCAACGUUGUAGAGUGGAGAUAUAUCCAACCAAUCACUCACAAUCACAAGAGAAACCUCGGCAAGAGAUGACACAAGAUUUUUUAUCGAGGUUCACUUGCUUCCCGGCAAGCUACUCCUCGUUGUGGCGAUACACCCACUUGAUGGAUCACGAGCUAAUUGGCAAUCCAAAGCCAAACCCUUAGCGGGUGCCGCACAUCCACUCACAAGAUGGGGAUCCUCCAAGCCACGAGCAAUCUACUAGAGUAGCCAAUUGCGAUCUCCCGCGGGGAAGGCUCAAGAACCCCUCACAAAUCACUUGGCGAGGCUCGAAACAAUCUCCAAUUACGAGCUCAACACCACCGCUGCUCCAAGCCGUCUAGGGCGUCGGGAAACACCCAAGAGUAACAAGAAAUCCGCAGCAAACUCAAGAAUCAAGUGCCACUAAAUGCAACUCUCAAAGCAAUGCACUUGAAUCUCACUCAAUCUCACUAGAAUUAGCAAUCAAGCAAGGAGAUGAGGGGAGUGUUCUCUAGCUCAAAGUAUGUCUCAAGUAAUCAAAUGUGCAAGAGAGAACCCCCAAAAGCCGGCCACCAACUAUUUAUAUGCCCCUCAAAGAAACUAGCCGUUGGCUGUUUUCACUGGGCUGAAAACGGGGGCACUGGACGCUACUAAGUGAGCACCGGACGCUCGACUCCCUGCGUCCGGUGCACUGGAGUUGGCCACGUGUCGAACUUGAAUCUUGCGCGUCAGUUUCUAACGGCUACCUGCAACACACCGGACGCUCUGCAAGUCCACACCGGACGGUCCGGUGCUCACCGGACUCGUGCGCAGAGAGGGUGUCAAACUCGCGACCUCACCGGACGCUAGGCACCGGACGGUCCGGUGCUCACCGGACUCGUGCGCAGAGAGGGUUACAAAAACCCCUGACACCGGACGCUAACCACCGGACGCUCUCAGAGUGCGUCCGAUGCUUAACCCUAGCAGGGUCAAGCACACCGGACGCUGAGGCCAGCGUCCGGUGCCUCUGCACUCAGCGUCCGGUGAGUGUUUCUUAGAGAUGAAACACUCCCGCGACUUCUCCAAAUUACCACAGGCGCAAUAGAAAAUAUACACUUAUUUUUCUCGAAAGCGCCGAAUCCUGCCUCGCAAGCUCGGCGGGAGGGAGAGAGGAACCCACACCCCUCUCAACCCUAGGAACUCCACCUCCUUUGCAAAAGUGCUAACACCAACAAGUGUCCACCACCAAAGUGCAAGUGUGUUAGCUUUUCACAAACUUUUUCACCAAAGGAGUUAAGUUAGCACUUUACUAGAUCCUAAUGCAUAUGCUCAAGAUGUAGACCUAGUAGCACUUGAUACGAGAGAUGACCGUGAUUUCCCCUCUUGAUAGUCGGCUAUCUAUCCUAAACCCGGUCAAUCACUUCUCUACUCAUCUUAGACCGGCAAAAGUAAAACCCUAUGUUUAUACCUUUGCCUUGAUAACUUUGCUCCUCGUCUAUCACCAUGAUCUUCACUUCAUGCUUCAUCCCUUUGUGAUCAUGUGGCCACCUUUCCAUGCCAUCAUGCACUUUCAUCACAUGUGUUGCUAUGCCUAACUCAAAUCACUUAAACACAAGGCAUUAGCAACUAGGUGUCAUUAAUUACCAAAACCAAACUUGGGCUUUCAAGGUACUAAACUCCAUAACACUUCACUCUAAUCUGGAAGAAUUUUAUGUAAAAGCAUGUGUGCCUAUCAGGAAAGAAAACAUCGAAGCAACUCCUGAUCCGUCUGAGUUUAGCUAGUUGCUUAGGGACGAGCAAAGGGUAAGCUUGGGGGAGUUUGUUGACGGUCCUUAAGUACUAAAAUUAAUAAUCAAAUAAACAUGAAAAAGGAUCAAUAUGAAACAAACAUCUAGAAUUAGGGUUUUAUCUGACAGAAUUCCACGAGCUUUGGUGUUUAUCUAUUUCUGCAGGGGGUUAUUAGAGAAUACGGAGAGAAGGCCCACAUGUCAUGUUUACAACGAGAUAAUUACGUGCCGCGCAAUUUUCCUCAAUCUAGAAGGGUCCAGAAGCCACGGGAACGAACGAGAGCACGAUCGGGCUCGGGGGCAGGGCGGCCGCCCACCCCCCUUGGGCGCCCGCCCAGGGUUGGAACCCAAUCGGGACUCUGCUUCGGGACUACGCUCCACCGGCCUAAAGGAUCAAUCUAAACCAUACAAUCUAUGUCAGUUUGAUCCAAUGGCUCACGUUCACUUGAGGGGACUAUAUAACCAAGGCCAAACCCCCCUGGAGGGAGGAGAAGAGAAGAAAUAAUUAUUCAGAGGUAGCCAUCAAAGUUAGGGUUUAGAGCUUCUCUCCCACAGAGAAUUAGAAUUAGCUACUCCCUAAUCCUUCAAGUUUAGAGGUUUGAUUAGAUAGCAAUUAGAGAAAUAGAGCACUAUGCUCUGGAUUCGGAUCUUCGGUAAUAAAGAUUGGUAUUAUUCAUAUCUUUCUCUAAUUCUUUGUUCUAAUUACAUUAUGUCUCUAAUUAUUAUGUUCUUAGUUUGUUCUAGUUCUAUAUUUGAUAUAGUUCUAAUUGAUAAUGAGUUUAUGUGUAAGUUUGCAAAGCGCUUAGCUCUUGACGCGAGAGAGUUAGGUGAUAGAUCACAUGUGAGCGUGGUGCUUAGAUGUUAUUUAUCUGCAAAUGUAUCCUAUUGGCCGGGUCGUGUGGUAGUUCACGAUAGUGACAGCUUCGUUGAUUCUUAUAUAGUCGACCCUCCGUUGAUAGGACAGGCAGAACCGGUAUUGUGGAGUAAGUCAUGCGAUGCUCUGAUUUACUUUAUCAAUGUUCCUUAUACAUGAAUGAAGAGUCUUUUAUGCUAUAUAUGAUCUUGUAGAUAACUAGAGUAGAUUAUGACUUAGUAGUUAGUAGAUAACUUAGAAUCCAUUCUCUAGCUAAUCCGACAUCACCCAUAUAUAUGAGGAGUAGUCUAUUUUCUAAUCGCUGUGUUAUCUACCCAUGAACUUAUACUUUAUUAUCAUUAUCUGUAUGGUUUACCCCCUGCUAAAGUAAGUGACUGUGUGACGAGUUUCUCAUUAGUAAUCAUGUUCUUGCAAGUUUAUCUCUAGUCUAUGCCUUGAUAGAUUUUGCCCUUAAUUUAAUCUCCUUAGUUCUCUCGAGCGAAAUUAUAAAUAACGAUACCUGGAAUACUUAUCCUGGUGAAAUGCUACAAUGAGGUGUUUUAUCUGUGUGCUUGCAGAUAGAAUAGAUUAUUUUCUAUAGAGCCUUUACAUUUAUAAAUACCUUUGUACACUCUGGCACCAUGCUGGGGAUGACAACCUAGUAUCUAAGUGGUGUUAGCUAGUGUCAACAGAGGUGCAUUCCUUUCUCUCACCAUUAAUGAAGCUACUGCCCUCAUCGAGAAGAUGGUGGCAAAUCAAAGCUGGGGAGAAGGAAGGAAGACACAAAAGGGCUCGCAAUCUACGAAGGAGGCAGAUGUGCUUGCCGCAAAAAUAGACUUGCUGCUACAAAGGAUGGACGGACAAGUUGCAAAUCCCAACAUGGGCACCGUCCAAGCUGUGAACUCACACACAUCGUGUGAAGUUUGUGGUGAUGAUGGCCAUUCGGGGAACAAUUGCCCCGAAACCCAAGAAGAAGCAACAUAUGUCAACAAUGGGCUUCGACCACCACAGCAAGGUAACAACGGGUGGAACAAUCAGCACUGCCCGCAGGGUAAUUUCUUCAAGCAGCCUUCCUUGAAAGAUCUGGUCAUAGGGCAAGCUAAAAUCAACGAGAAUCUGACCAAGAAGUUGUCCUACAAUGACAAGAUCAUUAAGAACAUCAACGCCAAGCUUGAAACUCUUUGUUCAUCUGUCAAAAGUCAGACGAGUUUCAACAAGAUGAUAGAAACACAGAUAGCAUAGAUAGCUGCAUCAAUUCCAGUCACUCACACAGAGAGGAUCCCAGGGCAACCGGAAACCUCUACUGAGUUCGUCCAUGCAGCCACAGGAAAAUGAAGGAAGGAAAGUCUUACCAACAGACUAUAAAUGUUGAGCCCUUGCCGAAGGCAUUCGGUAGUUAUCUAAAAAAACUAUAUAAUAAAAAUUAAAUUUUGUGCUAUUUGUGUCCCAAUAAAGGUAUCUGAAGGGGGCCCACGACAUCAAGCAAGCUUGGGGGAGGCGUCCCCGCUCAGGUAUUAUGUCUUUUUAAAAUUCUUUAAAUUUUGUUUCAAAUUCCCGUUUUAUAGAAAGUUUUUAUUUUUAGUUUCCAAAAGUUUCCCUUUCUAUAGUUUUAUUUUAGUCAAAAAUAAAGUUUCUCUGAAAAUCUUAUAAAAAUUAUUUUCUCAUAGAAUAGAUUUUUCCCUUUUCCAAAUCUUAUUUUUAUAUAAUUUUUGGAAACCAAAAAUAUUUUGAAUAAAUAUGUGGAAAAUCAAAAUCUGGAGCAAGAUUUCGAACCAGGUUUGAUCGUAAACAGAGGGACGUUGGGGAGAGCCGUUGGAGCCAGCGGCCAAAAGGCCGGGCAGAGGCGGGCCCACCACUGGUGCCGGCGCACCUAGGUGCGGCCGCCCCCUGCCCAAGGCCUGCUGGCCUCGGCCUUUUGGCAACGGCUAGUAGCCGUUGAGGGGGGCGCUCCCCCAUAUGCGAUCAACUCUAUAAAUAGAUAGGAUCUCGGGUGGAGCACCUCACCCCUCUCACACACACAUUUUUUUACUCUUCCCUUCUUCACUCUCUUGCUCCACUUUGCUUUAUAGCCUACUCCACAAGCUUAGUGCAAGAAAAUUCUAUCAAAAACCUCUUGCACACUUUCCUCUCCAAGCGAAAACACCAUACACUUGUGCUAGCUCGUCCACCAUGAAUAGAAUUUUCGAGCUUAGAAGGAGCCGCUGCCAACGCAGGGAAGAUCCACCAACCCCUGCAAGGAAUGAGCAGCCGGCACAUGGAGGAGAGGAGGAGGAGCCACAAGGCCACGCCAUUGACGAGGCCGACGCCCCCUUCAUCGACUUGGAGAGCGAGCGGGAGAUGCAGGCAUACAACCUCAUGAAGGAACGCGAGUUCCUCUAUUCCCCGGCUUUCGACCCCGCAUUCUUGCACCAAAUAGGUAUGGAUGUUGAGUUUGAUACUAUUUUUCGAGCAUCUUGGUUGGAGUAGAGUUGCCCCUGUUCAUGAGCUUGGGUCACGUCUUUUGACGAUCCAAAUUUUGGGCACACUACAAAUUGUCGAUUAUGGUAUUACCUUCUGUUGCUUUGGAAGAGAUUUUGGUAUUUAUUGGAAGGAUCUUGCCAACCAUUUGGGUUUCCACGAGCGGUGCUCCAUUGACUUAGUUUCUCCCUCGGGGGUUACCAACGUCAUGCUUUCUGGCAUUUGAUCUCAGGGCAACACGUCGUUGGAAAGUUUCAGGGGCAUUUUGCCAACAUCCAUCACCCCACUCUAAGGCUUCUCCAUAAGUGGAUCGCUAGUUCAUUCUUUACAAGAGAUGAUACGCAUCUUACUUACGACAUAGAGUUGAAGUUGCUUUAUGCUACGCUCAAAAAGAUUAAGGUUGCACCUGUUGUUGGGCUUGUUAAUCAUUGGUUGCAUUCCAUUAAGACUUCAACUGCUAUCAUGUGCACAUCUCUUAUUACUUUCCUUGUUGCAAGUGUUGAUCCCCAUGCUGCUAAUACCAUUAUUUACAUCACUACUCCUUCCAUCAUGAUUAAUGAAUCAUAUCUUUCGCAUGCACAUAUGAUUAAACGCGACGAAACAGGUAAAAAGAUCCAGUUACCUAACCCAUAUCUCGCUCUGUAUAAUUCCCCAUCACUCACCUUCACCCUCAUUGAGAAGUAAGGAGGACGCAGGAGCUCUAUUUCACACUGGAACUCACAGAGGAGGGAACAAGAAGAGCAGGCAGCACAGACAGCACAACCAGCACCAUCCACACAGCCAGCACAGCACACUCCAUCACCAGCUAUGCCAGGGAUGGGAUGGACCCCUGCUAUACCUGCACCUGGAUUUACCCCUAGGUAUGGAUAUGGUAAGGGAUACUUCCUCACCCCUACGAGGCUGGAGGUUCGAGCUGGAAGGCAGGAGGGUCGAGCUGGCAGGCGCACAGAUGCGCAGGCCCAAGCGAGCCAGAGGCAUAUGGGGUAGGGGGAUCCAGGCAUCACGAGCUAGGACACUCCUCAGAUUCCGAGGGAAUGCCACCCCUUGUUCGCCCUCAGGUAACACUAGACGUCCUCAGCACUCGCAUGGGAGGACUGGAGGUCUAGAAUAGGCAGAUCUAAGGUAUGCUGAAUGCCCACAUCCAGACACCUACCCAAUGGCAUCAGCAGACCCAGCAGAGCUUCAUCGACCUUGAGGAUGCAAGCCGUCGUCGGCACGAGGCACAGAUGGCCUACCUGCGAUCCAUGGGACAUUUCCCUGGACCACAACAGUGAGCUAACUUGGGGGAGGACCCCCACAAGAGGUAACAUGUAUCUUACAUUCUUGCACUUAAUUUUAGUUCUUAAUUUUAGUAUUUAAAUUUCAGCAAUUUUUAUCUUUCAAAAAAAAUUCCACUCUCAUGUGCGCUAUGAUAUGUUAGUUUCUCUUCUGUUGAAAUGAUGAAUAGUUGCUCUAUCUAUAAUUCUCUAGUAUUUAAGUUAUAAUUUAGUGUUCAUCAAUAUUUAAGUUUGUUGGCUAAAAAUGUCUCAUUCUGAGAACUUGAAAUCUUGUGGGUUGCAAAUGCAUGAUCCUUUUCUAAGUUGUUGCGAGACAUGAUAUGGUAUAAAUAGAUUUUGCUAUGACUUUGUUCUAAGAGAAACUUGACAUUCGGAGUUUUCUUUUCAAAAAUUCAAAACAAAGAGUUCCUCAAUGAUUAUGAAAUACCUACCAAGGCCAUAUGACUUGCUUAGUAGUUUGUACACCUUAAGUCAUAUGUGGCUUGCAGCACUUUGAGUUGAGUCAAAUCCCAGGUAUCCUAGAGUGAGAUUAUGGUCAUGCACCCAUGAUAUGAGAUUCACGCACCCACCAAAUAAAGCCGACUCUCACACUGAGAAGUUGCUCACAACAUGCACCCUUCCAUCCACCAAAAAUAUGCCAACUUUUACCCUAAGAGUUGCGCCUUAGCUUCCACCAAAUAAGUAUGCCGAACUCUCACCCUGAGGUUUGCGCAUCCCCAUACACAAUUUUACUCCUUACAUCACCAUCAUGACAUCUCACCAUUUUCCUCUUUGAGAUCCCUUUGAAACAUGUGGGCAUCAGUUAUCCAAAGGGCAUGGACGGGAAAAUCAAAAUGCCCCUCAGAAUAUAUAUAUAUAUAUACAUAUAUGAUCCAUAUUUUUAGGGCCCAUAUGUUUACAUUCUCUCAUUCUCUUCCUCAAAUAAAGAGAGUCAUGAUACAAGGAGUAACCAAAAAUAUUUAGAUAGGACUACCACCAAAAAUUCCACACACUUGCACAUCUCAAUCAAGGUGUAUGACUUGUAUCUCCUCAUGGUCCGGGCUUUGACUUGGCAACACAAGUGUCAUAAGUACGCCCACCUAUAUACCUUCCCAAAGCUCCAUUCUCAGCCUUAGUGGUAGGUCUUAAUGGCAAACACAAAUGCCUUUGGUGAGGAUUUCAUACACAUUGAGCGAUCGGGAGAAUCAUUCGAGGAACUUAUUUAUUUUGCAAAACUUUAUAAAACCUCCUGAUUGAUGGUCUAUCAAGGGAUGAAUGAAUGGUGAGUCUGUUACAACCAUUGUAUCUUGCAACCACCCAAGGACUUGGAAAAGCUAUAAGCCCCAUGAGAAGUGUAACACCCCAGUGUUAUGGUUGCAUCAAACAUGUGCAUAGCAUGAGCAUCAUUAUGUAUUCAAAAGCAUCCAUGAUCAUCAUCUAUCUUGGGACAUGGCAUCCUUUGCAAAAAUGUGUUUUAAAUGGCUUAGAUAGGCUUUCUAUGCUUAUGUUUGGGUGAACAAUGCUUGUGUUUGUGCUUAAUGCCUUGGUAAACAGCUUAUCUAUGCUUAACUUAACCUUGGAAACAAUGUUCAUGUUGAUCACUUCUCCAAAAUAAUCACUUAAGUCUUACUUAUGCAAAUAGGCCCUAGAAACCUCUUUUGCUUAGGCUUUUAAAAAGUGUUUCAUAAAAUGUUUGCAUGUCAAAACUUCCUACAGCAAAGUUGUAGCAAAUUUUAUAAGGAACAAAAGUUGUUUUAUGGCCAUCUCAUGAAAAUGAUCACAAAUAGCUCAAAAGUGGCCCACAAGGCAGUUUUGGGGCUGUUUUCCACACUUAGAAAUUUUCUAAGUCCUGGGGGCUUUGCAGUUUGCUCGAGGGGUGUUCUUCACCUUCCCGUUUGAAUUCUAGAGCGAAUCAAGCCUUGAUCUUGUAAGCAAUGUUGGAGUACUCGUGUAGCUCUCUGGCAUGGAGCAAUUAGCCAGCAAAAUCAUCGAGUGAUUAGGGAGUAAAUCGUUGGGCAAAAUCGAGUUUCAGUCGGUUUGGGGAGACUGAAUCGCGUCGUCGUUCAGACAGGGGGAGCUCGCCGGUGUGCCGCGUGUCUGGACCCGUGGCGUCCGUACGUCGCCGUUGGCCCCGCCCGUCAGUCCUCCGCGCGUCCUUCAUCUCGCCCCGGCGCCCCGGUCGCGUGGACAGAGCCAUUUCCGCUCCCGGUGUCCUCUCUCUCUCGCGCGUCGUCGUUUCCGCGUCGCCGCCGUUGCUUCGGCGAGCUCGCGCGCGCGCAUCUCCGUGUCUCCGGCCAAGCAGCUCGGUCCAGCGCUCCGCAAGCCUCUCCUCUCCACCGUCGUCGAGCUGGUUGCGAUUGCCGAGCCUCGGUGAGCCCGCAUUGCCUGCUCCGACGCGAGCUUACCUCGCCGGAGUUCCGCCAUGGCCACCGGCGUCGUGGCCAGGGCUCUGUAGUCCGCCAUUUCUUCUCAUUCUUGUCCCAAAAGCUUCGCUAGGUCUUGCUGUUGCUCGUCCUCGUUCUCUUCUGCCCUGUCUCCGGCCAGAGACGCCGGCAGUCGGCCGCGCACCACCGCCGUGCCGCCAUUCGCGAGGGCGAGGUACCUAGAGCUCGGUAGAGUUAGGGUUUUGGGUACCGCUAGAUGCGGAAUCCAGUGGGGAGCACGAUGGUGCCUUGGCCAGCGCCGAGACCUCGCCGUCGGCGAGAUCUCCGGCGGUCAAGCCGCGCCUCUGCUUCGGUGUCACUGGCAGGUGGGGUCCGUUGACGCGCGGGUCCCCUCUGUCAGUCCCUCUUUCUCCUUUGUUUAAAUCAGAGUUUGAGCUGAUUUUGUAAAAAUCAUAUCUCUAGUUCUAGUGAUCCAAAAAUUGUGAAACAAAUUUCGUGUUGUUUCUUGAGAUGGCUAGUAUUUAAUAAAAAUAUAAAAUGAAUCAUGUUUUCUGGGAAAUUAUUUAUUAAGGAUUUAAUCUUGUUAUUUAUGGAUAAAUGCAUAUCUCUGGUUAUACUGCUUAGUUUGCUUUUAAAAUUUUAUGGUAGUCUUUGCAUGGCAUUAGAGUGCUCUGAUAAUUAUUUCAUGAUUUUUGGAGCACUGCAGUUGUGAUAUGCAAUUUGUGUUUGAAAUAUGGCUUGUUUCUUUAAUUAAAUCACAUAAAAUAAUUGGUGCUUAUGCUGGUGCUCUAUUUUGGUGGUAAACUUGUUUAUGGCAUUCCUAAGAUAUAAAUAAUCUGAAAUCUGUUGUUUGACACCAUAUGAGUCAUGUCUAUGAAUUUAUGAAAUAAAUGCCUUGAUACAUGUUAAAUGCAUAUCUUUAAAUUGGCAUGUGCAAUGGUCCUGAAAAUUUUAUGGUGUUGAUCUGAUGUUAUACUUGUGCCUCUGUAAUUUUUGUAGAUUUUUCUGAGCACUUUAACUAAUAUCUUGUAAAUAUGCCUUGCCUAAAAUUAAUUAAUAAAUGCCUUGUUAAGUAAUUGUUUUGGGGUUUUCAACUGAUGAUCUGGUGACCUUGUGAUUUGUUUGUGCCCAUGAGCCUUAUGGUUGGCUUAGUUUGUGUCUUGAUCAUGUCAUUAAAUAAUUAACUAUAGGGUUAAAUGCUGUCUGGACAGCAAGUGAAUAAUUUAACUUUGCUUAAUGAUAAGUUGACUUUCUGUGAAACUUGUAUAAAACAAAGUUGUUCUAAACUUGUUGAACUAACUGUGGUUCAAAUUUGAGGUCAUUUGGCCAAGUAGUUUAAAAGUUACAGCUGUUCCAAGUUAGGUUCCAGAAAUAGGGGUUCUCUGUUUUUCUGGGACAGAACCUGGAACUUUGUUAAAAUGACUAGUUUAAGGUUUGAAUCUUGCUGUCAUGUUUAAAGAUGGGUUGUAGAUAAUUUCCUAAGCUUUCCAGAAUGUCCUUACUCAUGUUUGUUGGACCUGUCUAUCUAUACUUAUGAUUUAUUUACUGAGCAUACUUGUUUUAUGUUGCUUGCUGCUUUAUUGCCAUGAUAGGUUUUGAGUUAUGUUAACUUGUUUAUUCUUGUGAGUUAGUAUAACUCUUGUUCCGUAAAUGAGUGUCCAGUGAGUUGCUUGUGCUAUUAAGCAUUCAUCUGUAGCAUGUGCACCUUCUCAUUCAUCGAGCAUGCAAUAGGUGCACCGGACGUGGCAGUUUCCUUCGAGCUCCAAGCGAACCCCGAAGGCCAGGAAGGCAGCCAGGAGGUGGAGGUCCAGCAAGUCGGACUCGAGGAGCCCGAAGAAGAAGUUGAGUGUCCAAGUCAUGAGCCGGCAUCGUUCGUGAAAGGCAAGCCCCGGAGCAUUUUAAGCCUCCUCUAUUUUCGAAAGUUUACUUAAUACGUUAUAUCUAUUGCUGCAUUACGUAUAGGAGUUGUGAUGAAACUGUUGCUGCAUUCUACUCUAUCCUUGUCUAGAUAACUUACCCUCCCUGGUUGUAGAGUUAGGUUCGAGUAGCAGCUUAGCUAUGCUUUAAUCAGUAGAAGUCGGGUGAUAUCCUGUCAUCCGCGCGAUAUAGGGUUGUGUCGGGUCGCGAUGGUCUAUAUGUGCUAUCGUGGAUGGAACCUGGUUAAUUUGACUUAAGCCGGGCGGAGUUUUGCAAGUGUGUAGUAACUCCGUCUGUGGCAGCUAAGGACCGAUCGUUGUACGUCCUCUUGUCAUGUUGAACGCAUGCCUGACACUUAGUUGGCCGGAUAACUCGUUCCGACCGCGAAGCCGAGUAGUAUGACUCAGACCGGAAGACCGGCAAGUAUAAAGUGCGCACUACCGGAGGGAGUGCGGUGUGCGGGGGACCAUUGGCGUAAGUCCAAAGGCAGGUGAGUUAAAAUUCCUGACCUCCCUGGCAGAGUGGUAGCCCUGGGAGUGCGGCGCUGAUCGGAGCCGCGAUUUCUGAGUCGUACCAAAGGUGACCCUUUGGCUCUCCGGCAGGGGAUGCUUGGGUGAGUGCUAGGAAUAAACCUCCAGCUGGAUAGGAAUUCGAUUCGAAUCGCCGUCUCUCCCGGUUAGUGAGAACUUGACAGAGCAGCGGCAAACGUAGCAUUCACUAACGAACUUGGUUCAUGAUAAUGAUGAUAGCAAGAAGAACAUGUGAUAAAAUUGAUAUGGUUACUAUUGUUUGUAAUAAUCAAAUGAUGUGUUGUAGUACAGGUGCUAAUCUAGCGGUAGGCUGAUGAUAAAUAAAUUUGAUGCUCUUAAAAUGAUUUAGUUGUAAGUUAAGCUUUUGGCAAAAAGGUGAGUCAACCAGCUCCACUUAAAAAUUCAGCCUUGCAUGAUCCUUGGUGUCUUUUAUGUUUUCCUAGACGGGUAAGUCUAGCUGAGUACAACCUCGUACUCAGGGUUUAUUCCCACCUGUUGCAGAUGAUAUCUUCUAUGACGGUUUCUGCAAGACCUGUCUCCAUCCCGCUGGGGAUGAGGACUAACCGUUGGGCACGGUUCUCUAAUCUUCUCGUCUAUGAUGCUUUUGGAAGGAUGACCUAGACUCUGGCAGUAACAAACUUGUGAACUGAACUUUGAGCAAGUGUGUGUACUUAUUUUGCUUCCGCUACUUCGAACAUGUGUUGUAAUAACUUAAUACUCCGAUGUGGUGCCGCUUCGACGGCAAUGAAUGACUAUGUAACAAUCGUUGUGUUUAUGUUGAACUAUUACGAUCUUGGUUUGUUGCGAGUUGGUUGGAAGUCCCUCGUGAUUUCGAUUGACUACCGGGAUUAUAUGGGCUCAAGUCUAGAAACUUGAUUGCUUGACGAUCGUUUCUGCACUUGAACUCUUAUAAUUUGGUCGGUUCUGUGACAAGAAGUAAAGGUAAAGAGUGGAUAGCAUGCCAUCUUAUUUAAAUUGUGAACGAAUGAUUUGUUAUCGGUAUGGUACACUUGAAUUAUAUCGGCAUAGUAGCAACUCCUGAUCAACAACCAUACUUAAUUAUUUGCUCGAGACGAGCAAAGGUUAAGCUUGGGGGACUUGUUGGCAGUCAUUAUAGACCAAUCAUAAACUGCCAACUUGAUCCAAAAGGAGAAGAAGCGAUCAUAUUAUAUACACACAUGCAUUUUAUUACUAACAAAUUCCACUUGUACCAUAGUGAUUAUAUUUUGUAGGAAUUAUAGUGCAACAAGUGGAAAUGAGCCAUACCAUGAAGAAAGCACAAAGUACCAAAAGACGUAUUUAGAAAUGCACAAACCAAGAAAAUAGAGAAAGACCCAAACAACUCAGAAUUGGGCCUGAUCGUAACCAUGGGAGAGAUCCAAGCCCAGAGCCAAACCGACCAUGCGAAGGCAGUGGCCAGGGGGACCCACCCAGGGUGCGGCCGCACCCUGGUGCGGGCGCACCCCUGGAGGCAGCAAACCGGGCCCAUCUUUCUCAGGCGGUUGCAUACCACCAUGCAUAGGAUAGUUUCACCUACUACCAAAUUUAGAUUCGACAAACCGUCCUAGUUCCACUAUAAAAAGAGAGGCACUCCCCCCUUUUCAACACACACAUCAUUUGGAGUCAAUUUACCUCACACCUCUCACUUGUAUCUUUAGUCUAGAUUAGUAGUUGAGCAAGGCAAGAGCUAGCAAGGAGAGCUUGUCUCCUUGGAAGAAAGGAUUUUUUUGGUAUCAAUAAUAUUCAAUCUUCUUCCAUGAGCAAGUUCUAUUCAUCUUUAUAUGAUUAUGCAUAUGAACUAGAGUAUGGUUGUGUUCUUAUCAUAUGAACUAGUUCUAUGAACUAUAGUAUAUGAACUAGUUCUUAGUUCUUGUGCUAUGUUCUUGAUAUGUUCAUCAUUGUUCUUCAUUGUUCAUCAGAUUAGUAUGAUUAGGAUUAGAAUUAGGAAUGGGCUGAUGGUUCACUGUGCUGUGAUGGUUGCUCUUAGCCUAGCCUGUCACUCCGAAGGGGUGGGGCCCGCAGGGGUUAGGAGUUGUUUCCAAUUAUGUGAACAUGGUGUUCAGGUAUGCAGGAAUCAGUGGAUGUGCAGGUAUCUUUCGGGUAGAGGGGUAGGUGGUAGGGUAGUGACCGCUCUGUCAUCUAUUGCAUUCCCCGACGAUCAGGUAUUCCGAUAGGAGUUCUGUAAAGUCUCUAUCGGCUAGGUAUCCAGCUGCGGGGAUCUCCCCUCAUCUCAGGCUUAGUUCUAACUCUAUUUAUUGCUAAUUAGAUGAUCUGCUAAUAGUUCUAUGCAUAGUUAUAUGUGACCCAUGCCUACUCAAGUAGAUUUAUUUCUUUAUUCUUUAUUUAUUAUUUCUCUUCUAUUUUAUCCUUGAGAUUGAUCCAAUGUGUGUCCACUAUCUUGAAUAUCAUGUUUAUUCCUGUUUACUCUAUGUCUACCAAGCAUUCAAUAAGUAAUCAUGUUUCCACCAUGUUUGAUCCCGUUGCCUUCCCACGGGAAUUAUAAAUUCGACACCCUUGAGUACUCACGGGUUGAAAUGCUACAAUGAUAGUUUUGUCUGCUUGCACUUAUAUUACUUCUUCAUUCAUGAACUAUUGAUUGGUGUACCUAAGUACCAUUACUUAAGAUUCUAAUCCUUGUGCACUUUCAAGCGUAGUGCCAUAGCUUUGCAUAUCGCAAGUAAGGAUGGUUAGGAAGACCAAUCCGACAUUCCUAAUUAUUGUUACCAGACAACACUGCUAAGACCGACACCCUCGAGUUGCCUUGGGUUAUCUCUCUAAUUAUAGCGAUAGUUACGGUAUGCCAACACCCGACAUUUCUGGUGCCAUUGCUAAGGAUGGAUCUAUGGUCUAUUUUUAGUGGUGACGCUAAGAAAUGCCAACAACGAGCACGCCUAUGAAUGCGACAUUGAAUGCGUCGAGUACAGGGAGGUGGUCGAGACCACCACCGAGCUCGCCUCGAAGCUCAAUCCCCUCGUCGCUUAGGCUCUAGACCCAAAGCGCCAGGCGGGCAACUUCGAGCCAGCAGAAGGCACAAAGAAGGUCCCGCUCGACCCCAAUAACUCUGAUGGCAAGGUGCUGACGAUCAACGCCGACCUCGACCCCAAAUAGGAGGCCAUGCUCGUCGACUUUCUCUGUGCAAACGCCGUCAUGUUUGCAUGGAGUCCCUCAGACAUGCCUGGCAUACCGAGGGAAGUCGUUGAGCACUCCUUGGAGAUCCGAAGCGGUUCUAGACCAGUGAAGCAACGCCUGCGCCGCUUCGAGGAGGAGAAGCACAAGAUCAUUAGCGAGGAAGUCCACAAGCUUUUGGCGGUUGGAUUCAUCAAGGAGGUUCAUCAUCCCGAUUGGUUAGGAAACCCUGUACUAGUUAAGAAAAAGAAUGGGAAAAUGAGGAUGUGUGUAGAUUAUACCAGUUUAAAUAAAGCAUGCCCGAAAGAUCCAUUUCCUUUGCCAUGUAUUGAUCAAAUUGUCGAUUCCACCACGGGAUGUGAAACCCUUUCGUUCCUUCAUGCUUAUUCUGGCUACCAUCAAAUAGAAAUGAAAGAGUCUGACUAGCUCGCGACCUCUUUCGUCACCCCUUUUGGGAGGUAUUGCUACAUGACCAUGCCCUUGGGACUUUGAAACGCUAGGGCGACGUACCAACGGUGCAUGCUCCACAUUUUUGGAGAACACAUAGGGUCGACGAUCGAGGCAUACAUCGAGGAUAUCGUCAUCAAGUCGAGGAUGCGAGGCGACCUGAUUCAGGACCUCGAGAUUGCAUUUGGCUGCCUGCACACCAACAAUAUCAAGCUGAACCCUGAAAAGUGUGUCUUUGGCGUGCCUCGAGGCAUGCUCCUAGGAUACAUAGUCUCCCAGCGCGGCAUCGAGGCCAACACUGAGAAAUUCUCGGCCACCACCAAAAUGGAGCCAAUUCGAGACGUAAAGGGCGUGCAAAAGGUGACGGUCUGUCUAGCAACACUCAGCAGCUUCAUCUUGCGGCUGAGGGAAAUAGCGCUACCAUUAUACCGGCUCCUGAAGAAAGUUGAACGCUUCGCAUGGACCGUCGAGGCUGAGUGUAACAUCCCUGAUGUAACGGAUACUAAAACUGGAUCAUGUCAUCAUAAGCGUCGCAUAGCAUACUUGUUGAGCACAUCUUGAUGCAUCAACUUAAAACAUGUUUAAUUUGGUUGCUUGUGCUUAGGGAACUAAAGUGUGCUUGUGUUGUGAAAUGAUGCUUGUGUGGUUGUGUAAUCCUUAGUGUUGGAGGGUUCUGAGGAAAGGUGGGAGAAAACCCUAAUUUCAAUACUCUAGUUUUUGCCCCCUUUUGUGCAACUUAAAAACCAAGCAAAAUUUGGGGAUGAGUUCAAAAGAAAAGUUGUAGAUCUUGACAAGAUGUACAACUUUGGUGUUUUGAGUUUUUGAAGUUUUAAUACAAAAUUCAAAGUAAUUUUGAAAAUACAGAUUUCCAGAAAGUGUCCCCUUUUCUAAUUUGAAUCUCCAAUUCAAAAUCUACUUGGAAUUUUGAGAAGUGACCAACAUGAAAGUUGUAGAGCUCAAAAAGUUGAACAACUUUCAUGUUGGGAGUUUUUCAAGUUGUUAUGGAAAAUCAAAAGUAAUUUUGGAAAUUCUGAUUUGUCCCCAAUUGUCCCCUUUUCCUAUUUGACUCCCUAAUUCAAAAUAAAGUUGGAAUCUUGAAAAGUGAUCAAAAUGAAAGUUGUAGAGCUCAUCAGAUUGAACAACUUUUAUUCCAGGAAUUUUUCAAGUUAUUGAGUAAAAUCAAAAGUAAUUUUGGAAUUUCUAUCUGCCCUAGUUCAAAUUGGAAUUUCCCCCAAAUUGGAAUUUUGAAUUUCAAACAGUUUUCCUUAAAUUCAUGCCCUUCCACUCAAAAUCAGCUCUGGACCCUUAAAGGUGUUUUGUAGCAUUCAAAAUUCUGAACAACUUUUGCUUUGGCAGAAAUUUGACUUCAAUUCAAAUUUUGGAAGUAUUUUGCAAAAGACAGGAAAGGGAGGGAUAUGGCUCGCUACAGUGAUCCGAUGAGGAUCACGAGCACCUCUGCCCAGCGCGGCAGCAGAGCGUGCAGCACCGUGCGCGUGCAGCGCCGCCACGCAGCUGCUUGCCGGCCGUGUCACUGCGUGACGUGGACGCCCGCAACCCCUUCGCCUCGUCCUGUUGAGCGCCCGCGCGGCCGACCUCGAGCUCCCUUGCUUCGGCGACCAAAAACACCCGACGAUGCUCUACCGCCCAAUACGCCCUGUGUGCUUCCCCUUUAGCUAAAUCGAGCUCUCCACCAUCUCCGCCACCCCCUUGCGAACCCAGCGUAUGCCCAGGAACACUCCCUGCCCCUCUCAAUCGGCCAGAGUUCCUCUUCUUCUCCAACUCCGGCCGACUUCCGCCGUGAGCCCCCUUCCUCGUGGUCAGGCCAUUCUACAAGGUAUCAAGCCGAGGUAAGAGAUGUUAGAGCUUCACCGUGCUGUCCCGAGCUCAUGCGCUCGCUUCUUAGUCUUACGCACGCACAGGUCCACCGGAACGACGUCGCCAAGCCGGAGCGCCCGUGUAAAGAAGCCGCCACCGUCGCCAGCAACCUUGGCUACCUCUCCGACCUCGGUGACGUGAGCAUCAUGCUCCUUAUCCCUCCUGGAAGCUCUCUAGCGCGUUAGCUCACUCUCUAUUGAGCUCUCGUGGCCGGUCUACGUGCGACCAGUGCCACCGUCCGCAAUGUGUGUGGCCAGGGUGUGGAGAGAGGGUAGAGUGCCCGUAGGCAGGGUCAACGGGGUCACGAAGGAGAGGUGAAGCCGCUGCGCUUCGUCGCGAGGGCUGGAGCCCCGCCAGCGGCGGCCGGAAGCACAACCGAGCCACCGGCGAGGUGAGAGACGGCGACGUCGUGAGAGGGGGAAGGCGUGUGCAGCGUGCGGGCCGAGGUGCUGGGCCGCCCUUGGCACAACGCCGUUUUUCUUUUCCUUUUUGUGCAAAUUUGAUUUAUGUUUGAUUUUGUGUAGAAAAUUAUGUGCUAAUCCAAAAAUAGUAAAAAUAUUUGAGUAUGUUCUAUGCAGUGAGUAGAACAUAGGAAAAAUGUUAAAUUCCAUUUUCUGAUAAUUUGAACCUGUAUAAAAAUUGUAUCCUUUAUUUAGUAAAUAAAACUUCCAUGAAAAUUAGGAAUUUAUUAAUAUGUCCAAAAAUCACCAAAAUUGGUGAGAUGUCUCUCGAUAUUAUUUCCUAGCUUCACACAAAAUUUGGUGGCAUUUGGAUAAUGUUUGAAUGAAAUAUUAAUAUACCCUUAAUUUGUAAUUAAGUGAUAACCCUAAAAUAUUUAGAUAAUAAUUAGCUUAAUUUCUCAAAUUAGGAUUUGAGUGCUUUUGGGAUUGUGUGAUGACCUGAGGUCAUUAAUCUUAAUGACCUUUGGCAUGUAAUUAUGGUUUGGUAUUAAUACUUAAUUAUUGUCAUUAACACUUAUUUAAGGAUUAAUUGAGAUAAUUUCGAUUAAUAAUUAGUUAAUCAAGAAUAAUUGUAAAUUAAGAAAGGUCUUAGCUCACUGAUGCAACCUCUUGGGUAAAAACAUUAAAGUAAUAAACAACUGUAAUUACUGUUUAGCCUGUCUUUGCACCAAGAAGGAAAAUUGUACUCAACUCGGUCCUUCUUAUGUGUUGUCAUAAGCAUAUCAUGAGCAUGCAUCAUUUUGCGUAUAGUGCACGUUACCGAAGGAGCGACCGUUGAACCGAACCCCGAGGUUGGUGUUCUGCUCAAGGAAGUUGGACCCGAGACUUGGGAUGUCUUCGAGGAACCCACUCAGCUCUGCAACCAGGGCAAGCCUCGGAUGCAUUAACCCUUCCUUGAAUGUUUUAAAUCUUUUAUCACUUAUGAAUUAAAAAUACUGCAUUACGUAGUCAAGAAUCGGGCUUAACCUUCACUACCUUGAUAUUUGUUAGCCUGUCCUUGGCACCUGUUUUAUUUUAAAAACUACGUAGUGAUGCUUAGCCCUGCUUGUUAGAUAGGUUUUCAACUAAGAAAGUUUGAAGGGUUGUUGUGGAAUACUUUUAUGGUCAAUGAUGUUUCAACUUGAGAUUGGUCGGUGUACUUGCUUUAAGAAUGGAGUCUUAAAGUAGUGUCUCCAACUGUGUCAAUUAAGGACCGAUCCGUUGAUGGCCUGCUAUGUUGAGAAUUUAUAGUACUAGCCACCUGCCCUCGGUAAGCCCGGUCUUGUGAUUCCUCGAUGAGAGCGGCUACUCACGCAAUGGGUGUGGAGCGAUGGUGAGAGUAGCGUGUACCGUCCUAGCAAAUGGGUUGGAUGGUGGAGUACUGUGCUCUCGGGUGCCGUGAACCCGGUCAGAUCUUGGGAAAGCCAGAUUUCGGUUGACAUAUGCAAGAUUCGGUCCUACAUAUGUUGGGUGGUUAGGAACUCCAGCUGGGUUGCUAAGCGAUUCGAAUCGUCGUUGCUCCCUGAUUGGGAGACUCAAUUCCUUCGACCCUCAUCAUAGUUAGUAAUGCAACUGAAUUAAGGAAUGGGGAAAAGGGAAAUGUCUCAUGGGGUUCGGAUCCUGAUUCCCGAACUCAGAGUGACAUAAGCUAGUAUUAGCAGAGAAACCAGCGACCAGACACCGUUGCUGCCCUGCCGUCUCGAAAGCCUUCUCCCCUUCCCCUUNNNNNNNNNNNNNNNNNNNNNNNNNNNNNNNNNNNNNNNNNNNNNNNNNNNNNNNNNNNNNNNNNNNNNNNNNNNNNNNNNNNNNNNNNNNNNNNNNNNNNNNNNNNNNNNNNNNNNNNNNNNNNNNNNNNNNNNNNNNNNNNNNNNNNNNNNNNNNNNNNNNNNNNNNNNNNNNNNNNNNNNNNNNNNNNNNNNNNNNNNNNNNNNNNNNNNNNNNNNNNNNNNNNNNNNNNNNNNNNNNNNNNNNNNNNNNNNNNNNNNNNNNNNNNNNNNNNNNNNNNNNNNNNNNNNNNNNNNNNNNNNNGCUCCAUCGGGAGUAUGUUGCCUUCCUAGACCCAAGGGGGUAAAACCGGCAAAAUGAGGGUCGGAGGUUCCCUCCCAGAACAAACGCCCCUCAAUGAAAAGGGACAUUGGGAACAGUCAGAUCCGAAAGAGCAAUAUAGCCCUCAAAGGAGUCCAAGACUCCUUAAAGGCCUCGGGGGCUACACCUAUGGGGGUCGCUCGGCGACCCCCCACGGGAACUCGACCAUCAGAAGAACCCCUCUUCGAGGACAAAUGCUCGAACAGGGGCUCGGGGGCUACUCUCAACUGAUGAGCAUAUCAAGAGUAUCCGUACACAGGUCGAGGCAUCCGACUCGACGCCCCUCCCCCUCUCUAGUUGUGUGCACAGGCCAGGACGACCAUGGUCCCGAACACAGAAAGAGCGUCCUGCGAAUCGACCAGGGCUCGAGCGCCGGCUACCGUCGAAUACAGAAAGAGGCUCGAGCGAAUCGGAAGGCCUCGAGCGCAAGGACGCCGCUCGCCGCCUCGCGGGCACAGGAACCAGGGCAUUUAUUGCGCGUGCCGUGUUCUCACCUAACCCACCAGUCACGGGAAGCGUGAUAGGGAACAGGCACUCGUCCUGUCAUUCUUUUUGCAGCCUUCCCCACCAAACGAGCCAGAACGUGGCAGGACGCAGAAAGUGGGUCGGAACGUCUAAUCAAGACCCCCUUGAGAUGCCCAAGGUGGCUAGCGAGGCGUUACACGGCAUCCGACCCUCGAGUAGGCAUGUUUCCUUCCUGUGAAAGGGUCAGGUGACGAGUGACAGCACUUCAACCACUCCGACGCAGAUGCUGCCGCGACGUACAAGCAUGCAACAGAUAAACCAUCCUAGGACGGCGCACAGAGCGGGAUACAGGGGCACGCGUAAUCAUCAUGAAGCUACCAAGACAAGAUGGCUCGAGACCACGCCGAUACGGAGGCCUCGAGUAGGUCAGAGCGCCAUACCACUAUCGACCCCUACUCUGACGCCUAUACAUGUACCCUAGGCCUCUCCUGGAACUAUAAAAAGGGGAGGCCCAGGAGCGGAUAUAGAACAGGCGAUACAACACAACACACACGCUUAGUAGAGCUUCCACACUCCAUCUCCAUCCAUCUCACGCCUGUAUUCACCCCUGUACAAGCACUUAGGUGCAAGAUAAUACAAACACCUCUCCCCCCGCUGGACGUAGGGCCUUCUCUUGCCUGAACCAGGAUAAAUAUUUGUGUCUUUUCUUGCAUCACCAUCUGGAAAAAGGGGAGCACGCAUUCAAGUUUUACUCGUUGGUGUGACCCCCCAGGGGGAAACACCGACAGUUGGCGCGCUAGGUAGGGGUCCAGCGUGUUUUUCACUGAUUUCCCAUUCCUUUCCACAUGGCCACUCUCAUUUCGCCGAUUCCGCGCUCCACGGUGAUUUGGUUCGGGAGCCUCAAGUUCAUAUCUACUGGUUCCGGCUAUGACAUGAUCCUGCUCUCGGUCAAAGGACCGGGAGGAGCCCGCGUUGCGCCAGCACGAUUGAGGGCUCCGAGACGUGGACAGUGCCACCAUCACCCUUCUGCCUUGUCACGACCGACAGUUCGUGCCAGGCAGCAGGUGACACAUGAGCCGAUAGCCCCGCGCGCCGAAACCGCGGGUAUGGUAGCCUCACGCCACGAGGAUCGCACGACGACGACGGGAGACGGCACGCCACGCGCGCCCUCUCCCACCACUACGCUACUUCCACAUGGGCUGUUCGCCCCAAAAAGAGCGCUACCGUUCGGUCUGGACAAUGCCGCGACAUCGCUCGCUAGGGCGAUAUGUCCAAACGCCCAGACAUAUGUGGAGAGACCAAUGGUCCUCCCAUGCGAUACUGAGGAGCAGCAACGGACGCCCGAGCUGUCGGAUUUCUCCUAGGUACGAGGCCUCCGUCGCCUAGGGCCUGGGCGAUACACGAUCACCUCACUCAGGCAACGGCUGCUGGAGGAAGGACGUGGAUGCUUCUACGCCGCCGAGCCGAACUCCGGCUCUGAGUCCGACAGCUAUGACCCUACUAGGGAAUGUUUCAAUAUCGACGGGGCAGUAGAAACCACCGACGAGACACAGGACGCCGUUGCAGGCGGUCGAGUCCCUGUAGCAAGGGAGGACCCCAGGACGCCUGGGAAUGACGGUCAAAUCGACCCCCCUUCACAAGAAGACAGAGCCGCGUAAAUUGCGCAGCUGCGAGAGCUCAAAGCAAAGCUCGACGAGGAUCGCGACUGCCUUGUUUUGCUUGAACAGAUCAUCGAGCAGGACUUGCCUUACCCACCUGGUGGAAGUGUCCGCAGACGGGCUCGAGAGGUUCAUGGGCAGAUCGUCGGAGAUGGAGAGCCUGAGCAGCCCGUCAGCCGUUUCCCUCGAGCGGGCUAGAAUGUCGUGGCGGUGACAAUGCUGCUGUGUAAUAUGCCUGAACUGUCGAACUCCCAAGCGCGACGCAUUCGAGACGAGGUGCAGACUCUGCUCCAGGUGGCGGCAGUUCAGUAGGCCGAGAGCUCGGCCUCUCGACGUCGAGGGGCGGCCACAGAAAAGCGUGAUGAGCCGGCCUAGAACGAAAACGAGGUGUCGGUCCAUAAGUAGCCGCCCCCUCGAGGGAAAAAGACAACACUCGUCCUCCCCGUCGACAACUGACGACGACACGACGCGCGACGCGACAUCGACGAGAACCGUCGCCGUCGGUAUGGGGACGCAGAAGAGCGCGGUUAGAGCGCCCACCGCGGCGGGAGAUACGACAGCGACGAGGACCGGAUGGCCCCGGAACCGCAGGGCCCUCGGGUGUUUAGCAGGGCAAUCCGCAGCACGCCGCUGCCCAGCCCGUUCCGACCCCCAACCAGCAUUGCUAAAUACAACGGCAAGACCAAGCCAGAGCUGUGGCUGGCAGACUUCAGACUAGCCUAUCAGCUGGGAGGCGCUUGAGGGGACGAUCGAGCCAUCAUCCGACAGCUACCACUCUUCCUCUCCGACACCGCCCGCAGAUGGCUCGAGGAGCUCCCGGCCAACCAUAUCCACGAUUGGGUCGAUUUGGUCAGAGUGUUCGAGGGUAACUUCAAAGGAACCUACAUACGACCCGGCAACUCGUGGGACCUCAGCAAGUGCAAGAAGAAGUCAGGAGAAACUCUCUAGGAGUAUGCUCGACGCUUUUCGAAGCAACGCACCGAGCUGCCACACAUCCCCAACCAUGACGUCAUCCUGGCCUUUGUCUCUGGCACCACCAGUCGAGACAUGGUGCGGGAAUUAGGCCGGAACCGCCCUCAGACCGUCGACGAGCUGAUGGACGUAGUGGCAAACUACGCUGUAGGGGAAGAAGCGGUCGGUUCCUUCUUCAGCUGCGAAGGAAGGAAAGGAAAGCUGUCAGCUGAUGAUGAUGAGGGUCCCAGUCUCGGGAGGAAGUACUUCCGGCUCGAACAGCCUCGCCAGCCUUUCCCCAGGAGCUUCCGCAUCGUCGAUCAAGGCGUGGAGCCUCUCCUCGUUCUCUGCGUCGGUCUUGGAGAUAUCGGUGACUAAGCCAUGGGACACCACCUCCAUAUCGUAGGAAAAGCCUGAGUAGACAACUGCCAUUGCCCGCUUUACCCUGGUAUGGAGGGCGUCCCGCACCCGGUCCCUCAAUGUAGCACCAAGAUAGCAUAGCUGGUCGACCAGUGCGUCGCCUCGAGCCUCCUCCCUCGACUCGUCCACGGGUUCGAGCUCCCAAGAGGCUGAGAGAUCACUUAUCGCCGUCCGCAGCCGACGGAUCAAAGUGACCUCGCCCUCGAGCUGAGCCUUGGUGGAGCGGACCUCGACUUGAGCGGCAAGCAGCUCAUCUUUAAGCACUACAAGGACCGACACGGAGAAAUUAGAUAACACAAACCACACCUCGGAAAGGAAAACUCAAGAAUGGAAACAUACCAUGAAUCCUCUCCUCCAGAGCCGUAUUCUCACCAACCAAGUUGGUGUUGGCCCUCUGGAUCUCCUUGUUCGAGCGCACCAGCUCGGUGUUGGUGAUGCGCAGGUCCUCGAUCGCCUUACCUGCCUGCGCGAUAGCUCCAUCUUUCUCCAGCAGCGCUCUCUUCAGACGGUCGACGUCAUCAGAGAGGCUGUGAGAUCGAGUCCGCUCCACCUCAAGAUCCUCAAGAGCCUUCUUCUUGGCCUCCUACACGGUGCUCCGGGCAAUCUCACCGUUGACGCACUCCACCUUCAUCUUGAAGGAUUCUCGAAGGGAGGCAAGGUCUGUCCUGAGGAGGCCCUUCUCCUUGUCUAGGUCAGCAGCCGCGUUCUUGUAAGACAAGGCCUCUUCCCGGGCCUUGGAUGCAGCCUCCUCGACCAUCAUGGCCCGCUCCCCCCGCAGCGCGGCUUCUUCCACUGCUUUCCUCGAGGCUUCCCGAGCCUCAGCUAGGGUGGCCUCCCUCUCCUUCUUCUCCUCCUCGAGCGCCAAAAGCUCCUUAUAGGCCUUGAGGUGUUUCUCCUGCGACUCCAGGAGUUUGUCCUUGAGGAGAGGGAGUUGCUCCCAGCCACCCCUCGUUGCAUGAAUAAAGCUUGACUUGAUGUGGGAGGUCUCCUUUAGAUCCUGCGAAGCGGCAGUAGAACAGUAAGAACACAAAACCAGAACGUCCAGAACGCAAGACCAAAAUCACUUACAAAGUAGGCCGGUCUGAGCCCAUGGUUGACGACGUCGGGCAGGAGCCCCACCACGUGCUUCAUCCAGAAGCGAAGCUCCUCGAGAUGCUCCCACUUCUCAGCCUCCUUCCGAUCGUCCAUAAAGAUGUUGGGCUCGGACAGGUCGGUCGAAGCCCGGAUGUGGAUCCGGUCAGGGCACCAGUUCUCCAUCUCCUGAUAAACGCGCGCCUUGAUGCCCCGGAUGAGCUCCUCAACGGUCUCGAGCGACCCCCCGGGCACAAGAACAGGUCGACGAGGUAGGGAACCGGCNNNNNNNNNNNNNNNNNNNNNNNNNNNNNNNNNNNNNNNNNNNNNNNNNNNNNNNNNNNNNNNNNNNNNNNNNNNNNNNNNNNNNNNNNNNNNNNNNNNNNNNNNNNNNNNNNNNNNNNNNNNNNNNNNNNNNNNNNNNNNNNNNNNNNNNNNNNNNNNNNNNNNNNNNNNNNNNNNNNNNNNNNNNNNNNNNNNNNNNNNNNNNNNNNNNNNNNNNNNNNNNNNNNNNNNNNNNNNNNNNNNNNNNNNNNNNNNNNNNNNNNNNNNNNNNNNNNNNNNNNNNNNNNNNNNNNNNNNNNNNNNNNNNNNNNNNNNNNNNNNNNNNNNNNNNNNNNNNNNNNNNNNNNNNNNNNNNNNNNNNNNNNNNNNNNNNNNNNNNNNNNNNNNNNNNNNNNNNNNNNNNNNNNNNNNNNNNNNNNNNNNNNNNNNNNNNNNNNNNNNNNNNNNNNNNNNNNNNNNNNNNNNNNNNNNNNNNNNNNNNNNNNNNNNNNNNNNNNNNNNNNNNNNNNNNNNNNNNNNNNNNNNNNNNNNNNNNNNNNNNNNNNNNNNNNNNNNNNNNNNNNNNNNNNNNNNNNNNNNNNNNNNNNNNNNNNNNNNNNNNNNNNNNNNNNNNNNNNNNNNNNNNNNNNNNNNNNNNNNNNNNNNNNNNNNNNNNNNNNNNNNNNNNNNNNNNNNNNNNNNNNNNNNNNNNNNNNNNNNNNNNNNNNNNNNNNNNNNNNNNNNNNNNNNNNNNNNNNNNNNNNNNNNNNNNNNNNNNNNNNNNNNNNNNNNNNNNNNNNNNNNNNNNNNNNNNNNNNNNNNNNNNNNNNNNNNNNNNNNNNNNNNNNNNNNNNNNNNNNNNNNNNNNNNNNNNNNNNNNNNNNNNNNNNNNNNNNNNNNNNNNNNNNNNNNNNNNNNNNNNNNNNNNNNNNNNNNNNNNNNNNNNNNNNNNNNNNNNNNNNNNNNNNNNNNNNNNNNNNNNNNNNNNNNNNNNNNNNNNNNNNNNNNNNNNNNNNNNNNNNNNNNNNNNNNNNNNNNNNNNNNNNNNNNNNNNNNNNNNNNNNNNNNNNNNNNNNNNNNNNNNNNNNNNNNNNNNNNNNNNNNNNNNNNNNNNNNNNNNNNNNNNNNNNNNNNNNNNNNNNNNNNNNNNNNNNNNNNNNNNNNNNNNNNNNNNNNNNNNNNNNNNNNNNNNNNNNNNNNNNNNNNNNNNNNNNNNNNNNNNNNNNNNNNNNNNNNNNNNNNNNNNNNNNNNNNNNNNNNNNNNNNNNNNNNNNNNNNNNNNNNNNNNNNNNNNNNNNNNNNNNNNNNNNNNNNNNNNNNNNNNNNNNNNNNNNNNNNNNNNNNNNNNNNNNNNNNNNNNNNNNNNNNNNNNNNNNNNNNNNNNNNNNNNNNNNNNNNNNNNNNNNNNNNNNNNNNNNNNNNNNNNNNNNNNNNNNNNNNNNNNNNNNNNNNNNNNNNNNNNNNNNNNNNNNNNNNNNNNNNNNNNNNNNNNNNNNNNNNNNNNNNNNNNNNNNNNNNNNNNNNNNNNNNNNNNNNNNNNNNNNNNNNNNNNNNNNNNNNNNNNNNNNNNNNNNNNNNNNNNNNNNNNNNNNNNNNNNNNNNNNNNNNNNNNNNNNNNNNNNNNNNNNNNNNNNNNNNNNNNNNNNNNNNNNNNNNNNNNNNNNNNNNNNNNNNNNNNNNNNNNNNNNNNNNNNNNNNNNNNNNNNNNNNNNNNNNNNNNNNNNNNNNNNNNNNNNNNNNNNNNNNNNNNNNNNNNNNNNNNNNNNNNNNNNNNNNNNNNNNNNNNNNNNNNNNNNNNNNNNNNNNNNNNNNNNNNNNNNNNNNNNNNNNNNNNNNNNNNNNNNNNNNNNNNNNNNNNNNNNNNNNNNNNNNNNNNNNNNNNNNNNNNNNNNNNNNNNNNNNNNNNNNNNNNNNNNNNNNNNNNNNNNNNNNNNNNNNACAAAAGGGAAAAAAAAAAAGAGAAAGAAGAAGGAAAAAAGAAAAAAAAAAGGGAGAAAGAGCCCUCGCGAUUCGCGUUCUUCGAACUAGCUGGUCAGUUGCAUAGCAUACAUGAGCAUGAUCAUUUUGCGUAUAGUGCACGUUACUGAAGGAGCGACCGUUGAACCGAACCCCGAGGUUGGUGUUCUGCUCAAGGAAGUUGGACCCGAGACUUGGGAUGUCUUCGAGGAACCCACUCAGCUCUGCAACCAGGGCAAGCCUCGGAUGCAUUAACCCUUCCUUGAAUGUUUUAAAUCUUUUAUCACUUAUGAAUUAAAAAUACUGCAUUACGUAGUCAAGAAUCGGGCUUAACCUUCACUACCUUGAUAUUUGUUAGCCUGUCCUUGGCACCUGUUUUAUUUUAAAAACUACGUAGUGAUGCUUAGCCCUGCUUGUUAGAUAGGUUUUCAACUAAGAAAGUUUGAAGGGUUGUUGUGGAAUACUUUUAUGGUCAAUGAUGUUUCAACUUGAGAUUGGUCGGUGUACUUGCUUUAAGAAUGGAGUCUUAAAGUAGUGUCUCCAACUGUGUCAAUUAAGGACCGAUCCGUUGAUGGCCUGCUAUGUUGAGAAUUUAUAGUACUAGCCACCUGCCCUCGGUAAGCCCGGUCUUGUGAUUCCUCGAUGAGAGCGGCUACUCACGCAAUGGGUGUGGAGCGAUGGUGAGAGUAGCGUGUACCGUCCUAGCAAAUGGGUUGGAUGGUGGAGUACUGUGCUCUCGGGUGCCGUGAACCCGGUCAGAUCUUGGGAAAGCCAGAUUUCGGUUGACAUAUGCAAGAUUCGGUCCUACAUAUGUUGGGUGGUUAGGAACUCCAGCUGGGUUGCUAAGCGAUUCGAAUCGUCGUUGCUCCCUGAUUGGGAGACUCAAUUCCUUCGACCCUCAUCAUAGUUAGUAAUGCAACUGAAUUAAGGAAUGGGGAAAAGGGAAAUGUCUCAUGGGGUUCGGAUCCUGAUUCCCGAACUCAGAGUGACAUUAAGCUAUGGCCACCGGAUGAAUAACACUUUUAUUAAGAACUAGGAAUUUAUAGACUUGUCUAUAAAAAGCAACUAGAUAGACUGUCCUCGAAUUCCUCGGCCUCUCGAGGUGAGCAAUUCGGGGCUAAAACUUGAAAGUAAGGAUGCACUAUUAGUAAGAAUGCCUCCGGGCUAUAGCCAACCCCAUCGAACGGGGCAUGGGUUCUCACUUGGAUUACCUGAUAAAAGCUCACCCAGGAUGAUGAUGCUCGCUCCAUCGGGAGUAUGUUGCCUUCCUAGACCCAAGGGGGUAAAACCGGCAAAAUGAGGGUCGGAGGUUCCCUCCCAGAACAAACGCCCCUCAAUGAAAAGGGACAUUGGGAACAGUCAGAUCCGAAAGAGCAAUAUAGCCCUCAAAGGAGUCCAAGACUCCUUAAAGGCCUCGGGGGCUACACCUAUGGGGGUCGCUCGGCGACCCCCCACGGGAACUCGACCAUCAGAAGAACCCCUCUUCGAGGACAAAUGCUCGAACAGGGGCUCGGGGGCUACUCUCAACUGAUGAGCAUAUCAAGAGUAUCCGUACACAGGUCGAGGCAUCCGACUCGACGCCCCUCCCCCUCUCUAGUUGUGUGCACAGGCCAGGACGACCAUGGUCCCGAACACAGAAAGAGCGUCCUGCGAAUCGACCAGGGCUCGAGCGCCGGCUACCGUCGAAUACAGAAAGAGGCUCGAGCGAAUCGGAAGGCCUCGAGCGCAAGGACGCCGCUCGCCGCCUCGCGGGCACAGGAACCAGGGCAUUUAUUGCGCGUGCCGUGUUCUCACCUAACCCACCAGUCACGGGAAGCGUGAUAGGGAACAGGCACUCGUCCUGUCAUUCUUUUUGCAGCCUUCCCCACCAAACGAGCCAGAACGUGGCAGGACGCAGAAAGUGGGUCGGAACGUCUAAUCAAGACCCCCUUGAGAUGCCCAAGGUGGCUAGCGAGGCGUUACACGGCAUCCGACCCUCGAGUAGGCAUGUUUCCUUCCUGUGAAAGGGUCAGGUGACGAGUGACAGCACUUCAACCACUCCGACGCAGAUGCUGCCGCGACGUACAAGCAUGCAACAGAUAAACCAUCCUAGGACGGCGCACAGAGCGGGAUACAGGGGCACGCGUAAUCAUCAUGAAGCUACCAAGACAAGAUGGCUCGAGACCACGCCGAUACGGAGGCCUCGAGUAGGUCAGAGCGCCAUACCACUAUCGACCCCUACUCUGACGCCUAUACAUGUACCCUAGGCCUCUCCUUGGAACUAUAAAAAGGGGAGGCCCAGGAGCGGAUAUAGAACAGGCGAUACAACACAACACACACGCUUAGUAGAGCUUCCACACUCCAUCUCCAUCCAUCUCACGCCUGUAUUCACCCCUGUACAAGCACUUAGGUGCAAGAUAAUACAAACACCUCUCCCCCCGCUGGACGUAGGGCCUUCUCUUGCCUGAACCAGGAUAAAUAUUUGUGUCUUUUCUUGCAUCACCAUCUGGAAAAAGGGGAGCACGCAUUCAAGUUUUACUCGUUGGUGUGACCCCCCAGGGGGAAACACCGACAGUUGGCGCGCUAGGUAGGGGUCCAGCGUGUUUUUCACUGAUUUCCCAUUCCUUUCCACAUGGCCACUCUCAUUUCGCCGAUUCCGCGCUCCACGGUGAUUUGGUUCGGGAGCCUCAAGUUCAUAUCUACUGGUUCCGGCUAUGACAUGAUCCUGCUCUCGGUCAAAGGACCGGGAGGAGCCCGCGUUGCGCCAGCACGAUUGAGGGCUCCGAGACGUGGACAGUGCCACCAUCACCCUUCUGCCUUGUCACGACCGACAGUUCGUGCCAGGCAGCAGGUGACACAUGAGCCGAUAGCCCCGCGCGCCGAAACCGCGGGUAUGGUAGCCUCACGCCACGAGGAUCGCACGACGACGACGGGAGACGGCACGCCACGCGCGCCCUCUCCCACCACUACGCUACUUCCACAUGGGCUGUUCGCCCCAAAAAGAGCGCUACCGUUCGGUCUGGACAAUGCCGCGACAUCGCUCGCUAGGGCGAUAUGUCCAAACGCCCAGACAUAUGUGGAGAGACCAAUGGUCCUCCCAUGCGAUACUGAGGAGCAGCAACGGACGCCCGAGCUGUCGGAUUUCUCCUAGGUACGAGGCCUCCGUCGCCUAGGGCCUGGGCGAUACACGAUCACCUCACUCAGGCAACGGCUGCUGGAGGAAGGACGUGGAUGCUUCUACGCCGCCGAGCCGAACUCCGGCUCUGAGUCCGACAGCUAUGACCCUACUAGGGAAUGUUUCAAUAUCGACGGGGCAGUAGAAACCACCGACGAGACACAGGACGCCGUUGCAGGCGGUCGAGUCCCUGUAGCAAGGGAGGACCCCAGGACGCCUGGGAAUGACGGUCAAAUCGACCCCCCUUCACAAGAAGACAGAGCCGCGUAAAUUGCGCAGCUGCGAGAGCUCAAAGCAAAGCUCGACGAGGAUCGCGACUGCCUUGUUUUGCUUGAACAGAUCAUCGAGCAGGACUUGCCUUACCCACCUGGUGGAAGUGUCCGCAGACGGGCUCGAGAGGUUCAUGGGCAGAUCGUCGGAGAUGGAGAGCCUGAGCAGCCCGUCAGCCGUUUCCCUCGAGCGGGCUAGAAUGUCGUGGCGGUGACAAUGCUGCUGUGUAAUAUGCCUGAACUGUCGAACUCCCAAGCGCGACGCAUUCGAGACGAGGUGCAGACUCUGCUCCAGGUGGCGGCAGUUCAGUAGGCCGAGAGCUCGGCCUCUCGACGUCGAGGGGCGGCCACAGAAAAGCGUGAUGAGCCGGCCUAGAACGAAAACGAGGUGUCGGUCCAUAAGUAGCCGCCCCCUCGAGGGAAAAAGACAACACUCGUCCUCCCCGUCGACAACUGACGACGACACGACGCGCGACGCGACAUCGACGAGAACCGUCGCCGUCGGUAUGGGGACGCAGAAGAGCGCGGUUAGAGCGCCCACCGCGGCGGGAGAUACGACAGCGACGAGGACCGGAUGGCCCCGGAACCGCAGGGCCCUCGGGUGUUUAGCAGGGCAAUCCGCAGCACGCCGCUGCCCAGCCCGUUCCGACCCCCAACCAGCAUUGCUAAAUACAACGGCAAGACCAAGCCAGAGCUGUGGCUGGCAGACUUCAGACUAGCCUAUCAGCUGGGAGGCGCUUGAGGGGACGAUCGAGCCAUCAUCCGACAGCUACCACUCUUCCUCUCCGACACCGCCCGCAGAUGGCUCGAGGAGCUCCCGGCCAACCAUAUCCACGAUUGGGUCGAUUUGGUCAGAGUGUUCGAGGGUAACUUCAAAGGAACCUACAUACGACCCGGCAACUCGUGGGACCUCAGCAAGUGCAAGAAGAAGUCAGGAGAAACUCUCUAGGAGUAUGCUCGACGCUUUUCGAAGCAACGCACCGAGCUGCCACACAUCCCCAACCAUGACGUCAUCCUGGCCUUUGUCUCUGGCACCACCAGUCGAGACAUGGUGCGGGAAUUAGGCCGGAACCGCCCUCAGACCGUCGACGAGCUGAUGGACGUAGUGGCAAACUACGCUGUAGGGGAAGAAGCGGUCGGUUCCUUCUUCAGCUGCGAAGGAAGGAAAGGAAAGCUGUCAGCUGAUGAUGAUGAGGGUCCCAGUCUCGGGAGGAAGUACUUCCGGCUCGAACAGCCUCGCCAGCCUUUCCCCAGGAGCUUCCGCAUCGUCGAUCAAGGCGUGGAGCCUCUCCUCGUUCUCUGCGUCGGUCUUGGAGAUAUCGGUGACUAAGCCAUGGGACACCACCUCCAUAUCGUAGGAAAAGCCUGAGUAGACAACUGCCAUUGCCCGCUUUACCCUGGUAUGGAGGGCGUCCCGCACCCGGUCCCUCAAUGUAGCACCAAGAUAGCAUAGCUGGUCGACCAGUGCGUCGCCUCGAGCCUCCUCCCUCGACUCGUCCACGGGUUCGAGCUCCCAAGAGGCUGAGAGAUCACUUAUCGCCGUCCGCAGCCGACGGAUCAAAGUGACCUCGCCCUCGAGCUGAGCCUUGGUGGAGCGGACCUCGACUUGAGCGGCAAGCAGCUCAUCUUUAAGCACUACAAGGACCGACACGGAGAAAUUAGAUAACACAAACCACACCUCGGAAAGGAAAACUCAAGAAUGGAAACAUACCAUGAAUCCUCUCCUCCAGAGCCGUAUUCUCACCAACCAAGUUGGUGUUGGCCCUCUGGAUCUCCUUGUUCGAGCGCACCAGCUCGGUGUUGGUGAUGCGCAGGUCCUCGAUCGCCUUACCUGCCUGCGCGAUAGCUCCAUCUUUCUCCAGCAGCGCUCUCUUCAGACGGUCGACGUCAUCAGAGAGGCUGUGAGAUCGAGUCCGCUCCACCUCAAGAUCCUCAAGAGCCUUCUUCUUGGCCUCCUACACGGUGCUCCGGGCAAUCUCACCGUUGACGCACUCCACCUUCAUCUUGAAGGAUUCUCGAAGGGAGGCAAGGUCUGUCCUGAGGAGGCCCUUCUCCUUGUCUAGGUCAGCAGCCGCGUUCUUGUAAGACAAGGCCUCUUCCCGGGCCUUGGAUGCAGCCUCCUCGACCAUCAUGGCCCGCUCCCCCCGCAGCGCGGCUUCUUCCACUGCUUUCCUCGAGGCUUCCCGAGCCUCAGCUAGGGUGGCCUCCCUCUCCUUCUUCUCCUCCUCGAGCGCCAAAAGCUCCUUAUAGGCCUUGAGGUGUUUCUCCUGCGACUCCAGGAGUUUGUCCUUGAGGAGAGGGAGUUGCUCCCAGCCACCCCUCGUUGCAUGAAUAAAGCUUGACUUGAUGUGGGAGGUCUCCUUUAGAUCCUGCGAAGCGGCAGUAGAACAGUAAGAACACAAAACCAGAACGUCCAGAACGCAAGACCAAAAUCACUUACAAAGUAGGCCGGUCUGAGCCCAUGGUUGACGACGUCGGGCAGGAGCCCCACCACGUGCUUCAUCCAGAAGCGAAGCUCCUCGAGAUGCUCCCACUUCUCAGCCUCCUUCCGAUCGUCCAUAAAGAUGUUGGGCUCGGACAGGUCGGUCGAAGCCCGGAUGUGGAUCCGGUCAGGGCACCAGUUCUCCAUCUCCUGAUAAACGCGCGCCUUGAUGCCCCGGAUGAGCUCCUCAACGGUCUCGAGCGACCCCCCGUGGCACAAGAACAGGUCGACGAGGUAGGGGAACCGGCCGUCGUCAUCCACCGUCUUCCAAGUUCCUGUUUCACUAGCACCACCGCCGCCCGACGUCCCGGCUUCAUCUUCCUCGGCGGGAAAGCGGUCCUCCCAUGACCGACGCUCCCGGAGGAAUCCAGGAGCGAUCCCAAUGAUGCCAUAGAUCGUGCCCUUGAUCUCUGACUGAGGGUCAACGGGGGUGCGCAUCAUACAGGCGAGCUCCACCACGCCGUCCGCUCGCCCUGACUCAGCUGGGAUCGAGGCGGGCGCACCCAGACGGAGCCAUGCCGGGGUCGCUGGGCCAUAGACAGGCAGAACCUCCUCCCCGGUUUCAGGCUCUUGUGGCGUCGGCGGCACUGACUGGGGGAGACUGCGAGGUGGCAGCUCGAGCAGUUCCCCCAACUGCUGGCACCUUUGCUGCUGCUGCUCCUGCAGCUCCUGCUGCCGGUCCUGCUCCAACAUCUCAUCGAGUAGGGGUCCCCCUGGCCGCCGCUCCUCCUCUCUUUCUUCCUACUGCGGCUGCUGCUGCCCCUCCUACAGCUGUUGCCGCAUCUCCCGCUCAUGCUCCUCCUCCUCCUUCCUCCUCUGGUCCUCGACAGAAUGGAGCCCGAUGGGCCAAGGCGUCCACUUCGUGGUGGGAGGGGCCUCGAGCUCCUCGUGCAUGGGGCGGGCGUCCUUCGAAGGCCCGUCGCCGCCAGACCCGUCACUUGUUGUGAUAGGAUCCUCCUCGACCCCAGAACAGGGAGGCUCGGGGGCUCCCUCCUGUCCUUGAGGACGAGGCACCUCGAUCCGCUUCGGCGACGGUGGAGCAGACUCCCCCACCGAUGGACGGGGCAGAGCGCCCUCGACACCGGUCGAUGGCCGGGGGUCGGAGGAGCAUGUAAGCACUCAAAGGCAAAAAGUCAGUCGCCAUGAUAGUCGACAAAAAGCUAACGUGAUAUCAGGAGUGAACCGCUCACCUGAGUCUUUGGAGGCCGCUCCCGCCUUAAGCCUCUUGGCCAUCGAGGGCUGGGCCUGCUUGAGCGUCCGCUUCAGCCUGAGGGAAGAAGAAUGAACGUAAAUAAAAAUCACAGCCCAAGAAAAUGCAAAAGCAUCGGAAAAGAAGAACCACGACAUUAAGACCUUACCCCACAAGAAGGGCGACCCGCCUUCCGGUCCCUCGACCAGCAGGCUUCGAGCCACCCCGCGUCAAGGCUCCGGGCCCCUCGCGAGCGGGUGCCGGUCUCGGCUCGGCAUCUCCCGCCUGGCCGGCGCCUGGACUGGCGCUCCUGCGAACCGUACCCCCCUUGCUCGAGGCCGCAGUGCGACCACGAGUCAGCGGCCCUGUAACAGAACCGCCCAAUUUACAAGAGAUCAACUAUGAAAAACUCCCACCAAAGCAGUUGCUUUAACAUAAUCGAACUCUCAUAAACCGGGUAGUCCGUGAAAUCACGAGGGAUUUCAAACCAACCAUCAUACAAGCCAAGAUCGUAGUGAUUCAACAUAACAAGUCACAUGUUACAUCUAUUUCACAAGUAGUUUGAUAUACAUCGGAGUUCUAUAUAGUUAUUACAACUUGAGUUGAAAAAUAGCGGAAGCAGAAUAAUUAUGAAACUAACAUUACCCUUAUUUCAAAUACAUGCCAGUAUCCAGGUCAACUCCAACAAAAGCAACAUAGAUGAGGUAACUAAGAAGGAUCAUGCCCAUGAUCUUACUCCUCUAAUAUGGUAGGAGUCAUCCAACUCUUGCAGUAGCCAUGAUACAUCACAACCUGCAACAAGUGGGAACAAACCCUGAGUACGAGAAGGUACUCAGCUAGACUUACCCGUCAUAAACCAGAAAUAAUAUGACACCAAGGAGUAUGCAAGGCUUUAUUGGUGGGGCUAGCUGGAAAACACUUUUUGCAUAAAAAGCUUAGGUUACAGGUAACUAACUUUUCAGGUAUUUAGCUCAAGUUAAUAAUCAUUACCUGUCAUCUAUAUUAGCACCUGUACUAGAGCAAUCACUUGAUUAAGAUACAACAGUAGUACCCAUAUUUGAUGUGGCAUUUCCAACAUCAUCAUCAUACCAUAACCAUCCAAGUGUUCCAUAAACAUUACUACGAUGACGAAGCUCAAGUCAAGUGCUCACUGUCCAGGAGCGAUGGCGAUUCGAAUCGAUUUCUAACCAGCUGGCGAGUUUAUUCCCCACACAAUCCACACUCACUGAUCAAGUGAGCUACAGGUCACCAUAUUACACUAUCCAGGACCAAUUCGCGGGUUCGACAGGCACCGCCCGUACCCGAGGACCGUUCCGGCGACCGAGGUAUCCAAGGUAUACCAAGGUUGCGCGCCGCGCCCUCGUCGUUCUCCUCAACCAUCACCAAUACAGCGCGUACAUCGGGCCGAUUCCCGGCCCGGAUAGUGUUCAGGCUUCGCGGUCGGAACGACUUAUCCUUCCAGCUAAGUGUGGGGUGUUGACGGUCCUUAAGUAUCAAAUUUAAUUAUCAAAUAAAUAAAGAAAAGGAUCCAAAUGAAAUCAAGAUCUAGACUUAGGGUUUUAUCUGACAGAAUUCCACGAGUUUUGUUGUUUGUCUAUUUCUGCAGGGGGUUAUCAGGAAAUAUGGAAGAAAGGCCCACAUGUCGGGAUUACGUAAAGAUAUUAAUGUGCUGCGCAAUUAUCUUACAUCUAGAAGACUCCAGAAGCCACGAGACCGAAGCGGAGGCGAAACGGGGCCAGAGGCAGGGCGCCCGCCCUCCUGCCCUGGGCACCCGCCCACCUCCUGUGUCCAAUCAGGACUCUGCUUUGCAGGAGAUCUCCACCGACCUAAAGGAUGAAUCUAAACCAUACAAUCUAUGUCGGUUUGAUCCAAGGGCCCAUAUUCACUUGAAGGGACUAUAAAACUAGACCCCCUGGCCCCUGGAGGAGGGAGCCUCUCAACCCUAAUUCAUUGUUCCAUCAAGGGAGAAGAAGCCUCUAAUCAAGAUUAGAGCCACCACAUCAAUUAGAUAUCUAGAUUAGCAUAGCUACAUAGGAUUAGAACUAGAAGGAGUCAAUCUUCGAUUGGUUUCCGGAUCUGUCAAGAGGAUUCUUGGUAAUUCUCUAAUUGUGCUUCUAAUUGCUUUCUAAUUAUCUUUGUUCUUCAAUAUUAUGAAUAUGACUUUGUUCUACUUCAAUAUAUUGCUUAUGACUUUGCUCUAUUUGCUUAUAUUCAAGAUUAUAUUGUUCUUAGUUUAUUAUAGUUAUGUACUUGGCUUAGUUAGAUUCGAUCUAUAUACAUGCUUAGGAUCGUAUAGCGUUUAUCCAUCGGAUCCAUGGGUAAAUGAUAGAUAUUGUGUAGGCGUGGUGCUUAUACCGUAUUUAUCUGCGAUUGUACCCAAUAUGCCAGAUCGUGGGGUGGUUCGUGAUAGUGACAUCUUCAUUGAUUCUUAUAUAGUCCCCCUCUCGUGUAUUGGACUGGCAGAGCAACAUUAUUACAGGAGAUUGAUUGCUAUGUUUCUCAUAUUCCUUGCUAAUAUCACUAUGCAUGGGCGUAGUCUUGUCUCGCAAUGAUUGCUAAGUAUGCUUGCACUAAUUAUGAUAAUGCUAGACUAUAUAGUUAAGAAUAACUUAGGGAAUAUUCUUGUAGUUCGUUCUAAUACCAUGCUAAUGACUUUCUAGAGUAUCUAAUUGAGGUGCUUAUCAUAUUUAUUAUGUGGCUAGAUCAGAUUAGUUAUCCUUGUCACUAUUAUUAUUUCAUAUAUCUUUUAUGUGACACUUAUCCCUAUAUGAUGAGUUAGAUAUAAUGUUCUCAAUUAUACAUGCAAUGAUAGAUGCUCAAUCUCAUAUUCUAUUCUGUAAUCAAUAUUGAUGAUUGCUAAUCCCUUCCCAGUGGUAAAAAUAUAAAUAACGAUACCUGGAAUACUUCCCGGUUAAAAUGCUGCAUCGGUAUUAAUCUGUGCGCUUGCAGAUCCCAUUCAUUAUUUAUUUAGAAGAGCAAUUGCAUAUUUCAAUACCGCGUCUCUUAUAUCAUGCUGGGGAUGAGAACUUGGCUUAAGUGGUGUGAGGGAUAGGUUUGGCAUUUUUGGCACCGUUACUAGAUUUAGAGAACUUAGUCUACUUUUGGUAAUGAUGUUAAGAAUACCCAACAAGCAUUUUUGGCGCCGUUGCCAGAGAAGGUUGAUUACUAAUCAAGAAUGGAAUAAAAGAUUUUGAGUUAUCAUUCGCAUCACUAAUAUGAUUGAUCUUAUCUAUUCUCUCAUACAGUUUUACCUCGAUAUUUUUCUAUUUUAUCUUAUGCAGGGGAAUGUAUGAAUAGAAGACAUCUUCCAGGGAAUUUUGUUGACAAUCCCGAAGCAUUAUUCAAGAAGACGAGAGCCAAGCUAAAGAAAUCAUCAACACUUCAUGAAGAAGCUUCAUCCAAUCAAGAAGAUCACCGGAACUUGUCUUCAGAGUUCGAAGCCAUGGCGAACAAAUCAAUCCGCGAGUUCUCAGCUCCCACUACGGACAACAUCCGCACUGGACCUGCUGCAGAGAUCGAUGGCAACUUUGAGCUCAAGCCUGGACUUAUCAACAUGGUGCAAUCUAACCAGUUCUGUUGGAAGGCACACGAAGAUGCUAGUGCUCAUUUACAACACUUCCUAGAGAUUUGCAACACAUUCACCAUAGCAGGAGUUUCCAAAGACGCUAUACUACUUCUCCUCUUCCCAUUCUCACUGUUAGGAAGAGCGAAGCAGUGGUUCUACGCUACAAAGGAGAAGAAUACUACGUGGGCACUUUGCUCAACAAACUUCCUGGCUAUGUUCUUUCCCAUGGGCAAGACCAAUGCUCUCCGUGGGAAGAUUACAAGUUUUCAGCAACAAAAUGAUGAAUCUGUUCCAGAAGCAUGGGAGCGCUUUCAAGACUACAUCCUAGAAUGUCCCCAUCAUGGAAUGGAGAGUUGGCUACUGAUGCAGACAUUCUAUCAUGGGCUCAGCAACAGUGCCCGAGAAACCAUGGAUGCUGCAGCUGGAGGAGCAUUCUUAUCACUUACUAUACCACAAGCCACAGCUCUUGUGGAGAAGAUGGCGUCCAACCAAAGCUGUAACGAAGAGAGGACCCAGACACGCAAGAGAGGUGGAGGUAUGCAUCAGCUGAAGGAGGUAGACAUGCUGUCUGCAAAGCUAGACCUGCUCAUGAAGAAGCUCGAUGAUAGAGCUGGAGACAAGAAAGAAGUUAUGCACAUCUACGACUCUCACAUGACUUGUGAGGAGUGUGGAGACACUGGACACUCAGGCAACCACUGCCCUGAGAUGCUUGAGGAUGUAAACUACAUCAACAACAACAACAACUACUACUACAACCGUCCUCAACAAAAUCAAGGUUGGAAUCAACAGAGGCCUAACUACUCAGGUAAUUAUCAAGGUAACAAUUCUUACAACAAUAAUAAUAAUUUUCCACCUUUGAGAGAGUUAGUGUCUAAUCAAGGAAAGCUAAUGGAUAACCUAUCUAAGAAAUUGGCAUCUAAUGAUAAAAUGCUAGAAAAUAUAAAUAAUAGAAUGGAUAAUUUCCCUACUGCCAUCAAGAAUCAAAUUAGCUUUAAUAAAAUGAUUGAAUCCCAGUUAAAUCAAAUAGCUGCUCCUGUUCCUACUACUAACCCCGGUAUACCAUCACAACCGGAAGGAUUAGAAUCUGCAAAUCUUGUAGACAUGUUUGAUGCAGGUAAUUGGAGUAACCCCAUCACUGAAUUUUCUACUGACCGUCUGCCGGUCAAGAGAGGCGAUCCAGGACGCCCCGUCAUCCCGAUCUCUAUCGGCAUGGUGGACGUUCCAGAAGCACUCUGCGACUUUGGCUCCAGUGUCAACAUUAUACCCAGGGUACUCUAUAAGAAAUUCUUUACAUAUCCUUUAUUAGAGACAACCAUGUGUUUGCAGUUUGCAGAUCAGACGAUAACUUUUCCAAAAGGAAUAGUGAAGAACCUUUGUGUCUGAGUUGGUACCUUGUAUGCCCCAGCAGACUUCGUAGUGGUGGAGACCGGAAAUGAUGAGAGAGCACCUAUCAUCCUAGGGAGGCCAUUCUUGAAUACCACGGGAGCUAUCAUCCAUGCCAGUGCUGCCAAGAUCAGUUUCUACGUCAAAGGGAAGAAGGAGACAUUUUUCUUCAAGAACAAGACUACACAAAUUCAAGAUCAAUCCAGACGUAAAUCAAGGAAGAGGACCAACAGGAGAAACAGGAACAAGCAAGUGUGGGCCGAGUCAGCUAAGAUGGUCACUGUAGUCCAUGGAGGCCAAGAUCACCAACUUAAGUCACCGUUUUUGACCAACAAGGACGACCCAGGAAUGCCAAGCAUUUACUGCUCCAUAAAUGGAUACAACUUCUACAAGACGAUUUGCGACACCGGAUCGGGCGUUAACAUAAUGGCCGCAGUCACCUAUCGGCUCUUAUUCGGGACCAUGCCACUAAGACCAACAUACAUUCAGCUCCAGAUGGCAGAUCAGACAUUUCGAGAAGUUCAAGGAGUAGUAUCUGAUGUCCCAGUCAAAAUAGACGAUCACUUUGUCUACACAGACUUUCAAGUUGUUGACAUGGGAGAAGAUGAAUACGAUCCACCCAUCAUCCUUGGAAGACCGUUCCUCAGCACUAUUAAAGCAAUUAUCUACAUUGGAACCGGAGAAGUCCAUAUGCACUUCCCCUCAGAGAAGGUACGCCGUUAUUUUACUGACCCUAACUAUAUCGUUGAAGAAUCUAAGCAGGUAAGGAAAAGACGCAACCGCAACCAGAGGAGGCAGAUCAUCAAGGACGGAUGGGCAGACUAUGAAGGAGAAGUUGUAAGAUCAGAAGACGUUGAGUUUAAAAAGAAUUAUCCAGAGGAGAUUGAAGCACCAAGUCAGGUGUGGAAAAUGAAGAUAACUAUACAAGAAGAGGAGGCCCUGCCGGAAGUACCGACUACGCCACCCAACGAACCUCAGGACCAUUAAGAAAAUGGAGAGUCCCGUUCGGAGGACUUAAAAACACCGAACGCCUUGCCAAGAGGUAAACUUGGUAGUUAUCCUUUCCCUUUCAAUUAUUUCAAAUAGUUUACUAAGUUAAUCAGGUUCAUACUAUCUUAAAAAGAAAAUAAAAAUAUGAAAAAUACUAAGCCCCAUGUGAGUAGACGAGUGGCAUAAAACCCAUAAGUACAUUCACUGUGGUGGCAUAAAAAUAAAAUAAAUAUUUUUCUGCUUUAUAAAAUAAAAAUAUAAAAAAAGGGAGUAAUAAUUAUUAAGGAGUCUCAAGAUAAUAAAGGCUAGAUAUUUAUACUAACACUUAAUCAAUUCCACAAGCUUUGUUGUCUAUUUGAGCUCCACAGAAUUUAAGAAUCAAGAAGACUAGCAGACGGAGGACAUUCUAAUCGCUGUCAGAAUGCUGCUGACUUUCAAAUACACCUCUGCCAACUGCUAGCUACAUCAAGAGAAAUUACGUCAAAAUUCAGCUUGUGGGAGAGCACCCCCAUUUAUCCCGAUAAGUAUUUCUAUCUAUCUAUCUUUAUACUUAUAUUAUUUUAGAAUAUUAAAAUACAUAUAAACUAUGGAAAACCAAAUAAAGAUUUUAUGCUUAUAUAUAUAUAUGUCUUUUGCUUAGUGUGUUUAAUAAAUAAAUAAAGUGGCUAUGCUAAUCUGUAUCUAAAUAAAACUUAAGCAUGGAUAUGAUAAAUAGUUGCUCUACCUAAUUUGCAAAUUUUAAGUUCUCUCUCAAGUUUAGAUAUAACUGUUAUAAUUUAAAGCUUAUCCUAGACCUAAACUUGUGGGAUGAAAAUUUGAUCUGAAGCCUAAGUUGUUAACGGAUAUGAUAUGGGAUGGUUGAGCUGCUGUUUAUCUGUUCCUAGAGAUGCUAGAAUUCUGGAGAAUUUUAUCUUUGAAAAUCUUUAAAAUGUUGCAUGAUGAGUUCCGUAUGAUGAGUGUUUAAAUUCCUACCACAGCCAUAUAUACAUGCUUGCUAGACUUUGAGCCAUACAUUUAUUAUUUACUGCUUAUGAGCAUUGAGUGUGGUCAAGUUGUGUUGACCCUUAGGAGCUUGUCAUGUGGUUAAAUCAAGAUUUCACUUGCACGUUCACUCAUAUAUGCUACUUCUACUCCGGAAGUACCAUCCACAUAUAUCCACCCAUUCCAUCUCCAGAAUCACCCAAAAAUAUUCUACUCCUAAUCCGGGAGAGAAUAACCAAAAAUAUUUCUGUUUUCCCCUUGUGAAAUAAAUGCUCAAGUUAUAUUGUUACUACCACUUGCUAUAUUAUCUCAAGAGAUGAAUGCUCUGAAAAAAAAGAUACGAGGAAAUAAAAAGGAGCAAGUGCUCGGAACCUCGAAAGAAAAGAAAAAAAAGUGAGACGAGAGGUAAAAAUGGACAAGUGUCCGACAGUAGAAUUAGGGGUACAAGAUGCCCACCUGAGAGAAAAGAAAAAGAAGAGCAUCUCAUUCUCCUCAUAAAAUUUCAAAAGCAAGAAAGGUAUGUAUCCCCUCAAAGAGCAAAGUAGAAUUAGACUUCCACCACCAUUGUUUUCACCAUUGUUAUCACCAUACACCAUUCAUUCGCCACACAUGCACGUCUUGAUUUGGCUUAUUGACUUGUUACUUUGGAUCCAUGGUUUGACUAUGCAAUAAAUGUCUUGUAAGUAUGUAUACUUUAUCUCCCACCUAUGAGCUCUAGAUAUUAAAGCCUUAUUAGAGUAGGAUGAGAGAGAAGGCAAUGUCACUAUGCCUCAUACCACAAAUACCACAUAUCUUGAGAGAAGACAUAUACCAUCACUGCCUUGGUAAGGAUCCAAAAAUACCACAAAAGAGAGACCUGAGAGAAUCAUACAAGGAAACUCUGAGUUUUAUUUGAAAAUCUGCAAAAACCCCAGAGCUAUAGCUGAUCAAGAAUAAGAGACAUGGCACUUGGCUGGACUGUUCUAUCUUUUAACCACUCAAAACAUAAGUGACGGUUACAAGUCCCACGGUGAAGGUAAAGUAAGUAAGUUUUAAGUCUUGACAGUUUACUCUAACUCAGAGAUGAGAUCUUAUUUAAAAGCAUGUGUACCGUCAAUUUUUAAAUAUAUUGCAACUACUUAUGAUCCAUAGCUGAGUCUAUCCUUGCUCAGGGACGAGCAAGAGGUAAGCUUGGGGGAGUUUGUUGACGGUCCUUAAGUAUCAAAUUUAAUUAUCAAAUAAAUAAAGAAAAGGAUCCAAAUGAAAUCAAGAUCUAGACUUAGGGUUUUAUCUGACAGAAUUCCAUGAGUUUUGGUGUUUCUCUAUUUCUGCAGGGGGUUAUCGGGAAAUAUGGAAGAAAGGCCCACAUGUCGGGAUUACGUAAAGAUAUUAACGUGCUGCGCAAUUAUCUUACAUCUAGAAGACUCCAAAAGCCACGAGACCGAAGCGGAGGCGAAACGGGGCCAGAGGCAGGGCGCCCGCCCUCCUGCCCUGGGCGCCCGCCCACCUCCUGUGUCCAAUCAGGACUCUCCUUUGCGGGAGAUCUCCACCGACCUAAAGGAUGAAUCUAAACCAUACAAUCUAUGUCGGUUUGAUCCAAGGGCCCAUAUUCACUUGAAGGGACUAUAAAACCAGACCCCCUGGCCCCUGGAGGAGGGAGCCUCUCAACCCUAAUUCAUUGUUCCAUCAAGGGAGAAGAAGCCUCUGAUCAAGAUUAGAGCCACCACAUCAAUUAGAUAUCUAGAUUAGCAUAACUACAUAGGAUUAGAACUAGAAGGAGUCAAUCUUCGAUUGGUUUCCGGAUCUGUCAAGAGGAUUCUUGGUAAUUCUCUAAUUGUGCUUCUAAUUGCUUUCUAAUUAUCUUUGUUCUUCAAUAUUAUGAAUAUGACUUUGUUCUACUUCAAUAUAUUGCUUAUGACUUUGCUCUAUUUGCUUAUAUUCAAGAUUAUAUUGUUCUUAGUUUAUUAUAGUUAUGUACUUGGCUUAGUUAGAUUCGAUCUAUAUACAUGCUUAGGAUCGUAUAGCGUUUAUCCAUCGGAUCCAUGGGUAAAUGAUAGAUAUUGUGUAGGCGUGGUGCUUAUACCGUAUUUAUCUGCGAUUGUACCCAAUAUGCCAGAUCGUGGGGUGGUUCGUGAUAGUGACAGCUUCAUUGAUUCUUAUAUAGUCCCCCUCUCGUGUAUUGGGCUGGCAGAGCAACAUUAUUACAGGGGAGUGAUUGCUAUGUUUCUCAUAUUCCUUGCUAAUAUCACUAUGCAUGGGCGUAGUCUUGUCUCGCAAUGAUUGCUAAGUAUGCUUGCACUAAUUAUGAUAAUGCUAGACUAUAUAGUUAAGAAUAACUUAGGGAAUAUUCUUGUAGUUCGUUCUAAUACCAUGCUAAUGACUUUCUAGAGUAUCUAAUUGAGGUGCUUAUCAUAUUUAUUACGUGGCUAGAUCAUAUUAGUUAUCCUUGUCACUAUUAUUAGUUCAUAUAUCUUUUAUGUGACACUUAUCCCUGUAUGAUGAGUUAGAUAUAAUGUUCUCAAUUAUACAUGCAAUGAUAGAUGCUCAAUCUCAUAUUCUAUUCUGUAAUCAAUAUUGAUGAUUGCUAAUCCCUUCCCAGUGGUAAAAAUAUAAAUAACAAUACCUGGAAUACUUCCCGGUUAAAAUGCUGCAUCGGUAUUAAUCUGUGCGCUUGCAGAUCCCAUUCAUUAUUUAUUUAGAAGAGCAAUUGCAUAUUUCAAUACCGCGUCUCUUAUAUCAUGCUGGGGAUGACAACUUGGCUUAAGUGGUGUGAGGGAUAGGUUUGGCAUUUUUGGCACCGUUACUAGAUUUAGAGAACUUAGUCUACUUUUGGUAAUGAUGUUAAGAAUACCCAACAUGGGGCAUGCGUUCAACAUGACAAGAGGGCUGUCAACGAUCGGUCCUUAAUCGACACAGGCGGGGAUAGAUAGGCACCCAAGACCUCCAUGUCUUGUUACUUCUCUAUCAUCGUCCCGCCCGGUCUCCAAUUAUUCAUCCUCAUCACUUGGUUAUUUCCAUGAUAGCAUAUAUAGUCAACCUUUUCAGGUAUCCACCUAUCUCGCUCAGGUGACAGAACAUCACCUGGCUUCUACCGAUCUAAGCAUAGCUAAGCAGUUAGAUUCGAUCGUGAAUCUACAUAGGGUCAUAGGUAUAUUUACUGGACAAGGAGUGAUAUAUGCAGCAAGGGUUUCACCCAACUCCUAUACUUAAUGCAACAAUACAUAUAUAACAUAUAUUUUCAAUUGCAUUCAAAAGUAGUAGGAGACUUAUAAUGCUCCGAGGCUUGCCUGGGAUCAACACGGAGUCAGUUUAAUUAGUUGUUCCAUCUUGGUGACAUCUUAGGUCGCAACACUUGCUUAGUCCUUCCAUCUUCGCGAUGGGUCCACCCAACACCGUCUUCGGAUUUGUUCCCACACCAAGACCUUCACGUGAUUCAUCUAGCGCACCUAGAUGAGAUGCAAGAUGCAAGUGCAUGAAUAUAAAGAAUAAUAACACAACAUGCAUCACAGAAAAGUAUGCAAGACAUAGGCAUUUAAAGUUAUUUAGCUAACAUCACACGACCAAUUAUAUAGAGCAAACAUAUCAAUAAUGACACAAGUUUUACAAGGUUGCAAGUGUAUUACUUAAUCACCAUUAAAGACAUGAAUCACAGUUUGCACACAACAAGUAAAGCAAUCAAGCAUUCAUGCAUUUUCAGCAAUUUUGGACAUACAUGCAGCAACUCAGUAAACAAUUCAUAACUAGAGCUACACAGCUCCAAAAACUAUGAAAUAGGACAUUAUGGAAAGAUUAUAAAAUCAUCUACAAUUCAUCUUUAAUCAUAUUAGCAUGAUUAACAAGUUAACCAAGUAAAACAUGCAUGACCAUAUAAUCUGGUCCAGGAAUUUCCAGAGAACAAGCAUUUCAAGGGAUGAACUUCAUACUACUGUAACUCACAAACCACUUAGCCAAAUGAUAUGAAACUUUACCACAAGAUAUAUUAAUAAAUUAUCUACAUAUUUUAUAUAGACAAGUUGCACAAGAAACAUCAUUUAUAUCAUGAAAUUAGUUGCACAAUCAAAACUGCUCGUGCUGCCCAAACAGUAGGGGUACAAUUACACACAGAAAACUGAUAGGCAAUUCAAAGCAGCAUAACUGGAGUUGUAGACCUCCAGCAAACAUAAUUCUUAUAUUUGUGGAAAGCUUAUAAAGUUACCCACAACUUUCUUAUUAUCAUCUAAAUAUGAUUCCACAGUUAACAAGGUCAAUUAAUCCCAUGAAGGCAUCUCUGUCCAAAACAUAGACAGAAUCUGUCAUGCUACAUUAAACAGCUAUAACUUGAGGUUCACAUGUCCAUAAUUUAUGAUUGUGUACUUUCUAGAAAGCUUACGAAAUUGUGAACAACUUUGUUAUAAACAUCUAGAGCUAAAUCUAUCACUAAUAAGGUCUUACAUUACAAACAAUGCAAUCCUGUCUGGGUUUAGAUAGAAACUGGAACAGUACUUUAAACCACUAUAACUCAACAUGUGCUCAACAAAAAAUUGUGCUAUUUAUCUUUUUGGAAAGCUCAUGAAAAGUACUAAAACUUAUAUAUUUUCAUUAAGGCAUGAUUCACAACUGAACUGAUACGAGCAAAGGAACACAGGGUACUUGUUAUUUUUAUAACUCUUAAUCUGUUAUUCCUAAAUUCAUGAAACUUUUAUCAGUCAUCAAAUAUCAUAUGAAAAGCAUGUCACAAUAUUUUCACAUUUAUUUGGGCAACAACACAGCAGUUAUGAAAAAGACAAAUAUAACAAGGAAUUAAAACCUAACUGCAUAAAUCUAUUUUUACGACUAUAACUUCAAACUAAACCAUGCCAUAUUAUAGAUCUACUGCAUAUAGAAUUUCAUAACGAUUCCAAAAAGUCCACUUUUGCUAUUUUACGACUUUUCUAUGAAUUACUAUGCAUUUCUAAAGAUCAUCCAGAAAUCUGCAUAAAGAAAAGAUAAAGGAAAACACUUUUGCUUCGGAAACCCUGUGCUUCGCAAACCCUGGGCUUUCUCGAAAUCAACCGCAGUCCAGAUGCACUAUUCAUAUGAGUCUUAGUUUCGCAUCUGGAACCCUGAGUUGUUUCAUAUUCUAACCCGAGAUCCCUCCUAAGGAAGGCGAAAUCCAGCUUCGGGGUCAGGGGCGACGCCAUCGACGAGGAAGCGACGCUGGGGUCUCCCAAGCUCCCACGCGACCACGAUGGGGCUCAGCCUGGAGGACGGCCCGGCCAUGAUGCUCAUCCAUGCUAGCUGCUCGGGGUAGCGGGCGGCAAUGGUGGUGUCCGUGCUCGACAGUGAUGGGGAGCGAGUUGGAGAGACACAGAGAGGCGGAGGGAGUGGAGGGGAGGUGGAGGUGAGUGAAUGAGGGAGUGGUGAGCCCUUCUGGCUGUCCCAAACGCAAAAUGGAGCAGCAGCAGAGGUGCAGCAAUGGUGGGGCGCGCUCUGGUGCAUGGCGACCACGCAGGCAUUUCAUCGAACACGUGGUGCGCGUCGGAGUAGGCAAGGUGGGAGGCGAUUUUGGGCUUGUUCCUGGCCGAAUUUGAAGAUGGGCCAAAAAUGAAGUUUGCUCACCUCGUCCUGCUCUCCAACUUUGAUUAAGGGUGCUCAGUCAUUAGGCCAACAGAUUAGGAGAUAAAUAGAUGCCAAGUCACGAGUGUCAACGUAUUGACGGUGAUUAGCAAAACCAAGAAUUGAUGGUCCAAAUUAUGUCAAACAUGAUGCAACUUUUUACAUGACCUUCUCCAAGUAAUUGUCCACCACUUUUAUUUUUGGAUCAACUUUAGUUGCUUAACAAAAACAGGAGAACACGACAUGCCAACGGGUCGACGUCCGUUUAGCAAUAAAUUAAUCUUUUGCUGUUUUGGGAGCUAUUUUUGAACAUCCAAAUGAACUCCAAAUUUGAUGAUACUUGAUCCAUUGCUUUCACCAAGAAGAGUACUCCAACUCAUAUUAAGGAAUCCAAUUGAGUUACUAUAUGAAUUUGGAUGCUAAAAUGUCACAGAUAAACUAACUUGCUGCUGUCACUUUCCGGGACAUAGAAUUAUUUCUCAGGGCUAAAAAGCAGCAGCUGAUUCGAUCUUGGAGCCUCUAUUUCAACUAUUUGCAUGCUGAUUUGGUUCUUGACCCUUGAAUAAAGUUUCUUCUACACAAGAAAAACUACAACUUUCAUUUAGGGUCAAACCUCAUAACUGCAGCAGAAGUCCAUCUUUCACUUUGGUCAAAGCAGUAACCCGAUAAAGCUCCAAAUAGGAUUUUAGGCCAAUUGAAGCAUUUUCUUGACAUAACCUCAACAUGAACCCUUCAUGACUUUUGUUGUAUAAUUCAUCUAGAGUCCUAUGAGCAAGUUUGGAAGGGUUGGUUCAUGACCCAUGAUUCUAUUUCCUUAAUAGAGCCAUUCCAACAAUGAUAUAACUUAUCAUUUCAUGUGACUUCUUGAUUCCAAACUUAACCAAACCUUUCCAGAGACCAACAUAGAUUGGGAUGGAUAUAAGACACAUGAAAAAGGUUCUAUUAGCAUCAUCAAAGCAUACCUUUUAAAAAGGCAUAUAUGCAAGCAAGGUUGCAUCCACCAAGCCCAAGUUGCGGUUUACUUUCAUAGGUUGACUGUGACCUCUUUGUUACCAUUAAGCUUGUCAUGUUUGAGCUCAAACCUAGUACUUAGCAAGUGACAAACAGCUUGGGUGUUACAGCCUUCCCCCCUUAAAAGAAUCUCGUCCCGAGAUUCGGUGCAAAAGACUUUCAAGGGAAGAAAACAAUGUCACGCAUUUUCCAACAUUAGCAAUAGCAGUGGGCGACUUAGCUUAGAACAUCAGAGAAGCUAACUUGAUCCAAACAUUUUCUGAUACUUGCCCUUCAUAGUAAACCUUUAUCUAGAGAAUCUCCCUUUUUGUUUGACUCCACUGAAGCACUACCUUGGGAGGAAUCCAAGACAACAUUGUUCCAUGUACUUUGUUUCUGAUUGUUUAGAGCCUAAGGAGCUACUUGUACCAUUAGCUUCUUUAGUGAAACUAAUGCAAGCCAUAUGAACUUUACACUAUGUCACAAGCUUAUAAGGGUUGCUCAUUAUACUGAUUCCAGGCUCAUUCACAAGAUUUGAAAAGCAGUUCUCUACCAAAAUGGUUGAAUUAUAACUUCCCACACUUGCAGGUCCCUUUCUCUGAUGACAACAUUGUACUGACCACCCGAUUAAGAGAACAGUGAAUGUGAUAGCUGACUCUGUUUGUUUCAUGCCUUCCAUGAUCAUUUACUUUAAUGGGAUUCUUGUAUCCAAACAACAACAGUUAUCUGGGUUGAAUCAGAUGUAACUUCUUGGGUAACACAUAGAAGGUAACCAAGGCAUGUAAGAAUUGGAUAACCACUACUGACAAAGGAUGAUAGUGGGGUCCAUAGGUCUCCAACUGUUGCAAGUGUUCAACUAACUAAAGAAAUAGUUUACCACCAAGUAGGUUAAGCAUGACCUUUCUUCAUGAUGCAGUUGCAUAAGAGUUAGGUUGACUUGUACCAUAGAAAAACCAAUCCAAGGGAACUACUUUUGCUUUUGAGGUUUCCUUUUUAAGAUCAGUCAGUAGCUCUGAUAUUGAAAAUCUAUUGACUGACACCUUUCAAAACAUUUUUUAUUUGCACUGGCACAAAUGGGUACAAAGAAUCUUAUUUCAGCAUAUAAGCAUUAUCUAUGCAGCAAGACAUUGCCCAUAUUGUAAUCCAUGGCACCCAAACAAACACCACUCACAUUUCCAUGAAAUUAGGUAGAAUUACAGAUCCAUGAGUCUUCCAACCUUUGAUCAAAAUUCAGCUCAAACGGGCACCAUUUGUGUAGGCAGAACAUAUGCAUACUAAAAUUGUUCGGUGCUAAAACGGCAGCACUCCUGACUGACAAGACAUCUCUCAACUCCACAGUUUAAUUCACUAUUUGACGAAAUAUAUCCUUCAUGGCUAUCAAUCCAUCGUUUCCUUGCUUGAGAUUAGCUUUGUUACUAGCAACCAAUCAAUUGGCUCUCAUCACUAAAAUUUCCAAAGCUCCACACUUAACUACAACAAUUGUGGCUGACGCUUAACAAUUGGUCACCCUCAAAACCAGGAGAUAAUGAUUCACGCUAAAGAUGGUUGACUGUAGCUGUAUGACCAUGAUGCACAUAAAGAUCAAGACUUAGGAAAACUAGAUCAUAAGCAUAAUGGUGAUGACUGAUGCUUGUUCAACAAAUAACUUGUCCAACAUUAAGUGUCGUGUGUCCUUUGAUUCGCCGUGGACGACCAAUGUUGCUCAUUAAAUGACCAUCAUCAUUGCAGGAAUAGUUAAAUAGUGUCACUUGUCUACCAUCUCUUGUAGUCCGUUAAUGUUGAUGUCAGUGACCCAUUAUUCAAAGGUAAUCCUUUUUGUAACUUCAUGGGUCACUUGUCUACCAUCUCCUACUUGCACAUGAAGUAAGAAUCUUCUAAUAUGAUCUAAAGAGAUAAUUGAGGACAAACUCAUGAUGAGAUGACACAUUGGUGUAGUUCUAUAAUAGAGCAUGGCUAGCGACAACGAUACCAGUGCGUGCCGAGCAGCACAACCAUGUGUCGGCCGCCACAAGGGGCUCUCGGUUUCGUCACGGCACCAUAAAUCAUUAACCAAGGCACCAUUACUGAACAUACAACCCAAAGGAAAUCUCUCAUGGUAAAAAUUGGGUUGCAUAGCAGCGAGCACUUUGCAAAAGAGGGGGUAUCAACUGAGAUAGUCAUGAGAUUAGAGGUCCACAAGGAAGUGAUUAAAACAUAGUACUAGAGAACAUAGAUCACAUAAGAUUAAGAUGGAUAAACACCCAGAGACUCAAGAGAGUUGGAGAUAAAACGAUUGAGUUUUGAAAGAUUGAGUCAAUACACAGAUUAGGGGAUGGAUACACAACAUUCAAGAGCUAACAACCAUGCACAAACUCAAGCUCUUUAUCAUUGGAAUCUACUUGGAGAUAACUACUGACGGUUCUUAAGUAUCAAUUUUAAUUAUCAAAUAAACAAGAGAAAGGACCAAUAUGCAACCAUCACCUAGAAUUAGGGUUUGAUCUGACAGAAUUCCACGAGUUUUGUUGUUUAUCUAUUUCUGCAGGGGGUUAUCAGGAAAUAAGGAAGAAAGGCCCACAUGUCGGGAUUACAUAGAGAUAUCAACGCACCGCGCAAUUUUACAUCAUCUAGAAGACUCCAGAAGCCACGAGACCGAAGCGGAGGCGAAGCUGGGCCAGGCUUAGGGCGCCCGCCCUGGAAGCCUGGGCGCCCGCCCCCCUGCUGGAGCCAAUUCAGGACUCCUUCGCUCGGGAUAUUCCACCGACCUAUUGGAUCAAGAAAAACAUAGUACUACCUCGGCUAUCGACCCAAAAACGCAUAGAAGGGGAGGACUAUAUAAGCGAGGCCCCCUGGCCCCUGGAAGACAUGAAGAAAUUAUCAUAGAGACUGAGGGGUGCCCUCGAAGGAAAACCUCUAUUGUAAUUAAUAUUUCUUUUUAGGCUUAGCAAUCAAUGUAAGGUAGAAAUAGAUCUUCUAGUUUCUACUAGAUUGAGAGAGAUAGAGUGGAGGUGUAGAGUGGAGGAAGCCCGGCUUGUCGGUGUCUACUCCAAGCUUGUACCUGCGGGAUCAAGUUCUCCUAACCCGAAGCUUGCUCCUAGGAUUCUUCAGUAAUUCGACUUCUAAAUUCUAGUAAGUUCUUGUUUUAUUGUUCUUAUGGUUUAUGAGUUUACUUUAAUCUCUUCGCGUAGAGUUUAGAGUAAUCAUUGCUGGCGUAAAUGUGGUGUUUAGGCUAGGGUACUCAUAGAUAUUCCCUGACUAGCUGGACCGUGGUAGUAGUGAGGAACGUGACAUUUCCGAGCUACCUUUGUAGAUCACAUCUCGUUAGCAGGAAGGAUAGGGUUUAUAGGUGCGGGUCGAACAUCCUUUGUGUUGUCUAGAUUCCGUUAGCCUCCCCAUCAGAACAAUAGAUCAUCCUUACCAAGGUUAGAAGGAGACUACGGUUGCAGUCUUCUCUAUUUAUCACUCACAUCGAAAGACAUUCUUUGUGCCUAAAGGGAUAGUAGCAAUAGACCGGUUAGUCAGAUGCACUCUUUCUCCCAGUGGUAAAAAUAUAAAUACGAUACUCUGGAAAACCUCCCGGGUGAAAUGCUCACCGAUAUCCGUGCGCUUGCGGAUCAUUUUCUAAUUGCGUUACCAAAUAUCAACAAUAACCAUGAGAUUAAAGUGACAUGAGUGUUAUUCUAAGAUAAGGCUCUUCAACACUCGCAAGCUUACUAAGGACAAAAAGGUAACAACUACGACACUACCUGAUUAACAACACAUCUACUCAUGCAUCAUGGUUUUAAACAAACAUGUGAGAACAUGAAUCACACUAUCUCCAACAAUCAUUACUAAGCACAAAGUUCUGCAGAUAACAAGCAGUCAUCUAAAGCAACACUAGUACACCUAAACAUACAAAACAUGAUGGUAAAGUGCUUUUAUCUUUUACUUUCUUUUACUAGAAAGGUGUAUGUUUCUUCUCUAGUUGUGAAAACAAAUUUUUAACUUAUGCUUAAAAGACUAGUCAUCUUAGAGAUGUGCAUCAUACUGACAGGGUGCACAGACAGACCACAACAGGCAAAACAAAGCAAAUUAUACCCUAUCUUUAAUUAUAGCUAUUCAAGCAACAUGUAGCAAAGCAUUUUAUCCAACUGCACACAAGCAAGGUGACACCACAUUGAUUCAUAAGUUACUUAUUGUUAGAACAAAGGUGAGAGACACAAAGUUAUACAUAAGAUAACAAUCAUGAUGAUGCAUGCUUCGUCCUAUUCGUCCUCACAAAAUUGCCAGCCUAAGGUGGCAAUCACGUUCUAUGUCGGUGGCAUAACACGUACACUCUCGACAUAUAGCUAGUCGUAAUAUUCAAUUUACGCAUCCGUGGUUAGUGUACCUGCAGAAAAUUCAUUUCAGCGCACCCACAAUAUGAAACAUGCAGUACAAGAUUAAAAAGCUAUGCGCUCCACACACGUGUAUCCCCAUACCUGUUUGUGUAGUGCUACUACCCACAUCAUCGUCCUAGUGACGACAUCGCCUCUAAGGACGGAAUCACCCAUCAUGCGAUACCUUUUCAUAGGCACAUGUAAAAUGUGCACAUGAUCCAGUACCAAAAGCACUUCCCUAGAUCGGUGGUGUAUCCGAUCAUGCUCUCACAGCUCACACUUACCGUGGCGUAGAGGAAGAAAUGAUCCAUACAUUACCAUUCAAAUGAAUGGCACUCAUACUAUUGCACGCCGUAUGAGCAACGAAAUAGAAAUAUGAUGCAGAAACCCCCAAGUCAGUACUUAAAUAAGCCACCUAAAGGUCCUUAUUUGAGCAUAAAGGAAAUGACCACUGGCAUACUUAGGUAAAACAUUUUCAGAUUUGAACACACCUAUAUCUAUAAUAGCUAUAAGCUAUUAAAAACUAAUUUUAGAAAACAAAAUCUUUUGUUUAGAAUACACAUAUGACAAGUUUAAUGUUGAACCUUGCUUUGAUACCAGCUGUAACAGAACCGCCCAAUUUACAAGAGAUCAACUAUGAAAAACUCCCGCCAAAGCAGUUGCUUUAACAUAAUCGAACUCUUAUAAACCGGGUAGUCCGUGAAAUCACGAGGGAUUUCAAACCAACCAUCAUACAAGCCAAGAUCGUAGUGAUUGAACAUAACAAGUCACAUGUUACAUCCAUUUCACAAGUAGUUUGAUAUACAUCGGAGUUCUAUAUAGUUAUUACAACUUGAGUUGAAAAAUAGCGGAAGCAGAAUAAUUUUGAAACUAACAUUACCCUUAUUUCAAAUACAUGCCAGUAUCCAGGUCAACUCCAACAAAAGCAACAUAGAUGAGGUAACUAAGAUGGAUCAUGCCCAUGAUCUUACUCCUCUAAUAUGGUAGGAGUCAUCCAACUCUUGCAGUAGCCAUGAUACAUCACAACCUGCAACAAGUGGGAAUAAACCCUGAGUACGAGAAGGUACUCAGCUAGACUUACCCGUCAUAAACCAGAAAUAACAUGACACCAAGGAGUAUGCAAGGCUUUAUUGGUGGGGCUAGCUGGAAAACACUUUUUGCAUAAAAAGCUUAGGUUACAGGUAAGUAACUUUUCAGGUAUUUAGCUCAAGUUAAUAAUCAUUACCUGUCAUCUAUAUUAGCACCUGUACUAGAGCAAUCACUUGAUUAAGAUACAACAGUAGUACCCAUAUUUGAUGUGGCAUUUCCAACAUCAUCAUCAUACCAUAACCAUCCAAGUGUUCCAUAAACAUUACUACGAUGACGAAGCUCAAGUCAAGUGCUCACUGUCCAGGAGCGAUGGCGAUUCGAAUCGAUUUCUAACCAGCUGGCGAGUUUAUUCCCCACACAAACCACACUCACUGAUCAAGUGAGCUACAGGUCACCAUAUUACACUAUCCAGGACCAAUUCGCGGGUUCGACAGGCACCGCCCGUACCCGAGGACCGUUCCGGCGACCGAGGUAUCCAAGGUACACCAAGGUUGCGCGCCGCGCCCUCGUCGUUCUCCUCAACCAUCACCAAUACAGCGAGUACAUCGGGCCGAUUCCCGGCCCGGAUAGUGUUCAGGCUUCGCGGUCGGAACAACUUAUCCUUCCAGCUAAGUGUGGGGCAUGUGUUCAACAUGACAAGAGGGCCGUCAACGAUCGGUCCUUAAUCGACACAGGCGGGGAUAGAUAGGCACCCAAGACCUCCAUGUCUUGUUACUUCUCUAUCAUCGUCCCGCCCGGUCUCCAAUUAUUCAUCCUCAUCACUUGGUUAUUUCCAUGAUAGCAUUCAAAAGUAGUAGGAGACUUAUAAUGCUCCGGGGCUUGCCUGGGAUCAACACGGAGUCAGUUUAAUUAGUUGUUCCAUCUUGGUGACAUCUUAGGUCGCAACACUUGCUUAGUCCUUCCACCUUCGCGAUGGGUCCACCCAACACUGUCUUCGGAUUUGUUCCCACACCAAGACCUUCACGUGAUUCAUCUAGCGCACCUAGAUGAGAUGCAAGUGCAUGAAUAUAAAGAAUAAUAACACAACAUGCAUCACAGAAAAGUAUGCAAGACAUAGGCAUUUAAAGUUAUUUAGCUAACAUCACACGACCAAUUAUAUAGAGCAAACAUAUCAAUAAUGACACAAGUUUUACAAGGUUACAAGUGUAUUACUUAAUCACCAUUAAAGACAUGAAUCACAGUUUGCACACAACAAGUAAAGCAAUCAAGCAUUCAUGCAUUUUCAGCAAUUUUGGACAUACAUGCAGCAACUCAGUAAACAAUUCAUAACUAGAGCUACACAGCUCCAAAAACUAUGCAAUAGGACAUUAUGGAAAGAUUAUAAAAUCAUCUACAAUUCAUCUUUAAUCAUAUUAGCAUGAUUAACAAGUUAACCAAGUAAAACAUGCAUGACCAUAUAAUCUGGUCCAGGAAUUUCCAGAGAACAAGCAUUUCAAGGGAUGAGCUUCAUACUACUGUUACUCACAAACCACUUAGCCAAAUGAUAUGAAACUUUACCACAAGAUAUAUUAAUAAAUUAUCUAUAUAUUUUAUAUAGACAAGUUUCACAAGAAACAUCAUUUAUAUCAUGAAAUUAGUUGCACAAUCAAAACUGCUCAUGCUGCCCAAACAGUAGGGGUACAAUUACACACAGAAAACUGAUAGGCAAUUCAAAGCAGCAUAACUGGAGUUGUAGACCUCCAGCAAACAUAAUUCUUAUAUUUGUGGAAAGCUUAUAAAGUUACCUACAACUUUCUUAUUAUCAUCUAAAUAUGAUUCCACAGUUAACAAGGUCAAUUAAUCCCAUGAAGGCAUCUCUGUCCAAAACAUAGACAGAAUCUGUCAUGCUACAUUAAACAGCUAUAACUUGAGGUUCACAUGUCCAUAAUUUAUGAUUGUGUACUUUCUAGAAAGCUUACGAAAUUGUGAACAACUUUGUUAUAAACAUCUAGAGCUAAAUCUACCACUAACAAGGUCUUACAUUACAAACAAUGCAAUCCUGUCUGGGUUUAGACAGAAACUGGAACAGUACUUUAAACCACUAUAACUCAAGAUGUGCUCAACCAAAAAUUGUGCUAUUUAUCUUUUUGGAAAGCUCAUGAAAAUUAAUAAAACUUAUAUAUUUUCAUUAAGGCAUGAUUCACAACUGAACUGAGCCAAACAAUACAAACAUGCAGAUCCACUCAGAAUAGGAGCAAAGGAACACAGGGUACUUGUUAUUUUUAUAACUCUUAAUCUAUUGUUCCUAAAUUCAUGAAACUUUUACCAGUCAUCAAAUAUCAUAUUAAAAGCAUGUCACAAUAUUUUCACAUUUAUUUGGGCAACAACACAGCAGUUAUGAAAAAGACAAAUAUAACAAGGAAUUAAAACCUAACUGCAUAAAUCUAUUUUUACGACUAUAACUUCAAACUAAACCAUACCAUAUUAUAGAUCUACUGCAUAUAGAAUUUCAUAACGAUUCCAAAAAGUCCACAUUUGCUAUUUUACGACUUUUCUAUGAAUUACUAUGCAUUUCCAAAGAUCAUCCAGAAAUCUGCAUAAAGAAAAGAUAAAGGAAAACACUUUUGCUUCGGAAACCCUGGGCUUUCUCGAAAUCAACCGCAGUCCAGAUGCACUAUUCAUAUGAGUGUUAGUUUCGCAUCUGGAACCCUGAGUUGUUUCAUAUUCUAACCCGAGAUCCCUCCUUCUCUACGGAAGGCGAAAUCUAGCUUCGGGGUCAGGGGGCCACGCCAUCGACGAGGAAGCGACGCUGGGGUCUCCCAAGCUCCCACGCACCACGAUGGGGCUCAGCCUGGAGGACGGCCCGGCCACGAUGCUCAUCCAUGCUAGCUGCUCGGGGUAGCGGGCGGCAAUGGUGGUGUCCGUGCUCGACAGUGAUGGGGAGCGAGUUGGAGAGACACAGAGAGGCGGAGGGAGUGGAGGGGAGGUGGAGGCGAGUGAAUGAGGGAGUGGUGAGCCCUUCUGGCUGUCCCAAACGCGAAAUGGAGCAGCAGCAGAGGUGCAGCAAUGGUGGGGCGCGCUCUGGUGCAUGGCGACCACGCAGGCGUUUCAUCGAACACGUGGCGCGCGUCGGAGUAGGCAAGGUGGGAGGCUAUUUUGGGCUUGUUCCUGGCCGAAUUUGAAGAUGAGCCAAAAAUGAAGUUUGCUCACCUCGGCCUGCUCUCCAACUUUGAUUAAGUGUGCUCAGUCAUUAGGCCAACCGAUUAGGAGAUAAAUAGAUGCCAAGUCACGAGUGUCAACGUAUUGACGGUGAUUAGCAAAACCAAGAAUUGAUGGUCCAAAUCAAGUCAAACAUGAUGCAACUUUUUACAUGACCUUCUCCAAGUAAUUGUCCACCACUUUUAUUUUUGGAUCAACUUUAGUUGCUUAACAAAAACAUGAGAACGCGGCAUGCCAACAGGUCGACGUCCGUUUAGCAAUAAAUUAAUCUUUUGCUAUUUUGGGAGCUAUUUUUGAACAUCCAAAUGAACUCCAAAUUUGAUGAUACUUGAUCCAUUGCUUUCAUCAAGAAGAGUACUCAAACUCAUAUUAAGGAAUCUAAUUGAGUUACUAUAUGAAUUUGGAUGCUAAAAUGUCACAGAGAAACUAACUUGCUGCUGUCACUUUCCGGGACUUAGAAUUAUUUCUCAGGGCUAAAAAGCAGCAGCUGAUUCGAAAUUGGAGCCUCUAUUUGAACUAUUUGCAUGCUGAUUUGGUUCUUGACCCUUGAAUAAAGUUUCUUCUACACAAGAAAAACUACAACUUUCAUUUAGGGUCAAACCUCAUAACUGCAACAGAAGUCCAUCUUUCACUUUGGUCAAUGCAGUAACCCGAUAAAGCUCCAAAUAGGAUUUUAGGCCAAUUGAAGCAUUUUCUUGACAUAACCUCAACAUGAACCCUUCAUGACUUUUGUUGUAUAAUUCAUCUAGAGUCCUAUGAGCAAGUUUGGAAGGGUUGGUUCAUGACCCAUGAUUCUAUUUACUUAAUAGAGCCAUUCCAACAAUGAUAUAACUUAUCAUUUCAUGUGACUUCUUGAUUACAAACUUAACCGAACCUUUCCAGAGACCAACAUAGAUUGGGAUGGAUAUAAGACACAUGAAAAAGGUUCCAUUAGCAUCAUCAAAGGAAACCUUUUAAAAAGGCAUAUAUGCAAGCAAGGUUGCAUCCACCAAGCCCAAGUUGCGGUUUACUUUCAUAGGUUGAUUGUGACCUCUUUGUUACCAUUAAGCUUGUCAUGUUUGAGCUCAAACCUAGUACUUAGCAAGUGACAAACAGCUGGGGUUUUACAGGCCCCGUCGUCAAGGACUUAACUCGGUGACCUGCCUUAGGCGCGGGAGGAGGUUGGGGGCGGGGGAUGAUCUGACCUGGCGCAGGCUCAGGAGGAGUGUCGGCGCGGGAAUGACAUGGAGACGGCUCCCUCUGCUGACUUUCACGAGACCAGCUUGGCCCCCCUUUGGGACUUCCGUCCGCGGGACGUCGACGCCGGUCGGGGGAGGGCCCUCGAGGAUCUAGUCGAGACGGGAUGCUAUUCCUUCGGAAUCAUCGCUGUCGUCGUCGCCAUCGUCGCCAUCAUCCUCGUCGUGGGAUUCUUCCUCUGGCUCCCCCUCUGCCUAGACUUCCCUCGACGCAUCUCCAGCACUUGACGCUAGAGAUUCUUCUUCUUUUCCUCCUUCUUUUUCAAGUCUGCUGUGGAUUUCUGCUUUUCUGCGGACUCUCGCCGCUUGUCACGAACGACCUCGUCCACCUUUACUGGAGGCCUCGAGGAUCGAGCGUCGAUCGGUCCCUGCGCGGGCAGAGAUGGGUCUUAAAAGUGGUCGAAGAGGAUCGAGAUUCAAGAUCGUACAUAGGAAAAGGACUUACCAGGUCAAUCGACCCCUAAUCGGGCCUCAUGAGGAAGUCGUUGACGUGCUCUGGCUGGAAGUCGCUAGCAACGGCCGCCCUAACUCAGGCCGCAACCUCAUCGUCCGCCGGAGCCUCGUUGGACAUCCGGCAAGCCUCGAGAUCCCGCGACGAAACACUGGGACCCAUCUCGUCCAUCCUCAACGGCCAAGACAUCAACGGGAGAACCCUCCGAUGAUGGAUGGCCGAGAGAACGAGAGCGGCUGACUGGCCUUCCUCGCGCAGCUUCUUCAGGGCGUUGAGGAGGGGGUCGAGCCGUGCUUGGUGAGUUUGGAUGACGCCGUAGCUCUAGUGGCCCGGGCGCUCUGAGAUCAAGCGCCCGGUGUAGACGGGGAAGAGGUCGUCGUCGUUCCGUAGAUAAAACCACUGGGAGUCCCAUCCGGCGUGGUUCGACGUUAACCCCACCGGGAUGUACUCGCAUGGCCUCUCCGAUUUGCCAGUCUUCAACACCAGGUUGAGGCACCCGGCCCGUACAGGCUUCCUCACACCUAUGGUUCUAGUAGGGGCGUUGAAGAGCUCGCCCCGGUACAGAUGGAGCCACAGGUCCCAGUAGGGCAUCAUACCCAUAUAGCCCUCACACACCGCGGCAAAAACCGCCGCAGCGGUGAUGGCGUUUGGGGAGAAGUGCUGGAGCUCCACCCCGUAGUGGUGGCAAAGCGCUCGCAUGAAACGGCUUAGAGGAGAACCCAAGCCGUGGCGGUGGAACUUGGCGAAGGAGACCACGUAGCCCUUGGGCGGCCUUGGCUCCCGGUGGUCCGCCGCCGGCGCGAUCCACUCCGGCCGCGACAACAAAGUGCGGGAGCGCAGGAGUCCCUCCCUCUCGAGCUCUAGCAGCCGGCGCUCCAUCAUCGACGACGGGCGCUAGUUGUCGGUGUUUUCCCCACGGGGGGUCACACCAAUGAGUAAAUUUGUAUGCGUGCUCCCUUUUCCAAAUGGUGAUGCAAGAAGACAGAAAGAUUUAUCCUGGUUCGGGCAAGAGAAGGCCCUACGUCUAGCGGGGGAGGGAAGUUUGUAUUAUCUUGCACCUAAGUGCUUGUACAGGGGCGAAUACAAGUGUGUAUGAACCGGGAUGGAGUAUGGAAACUUCUCUACGUGUGUGCAUUGUGAUACGUGAUCUCUGUCUAUUCCUGGGUCUCCCCUUUUAUAGCUCCAAGGAGAGACCUAGGGCACAUGUAUAGGUGUCAGAGUAGGGGUCGAUAGAGGAAUGGCGCGCUGACCUACUCGAGGCCUCCGUACCGGCGUGAUCUCGAGCUGUCCCGUCUUGGUAGCUUGAUGAUGAUUACGCGUGCCCCUGUAUCCUGCUCUGCGCGUCGUCUCGGGCUGGUUCACCUGUCGCACGCUUGUAUGGUAUAGCGGCAGAUCCUGCGGAGUGGCUGCGGUGUUGUCAGUCGACGCCCAACUCUUCCCUAGGAAGGAAUCAUGCCUGGUCGAGGGUCAGGCGCCGUGCAGUGCCUUGUCGUCUAAAGCGUUGACCUUGGGUGUCUCAAGGGGGUCCCGACUAGACGCUCCAUCCCUGCUUUUCGCGCCCUGGCACGCUCUGAGUCGUUUGGUGGGGAAAGCUACAAAAAGGAUGAUGGGACGGGUGCCUGUUCCCUAUCACGCUUCCCGUGACCAGCGUGUUAGGUGGGAAAGCGAUAGGCGCAUUAAAUGCCCUGGCUCUCGUGCGCGCGUCAGGCGGCGGACAGUGCCCUUGCGCUCGACGCCCCCCGAUUCGUUCGAGUCCAUUUCCGUAUUCGACGGUAGUUAGCGCUCGAUCCCUGAGUGGUUCGCUCGACGUCUUUUCUGUCUUCGAGGCUUCGGCCGUCGAUGACCGCACGACUUAUCAGAGCGUCGAGUUGAGGCCCUCGAUCUGUGCACGUGUAAUCUCGUUAUGGGCAACAGUUAGGGUACCCCUUACUGAUACCCUCGACAGUAGCCCCCGAGUCUCCAUUCGAGCGCUGGCGCUCAAGUGGAGGCUUUAUUUUGCGGUCGAAUUUCCAUGGGGACGCGCGAGCGACCCCGCGGGGGUAGCCCUCGAGCCCUUGGAGGAGUUUUUUGACUCCUUCAAGGGUUAAAUUGCCUAACUCUCAGAAACGCUAUCGACACCGGUGGUGGAAGGUCCUGAUUGGCUUGUUUUGUGCGGGGGUUUCGACGUACUCUCGAUAGAGCGAGCGUCUUCCACCCCAAAUUGAGUUCCUAGCGGGUAGUCCAAGUGAGAACCUGUGCCCCUUUCUAGGGGGUCAGCUGUAGCCCGGAGGCGAUCUCAUAAAGCAGGGUCGACGUGGUCGGGGAUACCGAUCUCAUUCGAUAGAGUCCAGCGGCUCGAUGCCUCCCGUCGGGGGGAUUCCUUUCGACUGUCUCGACCCUACCUUGGACAUCCCUAGCGAGUCUUCGUGGCGGGCCUCGAUCUUCGACCACUCGCUGGGGAUCCCUGACUCUGGUGCUCGAGAUCGGCUGUCGAACCCUUUAGGUGGGCCAGCCUGCGACCUCUCGAGGCUUUCACGGGUACAUCCCUUGGCUUACAAGGGAAGGAAGGAGCCAUGGGCGGUUCGCCUUUUUGCCCGUUGGGCGCGCCUUUUUAGGUGGGAGGCGUUACGACACUGUGUUGGCGUGGAAUUUGGAGCGCCCCACCUGUGAGGAGGGAAAGGACAGUUAGACGGCGCAUUUAUGGGGGGAGUUACCUCAUUUCUCGGAUCUGCCCGUUGGUGGACUGCUACCUAUAAAUGUGCCUUGGCGUCGCCGCCGUUCUCCCUUCUGCCUCCCGUCUUCGUUCUCGCCUUAGCCCUCUCGUUGCCUUAGUUCUCUUGCUGUCUCACACGCGCGCGCACAUCCUCGAGCGGUAGCGGAUCCACCGUCCUUCCAUCCAAGAUGCCUGUGAGACUCGUCGCCGCCGACGACUGGCGCCCGUCGUCGAUGACGGAGCCCCGGUUGCUAGAGCUUGAGAGAGAGGGACUCCUACGCCGCCGCACCUCGCUAUCGGGGCCCCUUGUAUAGUACUUUGUUAAUCCUAUUUUCAAGUGAUACAGUAUCUUUAAGUGGUUGUUAUAUGUUUGUCUGUCUUUUCUCUCGAGGCUUCUUUUUAUUCCUUUUUGCGCCUAUGUUUGUUUUUUCUCGCUUGGUCUUUUGUUCGAGGCGGUCUCAAUUGCCUCAAGGGUGAGGAGGCGAGUAGAGUUUCCAUAGCCCGGGGGCAUGGGAGUUCUCAGGCUCGUCGUUUCUCGGCCCUUAAGGGGCUCGAGGUACCUUUACUACUCAACCGUGUGAGAUUACCGAUAGGAAUGAAAGGAUUGCUAGAUUUUUUCCGGCGCUUGGGGGGGUCGCCCCCCUUGCUAGCCCCCGAGGGAGUGUCGACUAUGAUGGGUCGUAGUCGAUACUCCCUUCUAUCGUUGAGACUUGUGGAAAAGUAAAUCGCUCGAGGGAAAGAUUUCAUUUAUUCGUAUAUUCAUUUACAAGGCCUUGGUACAAAGCGCACGUAGGAACAUAAAGCUUUGAAAUUCUAGGGGUAGAAUCGACGUAGCUGUUCGAUGUUCCAUGCAUUGGUGAAGACCGCCCCCUUUUCGUCUGCUAACUUGUAUGAUCCUGGCUUCAAGACCUCGGCCACCACGUACGGGCCUUCCCAAGGCGGAGUCAACUUGUGGCGUCCUUGAUUGCUUUGCCGUCGUCGUAGGACAAGGUCGCCCACGUUUAAGUCCCUCCUGCGCACGUGCUUGUCGUGGUAGCGUCGAAGCUUCUGCUGGUAUCUAGCAGAGUUGAUGAGGGCCAUGUCUCGAGCUUCUUCGAGUUGGUCGACCGCGUUUUCUUGAGAUUCUUUAUUUGAUUGCUCGUUGUACGCUUUGAGUCGAGGGGACCCGUACUCGAGGUCUGUGGGGAGGACAGCCUCAGAGCCGUAGACCAUGAAGAAUGGGGUGUAUUUUGUGGCCCUGCUCAGCGUCGUCCUUAGGCUCCAUAGGACCGAGGAAAGCUCCUCGACCCACUUCUUGCCGAAUUUCUUCAAGCGAUUGUAGAUCCUAUGUUUGAGCCCCUGCAAAAUCAUGCUGUUGGCACGCUCGACCUGGCCAUUAGUUCGAGGAUGGGUCACUGCGGACCAGUUCACACGGAUGUGAUGCUGAUCGUAGAAGUCUAAGAAUUUUUUGCCCGUGAACUGAGUGCCGUUGUCGGUGAUGAUGACGUUGGGGAUCCCGAAUCGGUGGAUGAUGUCGGUGAAGAAAAGGACGGCUUGUUCGGAGUGGAUGUUGGUGAUGGGUCGAGCCUUGAUCCACUUGGAGAACUUGUCGAUAGCCACAAGCAAGUGGGUGUACCCUCCUUUUGCCUUUUUGUUGACGGUUCUUAAGUAUCAAUUUUAAUUAUCAAAUAAACAAGAGAAAGGACCAAUAUGCAACCAUCACCUAGAAUUAGGGUUUGAUCUGACAGAAUUCCACGAGUUUUGUUGUUUAUCUGUUUCUGCAUGGGGUUAUCAGGAAAUAAGGAAGAAAGGCCCACAUGUCGGGAUUACAUAGAGAUAUCAACGCACCGCGUAAUUUUACAUCAUCUAGAAGACUCCAGAAGCCACGAGACCGAAGCGGAGGCGAAGCUGGGCCAGGCCCAGGGCGCCCGCCCUGGUAGCCUGGGCGCCCGCCCCCCUGCUGGAGUCAAUUCAGGACUCCUUCGCUCGGGAUAUUCCACCGACCUAUUGGAUCAAGAAAAACAUAGUAUCACCUCGGCUAUCGACCCAAAAACGCAUAGAAGGGGAGGACUAUAUAAGCGAGGCUCCCCUGGCCCCUGGAAGACAUGAAGAAAUUAUCAUAGAGACUGAGGGGUGCCCUCGAAGGAAAACCUCUUCUCUAAUUAAUAUUUCUUUUUAGGCUUAGCAAUCAAUGUAAGGUAGAAAUAGAUCUUCUAGUUUCUACUAGAUUGAGAGAGAUAGAAUGGAGGUGUAGAGUGGAGGAAGCCCGGCCUGUCGGUGUCUACACCAAGCUUGUACCUGCGGGAUCAAGUUCUCCUAACCCGAAGCUUGCUCCUAGGAUUCUUCAGUAAUUCGACUUCUAAAUUCUAGUAAGUUCUUGUUUUAUUGUUCUUAUGGUUUAUGAGUUUACUUUAAUCUCUUCGCGUAGAGUUUAGAGUAAUCAUUGCUGGCGUAAACGUGGUGUUUAGGCUGGGGUACUCAUAGAUAUUCCCUGACUAGCUGGACCGCGGUAGUAGUGAGGAACGUGACAUUUCCGAGCUACCUUUGUAGAUCACAUCUCGUUAGCAGGAAGGAUAGGGUUUAUAGGUGCGGGUUGAACAUCCUUUGUGGUGUCUAGAUUCCGUUAGCCUCCCCAUUAGAACAGUAGAUCAUCCUUACCAAGGUUAGAAGGAGACUACGGUUGCAGUCUUCUCUAUUUAUCACUCACAUCGAAAGACAUUCUUUGUGCCUAAAUGGAUAGUAGCAAUAGAUUUGGUUAGUCAGAUGCACCCUUUCUCCCAGUGGUAAAAAUAUAAAUACGAUACUCUGGAAACCUCCCGGGUGAAAUGCUCACCGAUAUCCGUGCGCUUGCGGAUCAUUUCCUUAUUUCGUUACCAAAUAUCAACAAGCAUUUCUGGCGCCGUUGCCGGGGAGAAAGACGGUUUGUUGAGAUAACUUUGAGUCUUGCUAUUAUCUUGUAUUAUACUUUUAUACUUUUAUUCUUUUAUCUUUUUAUUUUUAUCUUUAUGGAUAACUCAAAUUCCAUACCUAUUAUUAAAUUCUUUGCACCUUCAGAGACCAGCCAUAGACCAUGGGAGUCAACACGUCCUGCCCCUAAUUAUGAUCCGUGUCUGGAGUUGAUUGCAAUAGGCCAAAACCAAACCUUUUCUAUAGCCGAGGUCCUAUCUUUUAAUCAAAAAGAUAAUGCACUUUUAGCUACACCUAGGGAAUCUUUUAAUCUUUCUAUAAAUUCUAGUUUAGACCUAGCCCUACAAGACCAUGUUUUUCCUAGAUAUUUUCACAUUGGUCUUAAUCAUAUAAUCCUUGGUAGAGUCUUUCUUUCAUUAUCAGUUAGUAACGGAAGGUAUGUCUUCAUUCGUGGACAUCCUUCUUGUACUAGUCUUCAUAGAAAAAUCAUAGAGAUAGAGAAGGAAUCAUCUCCCAUACAAGGAGAGGAAGUUUCAAUAGCCGAUUUCCAAACUUUCCAAUCCCAUGAUUCGGCUAUCCAACCCAUCCAUGAGCCUAAUAAUCUCUACUAUGCUCUUUCUCUUGAACCUCCCGAUAAUCCUAUGAAUCUCUCUAGACAUCCCAUGCAUAAGGAGGAUCGAGAAGAGCAACAUCAAUGGCUAGAGGGCAUUAAAAAUUCAUGUGCUAUCACCACAUUUGAGAUCUCCAACCCUCUCUUCUUUUCUAUUUAUAAAAACUUUAAAAGAGCGGUUGUCGAUGCAUAUGUUUAUAAUAAAUAUUGCAGAUCUCGUCGAGUUAAUUGAUGGUUUCCCAAGGACAAGCUUAGUGUCCUAAAACAAGCACUUAUCAGAUUGUAACAUGAACUUCUAAUUACUUGCAACAUUACCUUGUGUAUUGAGCAUAUAAAGAUAAUUGUAGAAAUAUUCCUUCGGGUAUUCUUGUCACUAACCUUUCUAGGAUUGGAGCAAGAAGACCGGAUGAAUGACAAGCGCAAGGUAUGCCCAACCAAUCAACAUUGAAUUAAAUUCAUCCAAUCUUGAAUUUUGCAAAAUUCAAGCUUAGGGGAGUACUUCACAUAAAAACAUCCUUUGCCAUGUUGCUAUGUUGGUUGUCCUUACCUUUGAGACAUGCUCAAUUUGUUAAAUACUAAUCACACUACUUCAUCUCCACUUAAGUAGAUCUCUAUAAAUGCCAUCACGCUACCUUUGUUUAUCCUAGUAAGUGUUAGUUUGGAAGUACUGCACAUACUUCUAUUGGCUUUUAAAUUAAGCAUGGUGCUUAGGUUAAACAACCUUCCUUAAUCUGAUUAGACAUGGAGUCUAGUUCGGUUAUCGAACUAAAAAUUGCUUGUAUAGACAUUGGUAUAUUUUGUGGGACUAACCCCUGCAGGAAAACUUUCAAUAUCAACUUGGGAAGUCCUGAGAUAAACUCACAUUGGAGAUGAAGAAAGUGACACAUGAAGUUUAACAAUUUGCACAAGAAAGAUGUAGCUCAUAAGAGAUGAUCCAUGGAGGGAGCCACAAACACGAUGCACAACCGCUAGAAAGGAAAGCUUCUACAAGGUGAUACUGUACGAUCACUCUUCAAAGGUAACAUCUUAAGGUACUUGACUAUCCUUUUUAUAAGUUUCUCCUUGGUUCUGGCGUUCACAUAAAUAAAGAGACAAACAUGUAUGAUUUAUAACUCUAAAUUAACCAACCUAACUGAUUCAACAUGUUUAGUCCCUUAAUCUUUGUUCUUAGUACUACCUUCGUAAUCCCACGCUCCUAAACAUAUAAGCUAAUAUGUUGCACAUUCAAUCUUUGGAAGAUAAAAAAAAAUAGAUAGAUUAUCCUUCCAUUAGGUUGAGCCAUCUGAUCUAACAAAUGUUUUAAAUGCUACACUCAUGAUCCAUCAACUUUGUCUUGCUCACUAUGCUUAAGGUUAGAAAAGAACAAAUACACUUUUGGUUCUGUUGGUGUUUUCCACCAACAGAGCCCAUGCACUUGAUCUCUGCCUUGUCUCUAUGAGCAGGACACAUUUUGAGAAACAUGAAGGCGUUUUACAACUCCCAGAUUCCAUUAAGUGAAGAAACGGGAUCUACGAGCACAAACACAAUGGAGAUCAGACACUUAGUUUCCCAAAGGAAAUAUUAAAGAACCUCUGUGUCCAAGUUGGUACCUUGUACGCUCCAGCAAACUUCGUGGUGGUAGAGACUGGUACUGAGGAGAGGGCACCCAUCAUCUUACGGAGGCCAUUCCUAAACACCAGAGCUGUCAUCUACGCUAAUGAUGCCAAGAUCAGUCUCUACAUCAAGGGGAAGAAGGAGACUUUUCUUCAAGAACAAGACUACAUAAACUUCAGAGCAAUCCCGACAUGAACCAAGGAAGAGGACCAACAGGAGGAACAGGAACAAGCAAAUGUGGACCGAGUCAGCUAAGAUGGUCACUGCAGCUCAAGGAGGUCAAGAUCGUCGACUCAAGUCACCUUUCUUGAUCAAGAAGGACGACCCUGGUGUUCCAAUCAUCGAGUGCACAACCAAUAGAUACUCUUUUUAGAAAACACUCUACGACACCGGAUCUAACGUCAACAUAAUGGCCGCAGUCACUUAUCAGCUCCUGCAUGGAACCAUGCCCCUACAACCAAUAUAUAUUUAGCUCCAGAUGAUUUUCAGAACAUUGAUAUGGGAGAAGACGAGUACGAUCCACCCAUCAUCUUACGAAGACCAUUCGUCAACACUAUCCAAGUUAUCAUCUACAUUGGAACCGGAGAAGUCCACGUGUAUUUCCCCUCUGAUAAGGUACGCCAUUACUUUAAUGAUUCUAACUAUAUAGUUGAAGAUUCUAAGCAGGUCAAGACAAGAAGAAGACGACGCAACCGCAACCAGAGGAGGCAAAUCAUCAGGGACGGAUGGGCAGACUACGAAGGAAAAGUUGUAAGGUCAGAAGACGUUGAGUUUAAACAGAAUUAUCCAGAGGAGACCGAAGCACCAAGUCAGGUGUGGAAAAUGAAGAUAACUAUACAUGAAGAGGAGGCGCUGCCGGAAGUACCGACUACACCACCCAACGAACCUCACGAUAAUUGAGAAGGUGGAGAAUCCCGUUCGGAGGACUUAAAAAGACCGAACGCCUUGCCAAGAGGUAAACUUGGUAGUUAUCCUUUCCCUUUCAAUUAUUUCAAGUAGUUCACUUAGUUAAUUAAGUUCUAAACAGAAAGUAAAAAUGUGAAAAACAGUAAGCCCCAUGUGAGGAUACGAGUGACAUAAAACCCAUAAUUACAUUCACUGUGGUGGCAUAAAAAUAAAACAAAAAUAUUUUUCUGCUUUAUAAAAUAAAAAUAUAAAAAUAGGGAGUAAUAAUUAUUAAGGAGUCUCAACAUGAUAAAGGCUAGAUAUUUAUGCUCACACUUAAUCAGUUCCACAAGCUUUGUUGUCUAUUUGAGCUCCACAGAAUCUAAGAAUCAAGAAGACUGGCAGACGGAGGAUAUUCUAAUCGCUGUCACAAUGCUGGUGACUUUCAAAUACACCUCUGCCACCUGCUAGCUACAUCAAGAGAAAUUACGUCAAAAUUCAGCUUGGGGGAGAGCACCCCCAUUUAUCUCGAUAAGUAUUUCUAUCUAUCUAUCUUUAUACUUAUAUUAUAUUAGAAUAUAAAUAUACAUAACUAUGAAAAACCAAAUAAAGAUUUUAUGCUUAUAUAUAUAUGUCUUUUGCUUAGUGUGUUUAAUAAAUAAAUAAAGUGGCUAUGCUAAUCUGUAUCUAAAUAAAACUCAAGCAUGGAAAUGAUGAAUAGUUGCUCUGCCUAAUUUGCAGAUUUUAAGUUCUCUCUCAAGUUUAGACAUAACUGUUAUAAUUUAAAGCUUGCUCUAGACCUAAACUUGAGGGAUGAAAACUUGAUCUGAAAUCUAAGUUGUUAACGGAUACGAUAUGGGAAGGUUGAGCUGCUGUUUAUCUGUUUCUAGAGAUGCUAGAAUUCUGGAGAAUUUUAUCUUUGGAAAUCUUUAAAAUGUUGCAUGAUGAGUUCCUGUAUGAUGAGAGUUUAAAUUCCUACCACAGCCAUAUAUACAUGCUUGCUAGACUUCGAGCCACACAAUUACUUUUUACUGCUUAUGAGCAUUGAGUGUGGUCAAGCUGUGUAGACCCUUAGGAGCUUGUCAUGUGGUUAAAUCAAGAUUCACUUGCACGUUCACUCACACAUGCUACUUCUACUCCGGAAGUACCAUCCACAUAUAUCCAUACAUUUCCAUCUUCAGAAUCACCCAAAAAUAUUCUACUCCUAAUCCGGGAGAGAAUAGCCAAAAAUAAUUUUGUUCUUCCUUGUGUAAUAAAUGCCUCAAGAUCAAUAAAGAGUAUUAUUAUUAUGUCUUGUGUGUCUCUACUUUAUUUUUGUGCAAGAAAGCAGAAAACAAGUAUGGGGGAGAUCCCUCGACAUGCUAAACACACUCCGACUACACCACUCCACGAUUCAGGUACACACUCUGCACACUUUACUCUACACAUAUAUAUAUUUUAGAUUAUGCAGAAUAUUGUUCCCGACAUGAUAAAAUAAAAAGAUUAAAAUAUUUCUAAUCAUGAUUAAUCUCAAUCUGUGAUAUUUCCUGAAAACUUGCAAUUAGUAUAAAAUCAUUUUUUAAAACCCUGUGUUACUUAAGUCAAGAUGGAAUAUGUGAUGGUAGAGUAUGAGUUUCUUAUUCUUGAUAUCAUUGUUGCUUGGAGAAUUUAUUUCAAAAUGUUCAAAUUCCUAGCUACCAUCCUCAGUGUUUUAUAUGCCUGAUAAAACUGAAAUAUUAAAUAUGAUUAUAAAAGCUAUCUGCUCUGUAUUGAGUUUGUUCAAAAUGAGUUAGACCCUUGUUGAGAGAUUUAUCAUGCUCCUAAGAUCAAGACAUUAUUUCAGUAAGAUUCACUCUUCCGAAGUAUUAUUGCAUUAGAGGCAUGGGCUAUGCAAAAAUAGAAGAUAUUUCGAGGAAAUAAAAAGGAGCAAGUGCUCGACAACCUCGCAGAAAAAAUGGACAAGUGUCCGGAAGUAGAAUUAGGGGUACCUCGGUAUCCACUUAAAAAAAAUAAAAAAAAAUGACAGCCCAUGGUCCCUCUAAUAAGCAAUAUGCCAGCAAGAGUUGACAAAGUUUUUAAUUUCCAAAGUCUUUGAUCAAGCAAUAAAUGCAAAGUAAGAAUGCUUAAGAAUUUUUGCAAAUUAAAACAACCUCAGUGAGAUAUAUAUAAAAGAUAAUGAGUGAUCUGAGAGAACCUAUGAGGAUAAAAAGGUAUGCUAACUUUCUUUUAAAAAUAUACAAAAACUCCAAGUGGCAGGAUUGAGAAGAAAGGAUCUUUACUCUUAACCAUAUACAUCCCUGACUAUGGUACACAGUGGAUUUUUAACACCCUGCAAAUAUAAAGAAUGUUUUAAAUGUUUACCCCAGAUAUUUUUCUUAACCAUCCUUUUCUCGAGGACGAGUAAAAUCCUAAGUAUGGGGGUAUUUGUUGACGGUUCUUAAGUAUCAAUUUUAAUUAUCAAAUAAACAAGAGAAAGGACCAAUAUGCAACCAUCACCUAGAAUUAGGGUUUGAUCUGACAGAAUUCCACGAGUUUUGUUGUUUAUCUGUUUCUGCAGGGGGUUAUCAGGAAAUAAGGAAGAAAGGCCCACAUGUCGGGAUUACAUAGAGAUAUCAAAGCACCGCAUAAUUUUACAUCAUCUAGAAGACUCCAGAAGCCACGAGACCGAAGCAGAGGCGAAGCUGGGCCAGGCCCAGGGCGCCCGCCCUGGUAGCCUGGGCGCCCGCCCCCCUGCUGGAGUCAAUUCAGGACUCCUUCGCUCGGGAUAUUCCACCGACUUAUUGGAUCAAGAAAAACAUAGUACCACCUCGGCUAUCGACCCAAAAACGCAUAGAAGGGGAGGACUAUAUAAGCGAGGCUCCCCUGGCCCCUGGAAGACAUGAAGAAAUUAUCAUAGAGACUGAGGGGUGCCCUCGAAGGAAAACCUCUUCUCUAAUUAAUAUUUCUUUUUAGGCUUAGCAAUCAAUGUAAGGUAGAAAUAGAUCUUCUAGUUUCUACUAGAUUGAGAGAGAUAGAGUGGAGGUGUAGAGUGGAGGAAGCCCGGCCUGUCGGUGUCUACUCCAAGCUUGUACCUGCGGGAUCAAGUUCUCCUAACCCGAAGCUUGCUCCAAGGAUUCUUCAGUAAUUUGACUUCUAAAUUCUAGUAAGUUCUUGUUUUAUUGUUCUUAUGGUUUAUGAGUUUACUUUAAUCUCUUCGCGUAGAGUUUAGAGUAAUCAUUGCUGGCGUAAACGUGGUGUUUAGGCUGGGGUACUCAUAGAUAUUCCCUGACUAGCUGGACCGCGGUAGUAGUGAGGAACGUGACAUUUUCGAGCUACCUUUGUAGAUCACAUCUCGUUAGCAGGAAGGAUAGGGUUUAUAGGUGCGGGUUGAACAUCCUUUGUGGUGUCUAGAUUCCGUUAGCCUCCCCAUUAGAACGGUAGAUCAUCCUUACCAGGGUUAGAAGGAGACUACGGUUGCAGUCUUCUCUAUUUAUCACUCACAUCGAAAGACAUUCUUUGUGCCUAAAGGGAUAGUAGCAAUAGAUUUGGUUAGUCAGAUGCACCCUUUCUCCCAGUGGUAAAAAUAUAAAUACGAUACUCUGGAAAACCUCCCGGGUGAAAUGCUCACCGAUAUCCGUGCGCUUGCGGAUCAUUUCCUUAUUGCGUUACCAAAUAUCAACACUUUUGUUGAGGCCCUACUAAGUCGAGCCCCCAUACUGCAAAUGGCCAUGUGAUGGGGAUCAUCUGAAGAGCGUGGGCAGGCAAAUGCCUCUGUUUGGCGUAGAACUGACACCCGUGGCAUGAGCGUACGAGCUCGAUGGCAUCGGCUACGGCCGUUGGCCAGUAGAAGCCUUGUCGGAAGGCGCUCCCUAUGAGGGUCCGUGGAGCAGCAUGGUGGCCAUAAGCCCCCGAGUGUAGGUCCUCGAGGAGUUUCCGGCCUUCUUCCACGGUGAUGCAACGCUGCAAGACCCCCGUCGGGCUUCGUCGAUAUAGCUCGUUGUCCUCGCCAUAGAUCACAUACGACUUGGCCCGUCGAGCGAUACGGCGGGCCUCAGAUCGAUCUUCUGGCAGCUCGCCGCGGAUUAGGCAGUCGAGGAACGGCGUGCGGCAGUCGAACGGUCGAUCGGGCCGUUGCUCCGCCUCCAUUACCUCGGCUGCCAUCAGUAGUACGUCGACGGUGUCGGCUUGCUGGGCAGGAGUGGCGUCGACGCCAGCCCCCGAGCCCAGGUCGACGGAUGGCUCGUGAAGAUCCCUUGAGAACGCGUCAGGUGGUAUCGUGCCUCGGGUCGACGCGAUCUUGGCGAGUUCGUCAGCUGCCUCAUUGUAGCGCGGGCAAUGUGGACGAGUUCGAGGCCAUGGAAUUUGUCCUCGAGUCGACGGACUUCCUUGCAGUAUGCCUCCAUUUUCGGGUCGUGGCAGCUUGAGGUCUUCAUUACUUAGUCGAUGACGAGUUGGGAGUCGCCUCGGACGUCGAGGCGUCAGACUCCUAGCUCGAUGGCGAUUUUGAGACCGUUGACGAGUGCCUCGUAUUCUGCGACGUUGUUGGAUGCGACAAAGUGAAUUCUGAUGAUAUACCUCAUAUGAACGCCCAGGGGCGAGAUGAACAGCAAGCCGGCCCCAGCCCCCGUCUUCAUGAGAGACCCAUCGAAGUACAUCGUCCACAGCUCCGACUGGAUCUGAGUUGGGGGGAGUUGGGAGUCUGUCCAUUCCGCGACAAAAUCCACCAGGGCCUGCGAUUUGAUAGCCUUACGGGGCGCAUAAGUGAGAGUCUCACUCAUGAGCUCGACCGACCAUUUGGCUAUUCUUCCUGUGGCCUCCCUAUUUUGGAUUAUCUCGCCCAAGGGGAAGGACGAGACCACCGAGAUGGGGUGGCCGAGGAAAUAGUGUUGCAGCUUGCGUCGGGCGAGGAUUACGGCGUAUAUUAGCUUCUGGAUUUGAGGGUCACGCGUCUUGGUCUCUGAGAGCACCUCGCUGAUGAAAUAGACCGGUCUCUGGACUGGCAACGCAUGCCCCUCUUCCUACCUCUCGACAACCACAGCUGUGCUGAUGACCUGAGAUGUUGAGGCGACGUAAAGGAGCAGUGGUUCUGCAGGUUGAGGCGGGACCAGGACCGGUGUUGAAGUCAGCGUUUUCUUCAAGUUUUCGAGGGCUUCCUCAGCCUUGGGGGUCUAAGAGAAACGCUAAACCUUCUUCAGAAGUCGAUAUAAUGGUAACGCCUGUUCUCCUAACCUCGAGAUGAAACGGCUUAGCGCCGCUAGGCAUCCCGUGACUCUCUGCACACCCUUGAUGUCUCGAAUCGGGCCCAUUCUCGUGAUGGCCGAGACUUUCUCGGGGUUGGCCUCGAUGCCACGCUGGGAAACAAUGUAACCCAAGAGCAUGCCACGAGGCAUGCCAAAAACACAUUUCUCGGGAUUGAGCUUGAUCUGGUUGGCGCGUAAGCAGCUGAAAGCGAUCUCGAGAUCCUGGAUCAGGUCACCUUGCCGCUUUGAUUUGACGACGAUGUCGUCGACAUAGGCCUCGACCGUCGACCCAAUGUGUUUGCCAAACACAUGGAGCAUGCAACGUUGGUACGUAGCUCCCGCGUUUCGAAGCCCAAACGGCAUGGUUACAUAACAAUACAUCCCAAAAGGUGUGAUAAAAGACGUCGCGAGCUGGUCGGACUAUUUCAUUUUUAUUUGGUGGUAACCGGAAUAUGCAUCAAGGAAAGAAAGGAUUUCACAUCCCGCAGUAGAAUCAACAAUUUGAUCAAUACGUGGUAAAGGAAAAGGAACUUUCGGACAUGCUUUAUUUAAACUUGUGUAAUCGACACACAUCCUCAUUUUCCCAUUCUUUUUCUUAACUAGUACAGGGUUUGCUAACCAGUCAGGAUGAUGAACCUCCUUGAUGAAUCCGGCCGUCAAAAGCUUGUGGAUCUCCUCGCCAAUGAUCUUGCGCUUCUCCUCGUCGAAUCGGCGCAACCGUUGCUUCACUGGCUUGGAACCGACUCGAAUUUCCAAGGAGUGCUCGGCGACUUCCCUCGGUAUGCCAGGCAUGUCCGAGGGACUCCAUGCAAACAUGUCGGCGUUUGCACGGAGAAAGUCGACAAGCACAGCUUCCUAUUUAGGGUCGAGGUCGGCGCUGAUCGUCAGCACCUUGCCGUCGGAGUUGUUAGGGUCGAGCGGGAUCUUCUUGGUUCCUUCGGCUGGCUCGAAGCUGCCCGCGUGGCGCUUGGGCUCCGAAGCCUCAGCGGCCAGGGCCUCGAGCUUUGCGACGAGCUCGGUGGAGUUCUCGACCGCUUCCCCAUACCCAACGCACUCGAUGUCGCACUCGUAAGCGUGCUCGAAGGAGGAGCUGAUGGUGAUGACUCCUUUGGGAUCGGGCAUCUUCAGCUUCACGUAGGUGUAGUUGGGUAUAGCCAUGAACUUGGCGUAGCCCGGGUGCCCGAUGAUGGCGUGGUACGUGCCCCGGAACCCGACCACCUCAAAGGUGAGGAUCUCCUUCCUGAAGUUGGCCGCUGUGCCAAAGCAGACCGGUAGGUCAAUUCGACCCACUGGAAACGCCUUUUUCCCUGGCAUGACGCCAUGGAAACCGCCGGCGCUUGGUUGGAGCCGUCCCCUGUCGAUGCCCAGGAGGUCGAGGGUCUCGAGGUAGAUGAUGUUGAGGCUGCUGCCGCCGUCCAUCAGCACCUUUGAAAGCCGGGUGUUGACGAUGAUGGGAUCGACGACGAGCGGGUAGACGCCUGGGGCAACUACUUUGUCCGGGUGAUCUUCUCGAUCGAAAGUGAUGGGAGUGCUCGACCAGCUGAGGUACUGGGGUACCGCCAUUCUCGCCGCGAAGACCUCACGUCGUUCCCUUCUGCGCUGCCUUGUGGUCAACUGCAUCGAGGGCCCUCCAUAAAUCAUGUAGCAGUCGUGGACGGCUGGGAAGCCGUCGUCAUCUUUGUUGUCCUCCUUGUUGCCGCCCUUCUCCUUCUUUGAGUCGUCGCAUGCAUUCUUUUUGAACCCCAGACCGUCGAAAUGCUUUCUCAGCAUACGACAGUCCUUGAGCUUGUGGUUGGCGCCUCCCUUAUUGUAAGGGCAUGGCUCUUCUAGCAUCUUGUCAAAAAUUCCUCCAUCUGGAGGGCCUCGAGGCCUCUUGCGUUCCGUGACGGCGACGAGAUCGUCGUCGAGGUCUUCCUGCUUGAACUGCCACGCUCUCUGCAUCUUCUUGUUUUUCUUGGGCCCUCAACUAGGGGUCCCAUCUUCAUCGGUGGGUUGCUUGCCUUUUCUUCCUUCACAACUGAAGAAAGCGCCGACUGCUUCCUCCCCUGCUGCGUAGUUUGCCACUACAUCCAUCAGCUCAUCGACGGUCUGAGGGCGAUUCUAGCCCAAUUCCCGUACCAGGUCUCGACUGGUGGUACCAGAGACAAAGGCCAGGAUGACGUCGUUGUCGGGGAUGUGUGGCAGCUCGGUGCGCUGCUUUGAGAAGCGUCAAGCAUACUCUCGAAGAGUUUCUCCUGACUUCUGCUUGCACUUGCUGAGGUCCCACGAGUUCCCGGGCCGUAUGUAGGUCCCUUUGAAAUUACCCUUGAAAAAUCUAACUAAAUCGACCCAUUCGUGGCUUUGAUUAGCUGGAAGCUCCUCGAGCCACCGACGGGCGGUAUCAGAAAGGAAAAGCGGUAGCUGUCUGAUGAUGGCUCGAUCGUCACCUCGAGCACCUCCCAACUGACAAGCCAACCUGAAGUCUGACAGCCACAGCUCCGGUGGUUUCACCCUUGUAUUUCGCGAUGCUGGUCGGGGGUCGGAACGGACUGGGCAGGGUUGUGCUGCGGAUUGCCCUGCUGAACACACGUGGGCCUGGUGGCUCGGGGGCCAUUCGGUCCUCGUCGCUGUCGUACCUCCCGCCACGAUGUGCGCUGUAACCGCGCUCUUCCGCGUCCCCAUGCCGGCGGCGUCGAUUUUCCUCGAUGUCAUGCCGUGCGUCGUGUCGACGCUGGUUAUCAACGGGAAGAACGAACGUGGUCUUUUUUCCUCGAGGGGAUGGCUGCUGAUGGACUGAUAUCUCCUUUUCGUUUUGGGGGGGCUCAUCACGCUUUUUAGUGGCAGCUCCUCGUCGUCGAGAAGCCGAGCUUUCGGCUUGUUAAACUGCCGCCACCUGGAGCAGAGUCUGUACCUCGUCUCGAAUACGUCGAGCUUGAGAGUUUGAUGGCUCUGGCAUGUUGCGCAGCAGCAUUGUCGCCGCCACUACAUUCUGGCUUGCUCGAGGGAAACGGCUGACAGGCUGCUCUGGCUCUGCAUCUCUGACGAUUUGUCGGUGUACCUCUCGAGCGUGUCUGCGGACACUUCCGCCAGGCAGGUAAGGCAAGUCUUGCUCGAGGAUUUGCUCUAGCAGGACGAGGCGCUCACGAUCCUCGUCAAGCUUGGUCUUGAGCUCUCGUAACUGCGCGAGUUGUGCGGCCCUGUCUUCCUGUGGAAGCGGGUCGACCUGUCCGGCGUUCCCAGGCGUCCUGGGAUCUUCUCUUGCCGCAGGGGCUCGACCGCCGGCAGCCGCAUCCUGCGUCUCGUCGGUAGUUUCUACCGCCCCGUGGACGUGAUAGCAUUCCCUUGUAGGGUCGUAGCUAUCGGUCUCAGAGUCGGAGUACGGCUCGGUGGCGUAGUAACAUCCACGUCCUUCCUCCAGCAGCCGCUGCCUGAGCGAGGUGAUCGUGUAUCAUCCCGGGCCUAGGCGGCGGAGGCCUCGUACCCGGGAGAGGUCCGGCAACUCGGACGUCGGCGGCCGUGCUUCGGAGUCACGUGGGAGGACCAUUGGUCUUUCCACAUACGUUUGGGCGUUUGGGCAUAUCGUCCUGGCGAGUGACGUCGCAGCGUUGUCCAACCCGAAUGGCAAUGCCCUUCUUGGGGUGAACAACCCAUGUGGAAGCAACCUAGCGGUGGGGGAGGGCGCCCGGGGCGUGUCACCUCUUGUCGUCGUGUGGUGUCGGACCGGCACGCCCGUAGUUCCAGCACGCGGCGCAGCCGGCUCCUGCGCCACCUCCUACCUAGCACGAACUGCCGGUCGUGACGAGGUAGAGGGAUGACGAUGGUGCUGCCCACGCCUCUUCUUAGGCGGGGAGGCGUGAUGUCGAGGGCGUCUCGGGGCCCUCGUUCGCACUGGCGCAACGUGGGCUCCUCCCGGUCCUCUGAUCGAGAGCAAGACCAUGUCGUAGCCGAAGCCAGUCGACAUGAACUCAAGGCUCCCAAACCAGAUCACCGUGGAGCGUGGAAUCGGCGAGGCGAGAGUGGCCAUCUAGAAAGGAGUGGGAAAUCGAUGAAAAACAUGCAGGACCCCUACCUGGCGCGCCAACUGUCGGUGUUUUCCCCAUGGGUGGUCACACCAACGAGUAAAUUUGUAUGCGUGCUCCCUUUUCCAGAUGGUGAUGCAAGAAGACACAAAGAUUUAUCCUAGUUCCUGCAAGAGAAGGCCCUACGUCUAGCGGGGGAGGGAAGUUUGUAUUAUCUUGCACCUAAGUGCUUGUACAGGGGCGAAUACAAGUGUGUAUGAACCGGGAUGGAGUAUGGAAACUUCUCUACGUGUGUGCGUUGUGAUACGUGAUCUCUGUCUAUUCCUGGGUCUCCCCUUUUAUAGCUCCAAGGAGAGACCUAGGGCACAUGUAUAGGUAGCAGAGUAGGGGUCGAUAGAGGCAUGGCGCGCUGACCUACUCGAGGCCUCCGUACCGGCGUGAUCUCGAGCCGUCCCGUCUUGGUAGCUUGAUGAUGAUUACGCGUGCCCCUGUAUCAUGCUCUGCGUGCCGUCUCGGGCUGGUUCACCGGUCGCACGCUUGUACGGUAUAGCGGCAGAUCCGGCGGAGUGGCUGCGGUGUUGUCAGUCAACGCCCAACUCUUCCCCAGGAAGGAAUCAUGCCUGGUCGAGGGUCAGGCGCCGUGCAGUGCCUUGUCGUCCAAAGCGUUGACCUUGGGUGUCUCGAGGGGGUCCCGACUAGACGCUCCAUCCUUGCUUUCCGCGCCUUGGCACGCUCUGAGUCGUUUGGUGGGGAAAGCUGCAAAAAGGAUGAUGGGACGGGUGCCUGUUCCCUCUCACGCUUCCCAUGACCAGCGUGUUAGGUGGGAAAGCGACAGGCGCAUUAAAUGCCCUGGCUCUCGUGCGCGCGUCAGGCGGCAGACAGUGCCCUUGCGCUCGAUGCCCCCCGAUUCGUUCGAGUCCAUUUCUGUAUUCGACGGUAGUUAGCGCUCGAUCCCUGAGUGGUUCGCUCGACGUAUUUUCCGUCUUCGAGGCUGCGGCCGUCGAUGACCGCACGACUUAUCAGAGCAUCGAGUUGAGGCCCUCGAUCUGUGCACGGGUAAUCUCGUUAAGGGCAUCAGUUAGGGUACCCCUUACUGAUACCCUCGACAGAACCCUUACUGAUACCCUCGACACCCUUCUCCUUCUUUCUGUCAUCGCGUGCGUCCUUUUUGAACCCCAGACCGUCGAAAUGCUUUUUCAGCAUACGACAGUCUUUGAGCUUGUGGUUGGCUCCUCCCUUAUGGUAAGGACAUGGCUCCUCUAGCAUCUUAUCGAAGAUGCCUCCAUCUGGAGGGCCUCGAGGCCUCUUGCGUUGCAUGGCGGCGACAAGAUUGUCGUCGAAAUCUUCCCGCUGGAACUGCCGCGCUUUUCUGCUUCUUCUUGUUCUUCUUGGGCCCUCGACUGGGGGUCCCAUCUUCAUUGGUAGGCUGCUUGCCUUUCCUUCCUUCACAGCUAAAGGAGGCACCGACCACUUCAUCCCCUGCUGCGUAAUUUGCCACUACGUCCAUCAGCUCAUCGACGGUCUGAGGGCGAUUCCGGCCCAAUUCCCGCACUAAGUCUCGACUGGUGGUACCAGAGACAAAGGCCAGGAUGACAUCAUGGUCGGGGAUAUGCGGUAGCACGGUGCGCUGUUUCGAGAAGCGUCGAGCGUACUCUCAAAGAGUUUCUCCUGACUUCUGCUUGCACCUGCUGAGGUCCCACGAGUUCCCAGGCCGUAUGUAGGUCCCUUUGAAAUUACCCUCGAAAACCCUAACCAAAUCGACCUAGUCGUGAAUCUGAUCGGCUGAAAGUUCCUCGAGCCACCGACGGGCGGUGUCGGAGAGGAAGAGCGGUAGCUGUCUGAUGAUGGCUCGAUCAUCUCCUCGAGCGCCUCCUAGCUGACAGGCCAGCCUAAAAUCGGCUAGCCACAACUCUGGUUUGGUUUCACCGUUGUACUUUACGAUGCUGGUCGGGGGUCGGAACGGAUAGGGCAGGGGCAUGCUGCGGAUUGCCCUGCUGAACACCCGUGGGCCUGGUGGCUCGGGGGCCAUUCAGUCUUCAUCGCUGUCGUACCUCCCACCGCGAUGUGCGCUGUAGCCGCGCUCUUCCGCGUCUCCAUGCCGACGGCGUUGAUUCUCUUCAAUAUCGCGUCGUGUGUCGUGUUGACGCUGGUUGUCGACGGGGAGGACGAGCGUGUCUUUUUUGCUCGGGGAGGUGGCUGUUGAUGGACUGACACCUCCUUUUCGUUUUGGGCUGGCUCGUCGCGCUUUUCAGUGGCAGCUCCUCGACGUCGGGAAGCCGAGCUUUCGGCUUGUUGAACUGCCGCCACUUGGAGCAGAGUCUGUACCUCGUCUCGAAUGCGUCGAGCUUGGGAGUUCGAUGGUUCUGGCAUGUUGCACAGCAGCAUUGUCGCUGGCACUACAUUCUGGCCUGCUCGAGGGAAAUGGCUGACGGGCUGCUCUGGCUCUACGUCCCCGAUGAUUUGUCGGUGUACCUCUCGAGCUCGUCUACGGACACUUCCGCCAGGCGGGUAAGGCAAGUCUUGUUCGAGGAUUUGCUCGAGCAGGACGAGGCGCUCACGAUCCUCGUCGAGCUUUGUCUUGAGCUCUCAUAGCUGCGCAAGCUGCGCGGCCUUGUCUUCCUAUGGAAGUGGGUCGACCUGUCCGUCGUUCCCAGGCGUCCUGGGGUCUUCUCUUGCUGCAGGGGCUCGACCGCCGGUAGCCGCAUCCUGUGUCUCGUCGGUAGUUUCUACCGCCCUGUCGACGUGAUAGCAUUCCCUAGUAGGGUCGUAGCUAUCGGUCUCGGAGUCGGAGUCCGGCUCGGCGGCGUAGAAACAUCCACGUCCCUCCUCCAGCAGCCGCUGCCUGACCGAGGUGAUCGUGUAUUGCCCAGGGCCUAGGCGUCGGAGGCCUCGUACCUGGGAGAAAUCCGACAGCUCGGACGUCGGCUGCUAUGCUUUAGAGUCACGUGGGAGGACCAUUGGUCUCUCUACGUACGUCUGGACGUUUGGGCAUAUCGCCCUGGCGAGCGACGCCGCGGCGUUGUCCAAUCCGAACGGCAGCGCCCUUCUUGGAGUGAACAACCCAUGUGGAAGUAACCUAGCGGUGGUGGAGAGCGUGCGGGGCGCGUCACCUCUUGUCGUCGUGUGAUGCUGGGCCGGCAUGCCCACAGUUCUGGCACGCGGCGCUGCCGGCUCCUGUGUCACCUCCUGCCUAGUGCGAACUGCCGGUCGUGACGGGGCAGAGGGGUGAUGAUGAUGCUACCCACGCCUCUUCUUGGGCGGGGAGGCAUGGUGUCGAGGGCGUCUCGGGGCCCUCAACCGUGCUGGCGCAACGCGGGCUCCUCCCGGUUCUUUGAUCGAGAGCAAGAUCAUGUCAUAGCCGGAGCCAGUCGACAUGAACUCAAGACUCCCAAACCAAAUCACCAUGGAGCGUGGAAUCGGCGAAGCGAGGGUGGCCAUCUAGAAAGGAGUGGGAAAUCGAUGAAAAACACGCAGGACCCCUACCUGGCGCGCCAACUGUCGGUGUUUUCCCCAUGGGUGGUCACACCAACGAGUAAAUUUGUAUGCGUGCUCCCUUUUCCAGAUGGUGAUGCAAGAAGACACAAAGAUUUAUCCUGGUUCGGGCAAGAGAAGGCCCUACGUCCAGCGGGGGAGGAAAGUUUGUAUUAUCUUGCACCUAAGUGCUUGUACAAGGGCGAAUACAAGUGCGUAUGAACUGGGAUGGAGUAUAGAGACUCCUCUAUGUGUGGGUGUUGUGUUGCCUCAUGUCCUGUGUUCACUCCCGGGUCUCCCUUUUAUAGUUCCAAGGAGAGGCCUAGGGUACAUGUAUAGGUGACAGACUAGGGGUCGACAGAGGCAUGGCGCGCUGACCUACUCGAGGCCUCCGUACCGGCGUGGUCUCGAGCCGUCCCGUCCUGAUAGCUUGAUGAUGAUCACGCGUGCCCUUAUAUCCCGCUCCGUACGCCGUCUCGGGCCGGUUUGUCCGUGGCACGCCUGUACGUCACGGCGGCUCAUACGUCAGAGUGGUGGCAGUGCCGUCAGUCGACGCCCAACCCUUCCCUAGGAAGGAAAUAGGUCUGGUCAAGGGUCGGACGCCGUGUAGCGUCUUGCUAUCCAGAGCAUUGACUUUUGGCGCCUCGAGGGGGUCCUGACUAGACGUUCCAUCCCGGCUUCCCGCGUCCUGACAUGCUCUGGGUCAUUUGGUGGGGAAGGCUGCAAAAAGAAUAAAGGGACGGGUGCCUGUUCCCCAUCACGUUUCCCGUGACCAGCGUGUUAGGUGGGAAAGCGACAGGCGCAUUAAAUGCCCGGGUUCUCGUGCGCGCGUCAGGCGGCGGGUGGCAUCCUUGGCGCUCGACGCCUCCUGGUUCGCUCGAGCCUACUUCCGUAUUCGACGAUAGCUGACGCUCGACCCCUGAGCAGUUCGUUCGAUGCCUUUUUCCGUCUUCGAGGCUGCAGCCAUCGAUGACUGUAUGUAUGGCUGAUUAUAACGUUGAAUUGAGGGCCUCGAUCUGUGUAAGGGUAAUCUCGUUAUGUGUAUCAGUUAGGAUACCCCUUACUGAUACCCUCGACAGUGAUCUUUAUGCCGAUUCCACUCUUGUCGACGCUUUUCUUCCUCUCGACGUGGAUCCUUUUGUAGUUGGCGAUAUCGAUCUUCACACUGCUGCCUUGUUUCCCGAUGUCGUCUAUGAGUAAUCACGAUGCCAGAUCGAGGAGGUCUCCUAGAGCUACUACCCUUCUUGAUCAAGCCCUUUCCAUUAGCGUCAUCGGUGGUCACUUGAUGCUGAGGAUCUACCGAUUCUAUAGCCGACUGCAAUUGCUGCCUGAACACCUUGCACUCAUUUGUGCCGUGUGACGUUGCAUUAUGCCAUUUGCAAUACUUGAUUUUCUUCAACUCUUCUACUGAUGGGAUCACAUAAUUAGGUGACAGUUUUAAUCUGCCUGCCCUGAAGCAAGAAAUCAAAUAUCCUAUCGGCCUUGGUGAUGUCAAAAGCAAACUUUUCUAGUUCCUUUUGACCAAAAGGACAAGACAUCGGCUUUUUGUUCUUCAUCCACUCUGCCAAGCCGAUGACUGGUUCUUCAUCAAAAUCAGAACUCAUUGCCUCGUCAACAAAUGACACUUUCUUGUUCCAAGCUUUUCUAGGUUCAAAAUCUUUGAUAUCUUGAUCAGAGAUCCUCUAUACCAAAUGACUCAAACUUUCAAAUUCUUGAGAAGCAUAUUUAUCCUUGAUGUGUGGCAUCAAUCCUUGAAAGGCCAAAUCGGCUAACUGCUGAUCAUCCAGAACCAGACUGUAACAUUUGUUCUUUACAUCCCGUAGCCUCUGCACAAAGCUUUCAACUCAUUCAUCAUUGCGUUGCUUCAAUCUUACUAAAUCGGUAAUCUUCUUUUCAUGGACUCCAGAAAAGAAAUACUUGUGGAACUGCUUUUCCAGAUCGGCCCAGGUAAUAACCGAGUUCGGAGGCAAUGAGAUAAACCAAGUAAAUGCCGAUCCUAACAAAGAUGAUGAAAAUAAACGAACUCUUAACUCAUCUCUGUUAGCAACUUCUCCACACUAGAUGAUCAACCGAUUGACAUGUUCCAUGGUUGACGUGUCAUCUUGUCCAGAAAAUUUAGUGAAAUCUAGCACCUUGUACCGAUUUGGAAGUGGAAUCAAAUCAUAUGCAGGAGGAUAUGGUGUUCAAUAAGAAUAGGUGUUAACUUUAGGUUUUAUCCCAAACUGAUCUCUCAUAACUUCUGCUAUCUUAUCGGUCCAACAGGCAUCGGCAUCCUGCUGAUGUGCGGGUUGAAGUUCUAGCAACUACUGAUAAGCUACCACGUGUCUCUGAGGAGCACGUUCUCCAGGAAACAUAACGUUGGCCAUAGCUUGCUGGCCACCAAUCUGCUGAGCAAGAUUGAUCGGCUGAUUGGCUGGUCCUUGAUUCUGAAAACCAACCUGCAUCUGUCCUUGUUGGAAUCCCAUAGCCUGAUGAUUUUGCUGUGUCACAUGUGGUAAGACAAACUGUCCUGUGCAUCCAUUAUUAGCAUUCAUCGGUGCAGGUCCUGCCGAUGGCUGAUAAUUGGCUAUCAUUGCUGGGUUGACAUACCCUGUCUGAGUCAUAAAUCUCUGUUGAAUCGGAAAUGGAUCUGCCGAUGAAUUUUCAUUAGGCAUCUAGAACGUUGGCAUUUGAAAAUUCCCAGUAGCAGGCCUUGCAGUAGUAGUCGUAUAAUACUGAGGAAUUUGAGUCAUCGUUGAAACUAGAGGUGCCGAUGUCAUAGGAGCUUUUCCUAAUAAGUCAGUCACGUGAGAUGUUCUAGAACUAUUUGCAAAAAACUCUGGAGGCAUACCAUUUCCCCACCAAUUGGAUGGAACUUGACAAUUCUGAAAUACAGAUCCUGACAUUGCCAAUGCUGAUAGAUCUGUGUUAAGAUGAACCCGUCCCUCUGACGUCGCUGGUUAGGUCUCAUUGGUGUAGAUUGCCCAUUGGUCAACCCUAAUGUGCUUGGAGGAGAAGUAACUUCUGUUCCCGCAACGGCCGGAGGAGCCGAUGGAGCUGUAACCGAUGACAACCCAGGCUGGUGAUAGGCCGGGCCAACAUAUAAUGGUGGUGUCUAUCCUUCUUUAAAAGUUCUAGCCACAGCAUUGUAAACAGUAUUGGACAACACACUGGAUUGAUUGAUGAAAGCACAACUAAAAGCAUUGUCAACCAUGUCUUGCAAUAUACCAAGAUUGGCGUCGAAAGUAACCUGCCGAGGCAUCGGUAGCUCUUGCUUCUUGAUUACUUCACCGCUCCUGUUGACGCUAAAGGAUUUCAAGCAGAGCUGCUAUUCCUCCAUAGCCCUUGCCAUAACUCGCUUCUGCUCGUCCCUGAGAUAAGCUUCCGUCACAGCAAUGACAUUCUCUGUGUCGAGAUCAGCAGUAGCCAUGUUGAUUUUUUUGAUAGAUUGGUCCCACCGGGUGUGCCAAAAGAUGUGUUGGUGCAAAAAAUGGAUCUGCAAACACAAAAGGCUAUACCCGAUCUAAACCUUGAGGCGUGCCAGCCAAUUUGACAUAGCAAUCGACAAAGGUGAUAACUCGAACACUUUGGUCCCGACAACAGUGAUGCGCCCGGAUGUCACGGCCAAGAGGUAUUCACACGGAACUUAAGGAUUCGUCGACUAUGACUCGACGAAUCCUUAAGAACUCGUAGAAGAAUGAAAAAUAUGCGAGUUGAGGAAGUCGUCGAAAAAGUAGAUGCAAAAGUAGACGUAAAACUUGUGUAUGAUAUUGAUUGCUUGUUUUAUUACAUCACUACUGGGCCUAUAUUUACUCUGUCCUAAAGAGUCACAACCGUACACGACUAGGAUUUAAUUCUAAACCGAACAGGACUCGUACAUAAAACAAAUUCUAACAAAUAUGUUAAAUAACUACCUAUCUAUUCUGGUGAUCGUCAUAUCACCGUUCUCUUCCUAUCAACCUUCACGCCUUCCUUCAUCGGCACAUGCCCUGUAUCUCUUUUAACAACUCCCAUACCUUUCCUCAUCAGCAUCGGCAACCAUUAGUAAUCGGCAAUGAUCAGCAACUACUACCAGACUUAGUAAUAUCUUCCUUCUAUUGUCCUAUCAUCGGCAUCAUCAGCUAUCGGCAAUCUUCUUAUCGGCCAGACACAUCACCUCUCUGACUGCCGAUUCAAGCCUCAUGGACUAUCCCGAUUUGUGUCCAAAAAUGGUGCCAAUAGCUUGUCCGAGAUGGUAGUGUCCGAGGAAGGAGGAAUUGCCGAUGAUGAUCCAGUUGUAACUCUUGCGUCCUGAAAAAAUUAGUAUCAGUACGGUUGGAAGUCACCAUGGAUUGAAAUAAACAGGGUUGUUCUCUUGAACGCUUCUACCAGGGUUGUAGCGGCAGCAAAUGGAGUGACCCUAGCCUUACCAAUUUUGACUUGGUAGUGACUUUUUUGGUACGGGCUCCUUGACGAAUCAGAAUAGCCAAGGUGGGAGCAUUGUAGCCGAUCGGAGAUAUCGGAGAUACGGGUCGAAGGUCAAAGGUUUUCCCACUCUUGCUCGUGCUUGGUGCUAGGUCUUCGACCUGUCACAAGAAAAUUAGUUGUUGAUGAAAUUAAAUGUGUUGGAAAAGCUAGUGUUAAAAGAAACUUACUGCAUCAUCGGGGACGAUAUGCUCAGGGUCGAUCAGAUGCCGAUACGUAUGGAAAGAUGCUGCAAAUAAUUGUCUCUUCCACUCUUGCCACCAUAACUAUAGUAUCGACAUUUGGGGAGCACCUAGGUGGAUAGAUCAAUAUCUAUAGUAUCAACAUUAGGGAAGAGUUGCACUAUCUUGUCCCACUCCCAUCUAAUGGUGAUUGUUUCUCUUGGCUUGAUCACAUCGGCAAAGCAGAGUUUGGUUGGCAACUGUUCAAAGGCCAAAUGACGUGAUACUGUAGAUGGAUUGUAGAAUUCAUAGGUGGUGCUCCUCUUCUUCCCACUGCUGAAUAUAUUCACUAGGAUUGCCCGGGGAGUGAUGAUGGCCAUCAUAAGUUCAUCACUCUUGUUCAAAGCCUCAGCGGCAAAAUUGAAGAGGAGGGGAAAUCUGGCUUCUUUAUCAAUAUAGGGCAUCCACGCCCGAUGAUCGCGGGAGAGACCAUUAUAAAAGCUUUGUAAAAAUCGGCCGAUCUUGUCUUCGUUAGCCUCUGUCCUAGGAAGUACUAUUAUGGCCUCACCAAAAUUGAGGGGUGGGCGUCUUACCGAUUCUUCGUCCCCAAGCUCAUGAUCUUGGGCGAUAUCUCGCGGGAACUGCUGAGCAAUGAAAUCCCAUUGCAAGCAUUUGUGCAUGUGAGCAUUCAGCCACAUGUUAACGAACCACCAUGGGCCUCCUAAGUUGCUGAUGGGUUCACCAAGCAGGAGCUUUUGAGACACUUGAUGUAAGAGAUGACAAGUGGAGCUCAGGAGAUAUCGGCCAAGAGGGAACCUUACACAACUGGCCAGCAGUUCAGUUGACCCUAUCGAUCGACCAUAGAAGAUGAAUUCUUCUAACCACAUGUUUAGGAAUGUGGCGUGUUCCCUCUGACCAAUUGUCCUGGUCUUCCUGUAUUCUUGGAUAUACCCUGUCCAACCGCCGAUGUUACAGGUAUUCACCUUACACUCAGGUUUUCUACCAUAAACAAGAGCAUCAUCGGUAGUUGAAUUUCUAAGCUGGUGAGCAUGUAUACAUCGGCAAGAGUGGGGUUGGCUCGGCCGUGUCCAAACAUGAAAGUGUUUGUUGCGUCUGACUAAGAAUAGGUGGCAGCAAUCAUCAUCGACUCAUUGUCUUGCAUAUCGACAAUGGAUUUUCGCUCUGCCCAGUACACCUGCAUCAAAUCGUAUGCCGUGUCCAUGAUUGGUAGAGUGUGGGUCGGCAAGACAAGACGGUUGGAAUCUAAUCGGUUGGAAUCUAAGGGUAGAAGAUGAGCAUUGUUGACACCGUUUUUGGGCACGUGUCCAUGAUUUGUAGAGUGUGGGUCGGCAAGACAAGACGGCAGUGCUUGAUCUGCAGGAUGAGUUGCCGAUGAGGAUGGUUGCCGAUGGAGGGACGGCUAAAUGUGACCAAGUCCAUAGGUGAUGAUGUGUUUGUGACGAUGGCUACAACAAGGGAGUAUGCCGAUGAUGCAGAGGAAGAACCUGGAGGUUGCCGAUCGGCUUGUGGAGGUGUUCCAGUUUGUCACGGGAGGAUAGUUUUAUAUUUUCCUUAGUUAUUUAGAUCGUUUUGUAUACGGAUUCUGUUUAAUUUGGAAUUCGAAUUCUAGUCAUGUCUGGUUGUGGCUCUUUGAGUAGGGUAUAAAUGUAGACCCUAGGGCAUUGUAAUGAGACAAUCUAUCAAUCAAUCAAACACAAGUUUUUACUCAUAUUCUAGUACCUACUUUUUCGACGACUUCGUCAUACUUUUUGCCUUUUUAUUACGAGUUCUUAGGAAUUUGUCGACUUAAGCUCGGCGUGUUCUCAAGUUCCGCAUGAAUACCUCUUGGCCGUGACAUCCGGGCGCAUCGCUGUUGUCGAGACCGAAGUAUUCGAGUUACUACCUUUGCCGAUAGUAAGGUCAAAUCGACUGGCACGCCUUAACGUUUAAAUCGGAUAUUAGCCCUUUGUGUUUGCAGAUCUAGCUUUUGCAUCAACACAUCUUUUGGCACGCCCAGUGGGACAGAUUCAAGAUCAAGAUCAACAUGUCGACUACUGAGUUUGAUCAGGAAAACGUCAUCCCCGUGACGGAAGCCAAUCUCAAGGAUGAGCAGAAGCAAGCUAUUGCUAAAGCCAUGGAGGAUUACAAGUAGCAAUGCCUGAGGUCCUUCAGCAUAAAUAGGAGCGGCGAAGUGAUCCAGAAGGAUGCACUGCCGACGCCUCGGCAGGUUACUUUUGAAGCCAAUCCUGGUAAACUUCAAGAGAUGGUUGAUAGUGCUAUCAACCGUGCUUUGAUCAACCAAGUUGGUGUGCUGUCCAAUACGGUUUUCAAUGCCGUAGCUAGAACUUUCAAGGAAGGACAAUUGCCACCAGAUUAUGUGGGCCCCUCUCAUCAUCAGCCAGGAUCACCGGUGGUCACAGCUCCAUCGGCUGCUACAGCCGCUGCGGGAACACAGACUACCGUUCCUCCAGGCACGUUGGGAGUCACUAAUGCGCAAUCUACGCCGAUGACAACUAAUCCACCGACUUCAGAUGAGCAGAUCAGGCUCACUACAGAUCUAUUGGCAUCAACGAUGUCAGGACCGGUCCCUCCUCCUAACUGGUGGGGUUUCGGUAUGCCCCCGGAAUACUUGAAGACACCUGGCACAUCUCAGGCAACUGAUAUGAGAGGCAAGGCUCCUAUGGCAUCGACACCUCCCAAUAUGCCGAUGAAUCAAAGUCCCCAGUAUACUACAACUACUACUGCAAGACCUUACACUGGGAAUUCUCAAGCUCCGACGUUCCAGAUGCCUAACGCAUCGGCAGACUCAAUGCUGAUGGAACAGAGGUUUACGACUCAGCCAGGGUAUGUCAAUUCGAUGAUAAUGCCCAAUUACCAGUCAUCGGCAGGACCUAUACCGAUGAAUGCUAAUAGUGGAUGGCUUGGGCAUUAAGUCUUUCCGCAAGCACCCCAACAGAGUCAUCAGGCUAUAGGGUUCCAGCAAGGCCAGAUCUAUCCCAGGUUCCAGAAUUAGGGAAUGCCCAACCAGCCAGUGAAUCUUGGGCAGCAGGUCGGCGGACAGCAGAUUGGCGGGCAACAGAUUGGUGGUCCACAGAUUGGAGGCCAAAUGAUUAACCCGAUGUUUCAUGCAGAUCGUGCGCCGCACCGACACGUGGAAGCCUACCAUCAGGUGCCAGAUCCACAGCCGCCUCAUCAGCAGGAUGCCGAUACUUAUUGGGCCGAUAAGAUUGCUGAAGUAAUGAGGGAUCAAUUUGGGAUAAAGCCUAAAGUCAACACUUACUCUUAUCAGACACCGUAUCCUCCCGCAUACGAUUUGAUCCCGCUUCCAAAUCGGUACAAGGUACCGGAUUUUACUAAGUUUUCUGGGCAGGAUGACACGUCAACCAUGGAACACGUCAACAGGUUCAUCAUUCAAUGCGGGGAAGCUGGUAACAGGGACGUGUUAAGGGCUCGCUUAUUCUCGUCAUCAUUGUCUGGAUCGGCUUUCACCUGGUUUAUAUCAUUACCUCCCAACUCAGUGAUUACUUGGGCCGAUUUGGAGAAACAAUUGCACAAGUACUUCUUUUCUGGGGUCCAUGAGAAGAAGAUCACCGAUUUGGUCAAAUUGAGGCAACGCAACGAUGAAUCGGUUGAAGGUUUUGUGCAGAGGAUACGGGUGGUCAAGAACAAAUGCUAUAGCCUGGUUCUGGAUGAUCGGCAACUAGCCGAUUUGGCUUUCUAGGGUUUGUUGCCACACAUCAGGGACAAGUAUGCGUUUCAAGAGUUUGAAAGCUUAAGUCAUUUGGUGAAGAGGAUCAAGAUAACAAGCCUUUUGAGCCCAAGAGAGCAUGGAACAAAAAGGUAUCGUUCGUUGAUGAAGCAACAAGCUCGGAUUCUAAUGAGGAACCAGUCAUCGGCUUGGCAGAAUGGGUGAAAAAUAAGAAGUCGAUGUCUUGCCCUUUUGGGCACAAGGAACCAGAGAAGUUCGCAUUCGACAUCACUAAGGCCGAUAGGAUAUUUGACUUUCUACUUCAGGAAGAUCAGAUCAAGCUGUCACCUAAUCAUGUGAUCCCAUCGGCUGAAGAGUUGAAGAAGAUGAAGUAUUGUAAGUGGCACAAUGCAACUUCUCACAGCACCAACGAGUGCAAGGUUUUCAGACAGCAGCUGCAAUCGGCUAUAGAGUCUGGAAGGAUCAAAUUUGACAGUUCCAAGACCCAGAAGCCGAUGAAGAUUGAUCAACAUCCUUUCCCAACAAACAUGUUGGAUGCUAAGGGAAAGGCUAAGGUCUUGACGUCGAAAGCAGCUGAAAGAAGUGCAUCGGUAGAUCCUCAGCAUCAGAUCACUACUGCCGAUGCGAAGGGGAAUGGUCUGAUCCAGGAAGGAGCUAACUCAGGAAGACCUCCCUGAUCUGGUAUUGUGAUAAUCCACAAGAGGCCUCGGGGAGACUUGGCAGCAACAUGAAGAUCGAUAUCGGUGCCAGCAAGAGGAUUAUCAUCGGGAAGAGGAAAGACGCCGACAGGAGUGGAAUCGGCAUAGGGAUCACUAGAAUUGCCCGUUCUUCAUCCAUUGUUGGGAGGAGAAUAUCAAGCUACCCACUGUCAGAGAUUGUCCUAAGUGCAACGGUUAUGAUCAGUAUGACAGAUCCGAUCGACGCUUUCACGAUGAUAAUCGGUAGUUUAAUGGGCCGAUUAGGGGGAGAGCAUCCGUUCAUGAUCGGCUGGGGGCAGGCUCAGUGUGCACGACAGGCUUGGAGAUCAUGUUGAGUAUUUUUCUAGGAACCAGGAAGAACUUGAAGAAAUGGCUAAUGCACGGGUUCCCGUUGAGUUCGUAUUUUGCAGGGAUGCCAAUACUUAUCGGGUGGAGUCAAGGGAAAAUCGUCGCCCAGCGAUAAGGCAGCAGCAACUUCCUCCAUGGUGUCAAGAGGGGUUGACCAGGACACAGAAAAGAAGACUGCAGUGCAAAAGGCAAGAAGAGUUAAGUAAGGCGGAGAACUCUGGACAGUCUGGGGAUCGGCAACAACUAGAUCCUAAGGGGAAGGGUCCAUCGGCAGACGUCAACAUGGUAUUUAUGUUGCCGAUGGAGUUCCUUGCACCACCCAGUGAUGAUGAGUUGGAGUUUUCCGACCAGAUAGCUGAGUUGGCUCUAGAUCCGAUGACAGCCAUCUUCGAGAAGCCUGCCAAUGAUGAAAGGCAACAUCUUAAGGCUAUGUUUGUCAGAGGAAGGGUUGAUGGUCAGCCCAUGACUAAAAUUCUCAUUGAUGGUGGAGCUGCUAUUAACAUCAUGCCUUAUGCAGUGUAUCGGAAACUUGGGAAAGGAGAUCAGGAUUUGACCAAGACCGAUAUGAUGUUAAUGGACUUUGAGGGAAACGUGUCUCCGGUCAAGGGGCAAUAUGUGUUGAGUUGACCAUCGGCAGCAAAACCUUGCCGACAACUUUCUUCAUAAUCAGUGGAAAGGGUGCAUAUAACUUACUGUUAGGGAGAGAUUGGAUUCAUGCCAAUUGUUGCAUCCCAUCUACAAUGCACCAGUGCUUGGUCCAGAGGGUAGGUGACAAGAUUGAAAUUGUCCCAGGAGAUUCUUCGUAUGUUAUUGCAUCGGCAGAAGCAGAUACUUAUGAAAGGACUAGGUAUAUUUCAGGAGAAGUUUGGGAGAAGGAUUUUCUCAAGGUUGCCGACUAUGAAAUUCCACCGAUCCAAGCGGUCGGUUUUGAUGAAGGUUUUUAAUGGAUAGAUUCGCCGAUGAUGGAAAGUUAGGCCAGGGGUUCACAUCGGCCGAUGAUUUGGUAGAAGUAGAUAUAGGUAGUGGUGAUAAACCUAGACCUACUUUUAUUAGUGCUAAGUCAUGUUCUGAGUGUAAGCAACAGUUGACUGAGUUGUUAAAGGAAUAUAAAGAUUGCUUUGCUUGGGAUUAUACUGAGAUGCCUGGUUUGGACCGAUCGAUUGUUGAACAUCAGUUGCCUAUCAAGUCUGGAUUUCGGCCACAUCAGCAGCCGGCUCGCCGAUGUAAUCCUAAUAUUCUUCCUGACAUCAAGGCCAAAAUAACUAAACUUAUUGAAGCCAACUUUAUUCGGCAGUGUCGGUAUGCCGAGUGGAUUUCCAAUGUUGUUCCGGUUUACAAGAAGAACGGGAAGCUUAGGGUCUGCAUUGAUUUCAGGAAUCUUAACAAAGCUACACCGAUGGAUGGCUACCCAAUGCCAGUUGCCGAUCUGCUAGUUGAUGCUGCGGCUGGGCAUAGGAUUAUUAGCUUUAUGGAUGGCAAUGCAGGAUACAAUCAAAUAUUCAUGGCUGAAGAGGAUAUUCCAAAGACUGCAUUUAGAUGUCCUAGUCAUGUCGGGUUGUUUGAAUGGAUAGUCAUGACCUUUGGCUUAAAGAAUGCUGGUGCUACUUAUCAAAGGGCCAUGAAUUUUAUAUUUCAUGAGUUCAUCGGCAAGCUGGUGGAGAUUUAUAUUGAUGAUGUGGUGGUUAAGUCUGGGGACUUCACAAAUCAUCUUGCCGAUCUACGAAAGGUGUUGGAAUGCACAAGGAAGCAUGGUUUGAAAAUGAAUCCCAAUAAGUGUGCAUUUGGUGUAUCGGCAGGGCAGUUUCUUGGAUUCAUGGUGCAUCAAAGGGGAAUUGAAAUCAGCCGAAGAUCUAUUGAAGCCAUCAACAAAAUAGUUGCCCCAACCAAUAAGACUGAGCUCCAGUCCUUGAUCGGUAAGGUAAAUUUUAUCAGAAGAUUUAUAUCUAAUUUAUCUGGUAAAAUUUGUGCUUUCAGUCCUCUUCUUAAGCUAAAGGCCGAUCAAAGAUUUGUUUGGGGGAAAGAACAACAGUUGGCUCUGGAUGAGAUCAAGAAUUACUUAGUGAAUCCUCCAAUUCUAAUUCCACCUCAGCAAGGGAAGCCCUUCAGAUUGUAUUUAUCUACCGAUGGGAUGGUCAUCGGAUCGGCUUUAAUUCAAGAAUUUGAAGGGAAGGAACGUGUGAUUUAUUACUUAAGCAGGAGGUUGAUUGAUGCUGAGACCAGGUAUUUGGUUAUUGAGAAACUAUGCUUGUGCCUGUAUUUCUCUUGUAUCAAGUUAAGGCACUACUUGCUAUCGGUCGAAUGCACUGUUAUUUGCAAGGAUGACGUGGUCCGGUACAUGCCGUCUAUGCCGAUUAUGAGUGGCAGGAUCGGUAAAUGGAUUUUGGCGCUGUCGGAAUUCGAUCUGCGAUACGAAUCGGCUAAGGCAGUUAAGGGGCAGAUUAUGGCCGAUUUUGUAACUCAACAUUGCGGUGCAGUGGAGGCUUUGGAAAUUGUACCUUGGACGCUCUUCUUUGAUGGAUCCACAUGUGACCGAGGGCAGGAAUCGGCAUAGUAUUAAUUUCCCCUCAGGGAAGGAAGUAUGAGUUUUCCUUGCCGAUUGUUGCCAUGUUGACGAAUAAUCAGGCUGAGUAUCAAGCUUUAAUAAAGGGAUUGGAGUUAUUAAGAGAAGUUCAUGCUGAUGUUGUUGAGGUCUUCGGGGAUUCUAUGCUAGUUAUAAAUCAAUUGGCUGGAAGCUAUGAAUGCCGAAGUGAAGUUCUCAUAAUUUAUUACGAAAGGAGUAUGCAACUGUUAAAGGAAUUCAAAGAUUUCUGAUUAGAGCAUGUUCCUCGAUUGCAUAAUGAAGAGGCCAAUCGGUUGGCUCAACAUGCCUCGGGAUAUCAGCCUAUGAUUAAUGCGAUAUCGGCAAUAUAUUAUGCUUGUUCUAUAUUACUGCUUGUUCUAUAUUACAGGAUAUAUUAUGCUUGUUCUAUAUUACUGCAUCUAAGUGAUAGGAGUUGGUUGAUACCGUUGAUGCAUUGGUACUCCUUGAUAUCACCCCUCAUUUAUCUACCUUGUCCUAUGUAGAUAGGUACGGAGUCGAUGCUUAGCUUGCUUAGUCCGGAAGAAGUCGGGUGAUUUCCGGUCAUCUGCGAGAUAUAGGUGGAUACCUGCUUGGGUAAGCAGUGGUUGCUUUGGGAAAAGAAUAACCAAGUGUGGAAUGGAAUUUGAGACCGGACAGGGUCUUAUGGUGGUUUGACCAUACUGCCUCUGCCUGUGUCGAUUAAGGACCGGUCGUUGACGGCCCUUGUCACAGAACCGACCAAAUUAUAAGAGUUCAAGUGCAGAAACGAUCGUCAAGCAAUCAAGUUUCUAGACUUGAGCCCAUAUAAUCCCGGUAGUCAAUCGAAAUCACGAGGGACUUCAAACCAACUCGCAACAAACCAAGAUCGUAAUAGUUCAACAUAAACACAACGAUUGUUACAUAGUCAUUCAUUGCCGUCGAAGCGGCACCACAUCGGAGUAUUAAGUUAUUACAACACAUGUUAGAAGUAGCGGAAGCAAAAUAAGUACACACACUUGCUCAAAGUUCAGUUCACAAGUUUGUUACUGCCAGAGUCUAGGUCAUCCUUCCAAAAGCAUCAUAGACGAGAAGAUUAGAGAACCGUGCCCAACGGUUAGUCCUCAUCCCCAGCGGGAUGGAGACAGGUCUUGCAGAAACCGUCAUAGAAGAUAUCAUCUGCAACAGGUGGGAAUAAACCCUGAGUACGAGGUUGUACUCAGCUAGACUUACCCGUCUAGGAAAACAUAAAAGACACCAAGGAUCAUGCAAGGCUGAAUUUUUAAGUGGAGCUGGUUGACUCACCUUUUUGCCAAAAGCUUAACUUACAACUAAAUCAUUUUAAGAGCAUCAAAUUUAUUUAUCAUCAGCCUACCGCUAGAUUAGCACCUGUACUACAACACAUCAUUUGAUUAUUACAAACAAUAGUAACCAUAUCAAUUUUAUCACAUGUUCUUCUUGCUAUCAUCAUUAUCAUGAACCAAGUUCGUUAGUGAAUGCUACGUUUGCCGCUGCUCUGUCAAGUUCUCACUAACCGGGAGAGACGGCGAUUCGAAUCGAAUUCCUAUCCAGCUGGAGGUUUAUUCCUAGCACUCACCCAAGCAUCCCCUGCCGGAGAGCCAAAGGGUCACCUUUGGUACGACUCAGAAAUCGCGGCUCCGAUCAGCGCCGCACUCCCAGGGCUACCACUCUGCCAGGGAGGUCAGGAAUUUUAACUCACCUGCCUUUGGACUUACGCCAAUGGUCCCCCGCACACCGCACUCCCUCCGGUAGUGCGCACUUUAUACUUGCCGGUCUUCCGGUCUGAGUCAUACUACUCGGCUUCGCGGUCGGAACGAGUUAUCCGGCCAACUAAGUGUCAGGCAUGCGUUCAACAUGACAAGAGGACGUACAACGAUCGGUCCUUAGCUGCCACAGACGGAGUUACUACACACUUGCAAAACUCCGCCCGGCUUAAGUCAAAUUAACCAGGUUCCAUCCACGAUAGCACAUAUAGACCAUCGCGACCCGACACAACCCUAUAUCGCGCGGAUGACAGGAUAUCACCCGACUUCUACCGAUUAAAGCAUAGCUAAGCUGCUACUCGAACCUAACUCUACAACCAGGGAGGGUAAGUUAUCUGGACAAGGAUAGAGUAGAAUGCAGCAACAGUUUCAUCACAACUCCUAUACGUAAUGCAGCAAUAGAUAUAACGUAUUAAGUAAACUUUCGAAAAUAGAGGAGGCUUAAAAUGCUCCGGGGCUUGCCUUUCACGAACGAUGCCGGCUCGUGACUUGGACACUCAACUUCUUCUUCGGGCUCCUCGAGUCCGACUUGCUGGACCUCCACCUCCUGGCUGCCUUCCUGGCCUUCGGGGUUCGCUUGGAGCUCGAAGGAAACUGCCACGUCCGGUGCACCUAUUGCAUGCUCGAUGAAUGAGAAGGUGCACAUGCUACAGAUGAAUGCUUAAUAGCACAAGCAACUCACUGGACACUCAUUUACGGAACAAGAGUUAUACUAACUCACAAGAAUAAACAAGUUAACAUAACUCAAAACCUAUCAUGGCAAUAAAGCAGCAAGCAACAUAAAACAAGUAUGCUCAGUAAAUAAAUCAUAAGUAUAGAUAGACAGGUCCAACAAACAUGAGUAAGGACAUUCUGGAAAGCUUAGGAAAUUAUCUACAACCCAUCUUUAAACAUGACAGCAAGAUUCAAACCUUAAACUAGUCAUUUUAACAAAGUUCCAGGUUCUGUCCCAGAAAAACAGAGAACCCCUAUUUCUGGAACCUAACUUGGAACAGCUGUAACUUUUAAACUACUUGGCCAAAUGACCUCAAAUUUGAACCACAGUUAGUUCAACAAGUUUAGAACAACUUUGUUUUAUACAAGUUUCACAGAAAGUCAACUUAUCAUUAAGCAAAGUUAAAUUAUUCACUUGCUGUCCAGACAGCAUUUAACCCUAUAGUUAAUUAUUUAAUGACAUGAUCAAGACACAAACUAAGCCAACCAUAAGGCUCAUGGGCACAAACAAAUCACAAGGUCACCAGAUCAUCAGUUGAAAACCCCAAAACAAUUACUUAACAAGGCAUUUAUUAAUUAAUUUUAGGCAAGGCAUAUUUACAAGAUAUUAGUUAAAGUGCUCAGAAAAAUCUACAAAAAUUACAGAGGCACAAGUAUAACAUCAGAUGAACACCAUAAAAUUUUCAGGACCAUUGCACAUGCCAAUUUAAAGAUAUGCAUUUAACAUGUAUCAAGGCAUUUAUUUCAUAAAUUCAUAGACAUGACUCAUAUGGUGUCAAACAACAGAUUUCAGAUUAUUUAUAUCUUAGGAAUGCCAUAAACAAGUUUACCACCAAAAUAGAGCACCAGCAUAAGCACCAAUUAUUUUAUGUGAUUUAAUUAAAGAAACAAGCCAUAUUUCAAACACAAAUUGCAUAUCACAACUGCAGUGCUCCAAAAAUCAUGAAAUAAUUAUCAGAGCACUCUAAUGCCAUGCAAAGACUACCAUAAAAUUUUAAAAGCAAACUAAGCAGUAUAACCAGAGAUAUGCAUUUAUCCAUAAAUAACAAGAUUAAAUCCUUAAUAAAUAAUUUCCCAGAAAACAUGAUUCAUUUUAUAUUUUUAUUAAAUACUAGCCAUCUCAAGAAACAACACGAAAUUUGUUUCACAAUUUUUGGAUCACUAGAACUAGAGAUAUGAUUUUUACAAAAUCAGCUCAAACUCUGAUUUAAACAAAGGAGAAAGAGGGACUGACAGAGGGGACCCGCGCGUCAACGGACCCCACCUGCCAGUGACACCGAAGCAGAGGCGCGGCUUGACCGCCGGAGAUCUCGCCGACGGCGAGGUCUCGGCGCUGGCCAAGGGCACCAUCGUGCUCCCCACUGGAUUCCGCAUCUAGCGGUACCCAAAACCCUAACUCUACCGAGCUCUAGGUACCUCGCCCUCGCGAAUGGCGGCACGGCGGUGGUGCGCGGCCGACUGCCGGCGUCUCUGGCCGGAGACAGGGCAGAAGAGAACGAGGACGAGCAACAGCAAGACCUAGCGAAGCUUUUGGGACAAGAAUGAGAAGAAAUGGCGGACUACAGAGCCCUGGCCACGACGCCGGUGGCCAUGGCGGAACUCCGGCGAGGUAAGCUCGCGUCGGAGCAGGCAAUGCGGGCUCACCGAGGCUCGGCAGUCGCAACCAGCUCGACGACGGUGGAGAGGAGAGGCUUGCGGAGCGCUGGACCGAGCUGCUUGGCCGGAGACACGGAGAUGCGCGCGCGCGAGCUCGCCGAAGCAACGGCGGCGACGCGGAAACGACGACGCGCGAGAGAGAGAGGACACCGGGAGCGGAAAUGGCUCUGUCCACGCGACCGGGGCGCCGGGGCGAGAUGAAGGACGCGCGGAGGACUGACGGGCGGGGCCAACGGCGACGUACGGACGCCACGGGUCCAGACACGCGGCACACCGGCGAGCUCCCCCUGUCUGAACGACGACGCGAUUCAGUCUCCCCAAACCGACUGAAACUCGAUUUUGCCCAACGAUUUACUCCCUAAUCACUCGAUGAUUUUGCUGGCUAAUUGCUCCAUGCCAGAGAGCUACACGAGUACUCCAACAUUGCUUACAAGAUCAAGGCUUGAUUCGCUCUAGAAUUCAAACGGGAAGGUGAAGAACACCCUCUCGAGCAAACUGCAAAGCCCCCAGGACUUAGAAAAUUUCUAAGUGUGGAAAACAGCCCCAAAACUGCCUUGUGGGCCACUUUUGAGCUAUUUGUGAUCAUUUUCAUGAGAUGGCCAUAAAACAACUUUUGUUCCGUAUAAAAUUUGCUACAACUUUGCUGUAGGAAGUUUUGACAUGCAAACAUUUUAUGAAACACUUUUUAAAAGCCUAAGCAAAAGAGGUUUCUAGGGCCUAUUUGCAUAAGUAAGACUUAAGUGAUUAUUUUGGAGAAGUGAUCAACAUGAACAUUGUUUCCAAGGUUAAGUUAAGCAUAGAUAAGCUGUUUACCAAGGCAUUAAGCACAAACACAAGCAUUGUUCACCCAAACAUAAGCAUAGAAAGCCUAUCUAAGCCAUUUAAAACACAUUUUUGCAAAGGAUGCCAUGUCCCAAGAUAGAUGAUGAUCAUGGAUGCUUUUGAAUACAUAAUGAUGCUCAUGCUAUGCACAUGUUUGAUGCAACCAUAACACUGGGGUGUUACAGCCCUCUUGUCAUGUUGAACGCAUGCCCCACACUUAGCUGGAAGGAUAAGUCGUUCCGACCGCGAAGCCUGAGCACUAUCCGGGCCGGGAAUCGAGCCGCCAUGCGCUGUAUUGGAGAUGGUUGAGGAGAACGAUGAGCGCGCGGCGCGCAACCUUGGUAUACCUUGGAUACCUCGGUCGCCAGAACGGUCCUCGGGUACUGGCGGUGCCUGCCGAACCCGCGAAUUGGUCCUGGAUAGUGUAAUACGGUGAUCUGUAGCUCACUUGAUCAGUGAGUGUGGUUUGUGUGGGGAAUACCUCGCCAGCUGGUUAGAAAUCGAUUCGAAUCGCCAUCGCUCCUGGAUAGUGAGCACUUGACAUGAGCUUCGUCCUCGUAGUAAGGACUAUGGAACACUUGGGUUAUAAUGAUAAAUGGUUUAUGAAUGCUAUGAUGAGGUACUAUCAUAUCUUUAUAAUUGCUUGUAAUAGUGCAGGUGCAAAACCUAGAUAAUAGGUAAUGAUACCUUCAACUUGAGCAAAUUAAAAGAAGAAAAGAUUUAUGUAGGUGAUGAUAAUAGAAUUCUGCGGUUUUGCAAAAUGGUCGUCAGCUACCCCACUAUAUAGCCUUCAUGAUCCUUGAAGAGUCUUUAUUUUAAUUUAUGUCGGGUAAGUCUAGCUGAGUACCUUCUCGUACUCAGGGUUCUACUCCCAUGUUGUUUUGUAGAUGGUCAAAUGUACUAUGGUUAUUGCAUCCUCUGUCUGUACCCAGCCAUAGGUGAUGACUAGACCAAGAGCGAUGGUCACUCCGUCUUCUCUUUUGCUUUUGUGGGAAUGACCGAACUAUGGCACUGUAUCAGACUAAAUGUGUGUGUUGUAUUUUCGAACUAUGAAGCUUCCGCUACUUGAAGAACUUGGUUUUUAAUAACUUUAAGUACUCCGAUGUAUUUUAUAAAUGUUGUAAUCUGGAUGUAUUUGUGGAUGGCGACCGCUAAACUUAUUACGAUCUUGGCUGUUGUGCGACGUGUGGUUUGAAAUCCUUCGAGAUUUCACGGACUACCGGGAUUAUAUGGGCUUAAGCCUGAUGGUUUGACAGUGCAAAUGGUCACUGUUAGGCUUAAUCUCUUAUAAUUUGGUCGGUUCUGUUACAGCUGGCAUCGGAGCAAGGUUUAGCGAGUUACUGUUCAUAAGUACGUUCUAAACAAAAUCUAAACCGGUUUAAUAAAAGAUUUUAUUAAUUAAUGAUGAUCAAGGUGUUAAACUACGUUUUGGAAAAACUAUCUAGUAUGCCAUGGUCAUAUCCUUUAUGCCCAUUUAAGGACUCUAAGGUGGCUAGUUAAGUACUGACUUGGGGGUUAAUGCAUCAUAUUUUAUUUCGUCGCUCAUAGGGCGUGCAAUAGUAUGAGUGCCAUUCAUUUGAGUGGUAAUGUAUGGAUCAAUUUUUCCUCUACGCCACGGUAAGUGAGAGCUGUGAGAGCAUGAUCGGAUACACUGCCGGUCUAGGGGAGUGUUGUUAGGUGCUGUGUCAUGCACACAUGUUUUGGUGUGUUUUGGGAACAGUACCGCAUGUUGGGAAUUCCGUCCGGAGAGGCGAUGCCGUCAUUAGGGCGAUGAUGUGGGUAGUAACAUGUCACAUGCAUGGAUGGGUGUCUGUGUAUGUGGAGUGUGUAGUUUUAAAAUUCUUGUUUUGCAUUAGCAUAUUGUGGGCGGGCUGAAAUGAGUUUUCUGCAGGUACACUAACCACGUUCUCGCUUAGAACGUUAGUUACGUUAUGAGAGAACGUUGUGUGCCACCGCAUAUACCGCUUAGUGUUAACCUUUGUUUCUAAGUUUGUGAGAUCGUAAGUUCGCGCAUGCAUCAUGUUCAUCUCAUAUCAUUGCUUACUUUCCCCCUUCAUUUAAUCUGUCCCAAUUCUAAAUAAAAUAAUUAAAGGUAAUCCUCGCUCUUACCGAAGGUAUUCCAUUGCAGCAGAUGGCGCGCAAUAGGCUCACCGCUCGCAAGUCCACUGGUGGGCGGGCCCCUCGCCAUCCGUUGGCAGCUAGGAGCUCACGACAUAAGAGCAAGUUCCUGGAGGAGUUUGGGAUGCCCACUUUGCUUUGGAGGGUGCUCAGUUCGAUGGGGUAUCCCGAAGGAAGGGAGCCUCGCUACUAUUGGGAUAAGGAGCCGCUUGGUGACGGUACACUGGUGGGGAUCGAGGCAGUUGUCCCUACCAGUGGAGGAGACCCUACUUGGGGCGGCUGGGUGUACGAGUCUCGAGGUAUCACGCCUUUCCACGGUGCCAGCAGGGCAGCUUUCGCAGUUCUGAGGGACCUCAUGGAGAGGUUUCCACAGGAGUUGGCCCACGCCUUCGCUGGGGUGUUUCCUCGGGGUGACCCCUACACUUCGGUGUGGGAUCAGUCCGAGGUGAAUGCUCUAGAGAGGAGUGCGGAUGAGGACCAGCACAGUGACAGCACAGCUAUGAGUGCCAUGUACGCGUUGAUGAAGACCUAUGGAGGCCUAGAGCGUUGUUUGGGUCGCUUGUCCGGGUCUCUUCUCACCGUCCAGGAUGAGAAGCGUCAGUUGCAACGUGAGUUCGACUCUGAGGUUGAGAGGCUGCAGGCAGAGUUGGCCCGUGUGACCAGAGAGAGAGAUCAGGCAGUCUAGAAGAACAGUGAGCUGAGUGAGGACCUGCUUGCAGUGCGUGAGCAGAGGGAUAGGGCGACUACUGCUCACAGGAACUGCGAGCGCAUGCUAGUCCAUGUGCUUGGACAGAGGAAUGAAGCCUAGCACGAGGAGGACACUUUGAGGGCCCGACAGCUAGAGCUAGAGCAGCAGCUAGCCAAUGCCAAGGAGUACAACGAGAACUUGCAUGAGGAGAUCCACCAGCUGCAUAACCAGCUCUACCCUCACCACCUGCCUGGAGCAGCUGAGCUAGACUCUGAGGGCGAGAUGGAUGCGGAUCCCGAGAUAGGAGCCGCUGCUAGUGGUGAUGAGGAUGAGGAGGGCUCAGGCAUGGACAGUGAUCAUAGCGACUAGAUGCUAGGGCUCUAGAGCUAGUCCUUCUUCUUUUGUGUUGUAUGUUGCAUGGCAUGUCGUGUACUUUUGGAUCUGGGCCAUGUAAGACUUAUGAGUUAGUGCUGAAAGUCCAGUGUAUGUAUGCUGGCAAGUUGGAUGUACACGAACCUUGUUGCGUGAAUGUUAAGUAAUCUGUUAGUGAUGUUGUGCAUAGAUGAUGAAUUGUUGUGCCUCUGUUUAUUGUGCGAAUUUAUUCCCUCAGUAAAUUCAGUACGGCAUGAUUCUACACAUUUCUACCGUUGAUGGCGACCCCUAACGAUUGCUUAUCAUUGACGUAUGCAGAUGGUGCAAACACGUGGCGGGGGUAACAGCAAUCCGGGUCUUAGAGCAGGUACGUCCGGAGGUGGGGCUCAACGGAAUGAGGACAGAGCACCAACACCGCCACCACCACCGCCUCCUCCGUACACUGCAGACGUGUUUUUCGCGCAGUUUCUGGGGAGCCAACGCAACAUGGAACAGAUGCAACGCAACAUGGAAGAGGCUCUCCGUAACAUAGCUGACAACACCCGUCGUGGGGAUAACCAGGGCGGCCGUGAAGUCAACCAAUACAACUCAUUCAAGGACUUCAUGGAUACCAAGCCACCAAUUUUCAAAGAGGCUUUGGAACCGCUCGAGGCGGAUGAGUGGAUCAACACUAUGGAGCAGAAGUUUCGUCUUCUCCGAAUGACAGAAGAGCUUAAGGCUGAGUAUGCGGCACAUCAGUUGCAAGGACCCGCGGGGAUUUGGUGGUCCCAUCACCGUACCACCUACCCAGAGGGGACCCCAAUUACCUGGAACCGCUUCACCACCGCUUUUCGGGGAAAUUAUAUUCCUCCGGGUUUAGUUGAAAUGAAGAUCGGGGAGUUCAUGAGGCUGUCCCAGGGGGCGAAAUCUGUGAAGGAGUAUCUACACGCUUUCAACAACCUCGCUCGCUAUGCCCCUGAGUUUGUGAACACGGAGGCCAAGAAGAUUGCUAGUUUCCAGAGAGGCUUGAAUCCAAAGAUGCUGAAGACCAUGGGUACAGGAGCCAGGGCUACCUUCAAUGCCUAUAUCAGUGACUGCUUGACCCAGGAGAACAAUAAUAACAACUACAGUGCAUCCAAGUCACGUAAGAGGGCUUUUGAAGCCGGAUCAAACCAGUCCAGGGCACCAGUGGCAGGGUGACCGCAGUAUCGUCCUCCUGCCCCAGGUGCUAGGUUCCGACUGCCGCAGAGAAGGAACACCGGGCAUCCAACACAGCAGAAGUCGUACAAGGUGGUAAUAGCCCCUGCCAAGCCAAAGGCAAUUCAAGCUGCAGCACCUGCCGUCAACAAUGCGCCCAAGGGUCCAUGCUAUAACUGCCACAAGAUGGGGCACUUUGCUAAGGAAUGUCCAUACCCCAAGAGGCAGCAACCAACCUAACCAGCUCGUGUGCAUCACACCUCGAUCGAGGAGAUCCCGGAAGGAGAACCGGUAACAGCUGGUAUGUUCCCUGUCAACCAACAUCUUGCAGUUGUUUUGUUUGAUUCUGGAUCAUCGCAUUCAUUCAUGAGCCAAGCAUUUGCACAAAAGCAUAGUCAACCGGUUACAGAUCUGGGUUAUGGCUACCGCAUCAGCUCAGCAGAGGCGGAUGUGUUGACCAAUAGAGUGGUUCGAGGAGCAACCCUGGAUAUAAGUGACCGAGUUUUUCGGGUAAAUCUAGUGGUCAUGCCUGGGUUAGUUUUGGAUGUUAUCAUGGGCAUGAACUGGAUGAGAGAAUGGGAUGCCAUCAUAGAUGCUGGGAAGAGGAUGUUAUCUCUCAGAGAACCGCAGGGCAGUAGCUCUUUUCAAGUACCUCUGCCCCGUCGUCUUGACUUUGCUAGCAUCUCUUGUGCUACGCAUGUGGUUCCCUUACCACAGAUCCCAGUAGUCUGUGAGUUCCCUGAUGUUUUUCCCAAGGAAUUACCAGGACUUCCCCCAGAUAGGGAAGUAGAGUUUGCAAUUGAGUUGAUCCCAGGUACAGCACCAAUAUCUAGAAGGCCGUACUGGAUGCCACCUAACGAACUCGCCGAGUUGAAAAAUCAACUAAAGGAGUUGCUGGAUAAAGGAUUCAUCCGGCCAAGUUCGUCAGAAUGGGGUUGUCCGGCGUUGUUUGUAAAAAAGAAGGAUCAAUCGUUGCGCGUGUGCGUGGUCUAUCGUCCACUCAAUGCAGUGACGAUCAAGAAUAAGUAUCCCUUGCCAAGGAUCGAUAUCUUAUUUGAUCAGUUGUCCAAGGCAAAAGUGUUUUCCAAGAUAGAUUUGAGGUCUAGGUAUCACCAAAUCAAGAUUCGUCCGCAAGAUAUCCCGAAGACUGCUUUUUCCACCAGAUACGGGUUGUAUGAGUACCUUGUCAUGUCCUUUGGGUUGACAAAUGCUCCUGCAUAGUUUAUGUAUCUGAUGAAUUCAGUCUUUAUGCCAGAAUUGGAUAAGUUUGUUGUGGUGUUUAUCGAUGAUAUCCUGGUUUAUUCAGAAAAUGAGCAAGAUCACGCCAAGCAUCUGAGAACAGUGUUAACACGAUUACGAGAGCAUCAGUUAUAUGCCAAGUUCAGCAAGUGUGAGUUCUGGUUGAAGAAAGUUCCUUUCCUAGGGCACAUUCUGUCUGAAGAAGGGAUUGCUGUGGAUCCGUCAAAAGUGCAGGAAGUCAUGGACUGGAAGGCACCAACUUCUGUCUCGGAAGUUAGAAGUUUUCUUGGUUUGGCCGGGUAUUAUCGUCGAUUCAUACCUGACUUCUCCAAUAUUGCUAAGCCAAUGACAAGUUUGCUACAAAAGGAUCAUAAGUUUGUCUGGACGGAGGGGUGUGAGUUAGCCUUCCGCACCUUGCGAAAGUUGCUAACCACUGCUCCCGUUCUGGCACAACCCAAUAUAGAGAAGCCUUUUGAUGUGUUUUGUGACGCAUCAAAGAGUGGCCUGGGGUGUGUGUUGAUGCAAGAUGGAAGGGUGACAGCUUAUGCUUCCCGACAGUUGAGAAAGCACGAAGUCAACUACCCAACUCACGACCUCAAGUUAGCAGCAGUGGUACAUGCUUUGAAGAUUUGGAGACACUAUUUACUGGGAAAUAAAUGUCACAUUUAUACUGAUCAUAAGAGUUUGAAGUACAUCUUCACUCAAUCCGAGCUAAAUAUGAGGCAACGACGGUGGUUAGAGUUAAUCAAGGACUAUGAUCUGGAAGUUCACUACCAUCCAGGCAAAGCUAAUGUAGUAGCAGAUGCCUUGAGUCGCAAACCGCACUAUCAAAUGGUUCAACCGUUGUUUGAAGAUGGGUUCAAUCUUAUGCAUCCUGAGGUCUUAUGUCACAUACAACUCAGUUGUUCACUCGAGAGUCAAGUCAUUGAAGGUCAGAAAACAGACAAGGGUAUUUUCCACAUCAAAGAGAGGAUCAAAGACGACCCAAAAACUCAGUUUUGAGUUGAUGAGAAAGGGGUACUGUGGUUUCAACAUCGGUUAGUAGUCCCGAAGGAUCGGGAAUUGAAGAAUCGCAUCAUGGAUGAAGCCCAUCUCUCUAAGCUUUCUAUUCAUCCUGGCAGUAGUAAAAUGUACCAAGACUUGAGACCCCACUUUUGGUGGACCAAGAUGAAGAAAGAGAUAGCUGCGUAUGUAGCCCGUUGUGACACGUGUUGCAGAGUUAAGGCCAUCCAUAUGAAACCUGCAGGUCUGUUGCAACCGUUAUCAGUUCCAGAGUGGAAAUGGGAAGAGGUCAGUAUGGACUUUAUCACAGGUUUACCAACCACGAGGAAGGGGAAUGACUCAAUUUGGGUAAUCAUGGAUCGAUUAACCAAGUCGGCUCAUUUCAUUCCAGUUAAGAAUACAUACAGGCCUCCCGAGUAUGCCAAUAUAUAUAUGGCUGAGAUUGUCAAGUUGCAUGGUAUUCCCAAGACCAUCAUAUCAGAUAGAGGACCACAGUUCACCGCUCACUUUUGGGAGCGAAUGCAUAAGAAUUUGGGGACCAGUCUGAUAAGAAGCACGGCGUAUCAUCCUCAGACCUCAGGACAAACUGAGAGGCUAAAUCAGGUAUUAGAAGAUAUGCUGAGGGCCUGUGUGCUAUCAUCCAAGGGAUCAUGGGAAUCAUGGUUACCUCUGGCUGAAUUCUCAUACAAUAAUAGUUAUCAAGAGAGCAUCAAGAUGGCCCCGUUCGAAGCCUUGUAUGGUCGAAGGUGUAGAACUCUGUUAAACUGGGUUGAACCUGGUGAAAGAAGAUAUUAUGGUAUCGACUUUGUGAACGAAGCAUAGAAAAAGGUGCAAGUCAUACAACAACAUUUGCAAGCGGCACAAUCACGACAAAAGAGUUAUGCUGAUAAGAGGAGAAGGCCACUUGAAUUCAAAGUAGGUGACUAUGUAUACCUCAAGGUUACGCCAAUGAAGAAAGUUCAACGUUUCCGAGUUCGAAGCAAGCUUGCACCCAGAUAUGUGGGACCGUACCAAAUACUGGAGAGGAAAGGCCCCGUGGCCUACAAGAUUCAGUUACCUGAAGAGUUGAGCUCGAUCUUUCCGGUCUUCCAUGUGUCGCAACUGCGGAAAUGUUUGAAAGUACCUGAGCAAAGAAUUGAACCUCGAGGGAUCAAAAUAAAAGCAGACUUAGAGUAUAAGGAGCAGCCAGUGGGAAUUGUGGAUACAAAGGAACGGGUAACCCGAAACAGAAUUGUCAGAACAUAUAAGGUAGUGUGGAGUCAUCAUGACGAUAGGGAUGCCACCUGGGAAACAGAGGAUUACUUAAAAACAGUUUAUCCAAAAUUUCAUAAGAAAUGGUUAGUAACCCAAAAUCUCGGGACGAGAUUUCCCUAAGGGGGGAAGGGCUGUAACACCCUAGGUGUUAAGCAUGCAUUUAGCCCUAUUACAACAUGCAUAAGCAUUCUCAUCAAGCAUAGCAUCAUGAGCAUGUCAUUCAUCCCAAAAACAUGAUUUUGUGUGCUUUAUUUCAUGUGUUUUAAUUAAGCUAAAAGUAUGAUGCUUGCUUCUAAAAAUGUGAAAUAUUCAAACUAGUUUGAAUUAUGUGUAAGAAGAAUUAAGAAUAUUUUUGUGCAAUUUUUGGAGCUAUAGAAUUUGAGAAAUGGAAUUUAUACAAAAAUCCCCAAAUUGAAUUUAUUUGAAAACCUAGAACUAGUUUUAAUUUGUAGUUCAAAUUCUGUUGGGAAUUUGUUCUUGCUUAUUAAAACAAAGUUGUGGGGUUUUUGUUUUGGAACAACUUUGUUUUUGGGAGCAAGAGGUGAAAAUGGUUUUAAAUUGGUCCAAAUGAAUUUAGAAAGGAUUUGGAGAAAAGAAAUUCAAAAAAAAAUGAAAAGGGGCAGGCGCUGCCGGGCCAACCCCGCCUCCCUUUCGGCCCAGCGAGCGGCCUGGCCUGCUUCCCCCUCCCCCUCUCUCCCGCGCGCAGACGCGCCUCGUCCCAGCCAGCGUCGGCCACGUGGCGGCCGUACGCCGGCGAGGAGCGCGCCGCGGCCGGCCUCCAACACCCCCUGGUCGGGACGCCGGCUCGGGCUCCCAGUCCAUUCCCUCCAUCCUGUCGCCCGCGCCCUUCUCCUUCCUCCCUCCGCUCGCGAGCGCAACCAAGCCGUAGACCUCCGCCGCGGCGCCAUCGCCGGAGCAGCUCCGCUGCUCACCGCCGGCCACUCCGGUGACCAAAACUCGACACCGAAGCCACCAGCGCCUUCGCCAUCGUUAGGGUAAGCUUGUGCGAGCGUUCUACCGAGGUGAGAGUCCGUCGAGCGCCGUGAAUAGCUCGCCGGAGUUACCCCGAGCUCGCCGGAGUACUCUGCCGCGACGGAUCUUGCGUUUCCCUGCCUCUUUUCGCUGGUUUUUGGUUGCGCUAGGUCGGUAGGGUGGUGAGGAAGCUCGGAGAGCCGUUUGCGCACGCUCUACCACGAUGGAGCGGCCUGGCCACGGCGAGCAGCGCCGCCAUGCCGCCAUGCACGCUCGACGGAGGUGCUCUGGCCAUCCUCCGGUCAAUCUGAGAGUACCGCUGGGUACUCCUCGCUGCGGGGAGCACGUUGGUGCUCACCCCGUGGCCGGGGACCUCACCGCCGGCGAGAUCUGCUCGUCGGAGGUGAGCUCCCUCUCGGUCUCGCUGAACAGUGGGGCCAGAGGCCCACUGUCAGUCACAGGGGAACCCCGGUGGGUGUAGAUCUGGGUGUGUUUAGCCUUUUUCGUCGGUUUUCUUGAAUAAAUGUUUUCUAGAAAUCGAUUCAAAACUUGUAAAAUUCAUAUCUUGAGUUCUACAGCUCCAAAUUUGAUGAAAUAAAUUUUGGUGUGCUCUAUAUUUCCAGAUCUACAGUUUGAUGUAAUUGCAUGUCAUGUUUGAGUAACUUUUCUGUAUGAAAAUAUUUAAUCCAUGUUUUUGCUAAACUUGGAAAAUGCAUAGUAAUUAAAAUAUGGUUCAGAAAAAUGUGAAACUUGAUUUGUUGGCUCUGCAUGUAUGUUUACUCACUGGGAAAAUAUUGCUACAUAUUAUUUGGUGUAUAAAUGAAUUUAUGGUAAUUUAAAUGCUUGCAUGGCAGUGGUUUAUGAUUUUUAGAAAUUAGUUGGAUCAUGCAAUAAAUCUGGAAAAUUUUGUGGGUGUUUCUUAUGAUAUUAUACAAAUUGUAAAAAUAUGAAAUCUGUUGUUUGACACUUAUAUCACAGUAGAGUGAUUAUACUUACCUUAUUAAUUAAUCCUGUGAUUUUUGUAGCUCAAAAUAAGUAUCCAAAAAUUAUGAAAAAUUUACAGUAGACUUUAUGCUUGACUAGUAGUCUCCUUUGAUUUUUGAGGAAUUUAUUGGUGAACAGAACUGCAUGUAAAUUUAAUGGGCCUAGAAAUGAAUAAAGAAAAUUAUGAAUUGUUGUAUGUAUAGGUUGAAUAGAAUAAGUUUGGGUUUGGUGUAUCUUUGAAGCAACUUGUGGGUUGCUGGUCACACUUGAAAAAUACUUGUAGAAGAGAAUGCACUAGAUGUUUAGUCCAAUUGUCUGUUCCUGGAUGAUGUUGACUACCUUGUAAUGAGCAUGACCAAGUGUAUCAUCUAUGCAUCAUGUCAUGAUCCUUUGGUACCUUCUCAUACAAGCAUCCACUCGGGCAUCUCGCACUCCACUCAUGAGCACACAUGCAUCAUACAGGCUCGCAGGAGAACGAGGUGGGACCCGAGGAACCAGAGGAGAUUCAGGAGCAGGAACCUCCGGAAGCACAGGAGUCCGGAGAGGAACUGCAGGAGUGUCCGGAUCACCGACCCAGCACGUUUGAGAAAGGCAAGCCCCGAAGCAUUCUAAGUCUCCCUAUUCUCGCUAACUUACAGGAUAUAUUAUGCUUGUUCUAUAUUACUGCAUCUAAGUGAUAGGAGUUGGUUGAUACCGUUGAUGCAUUGGUACUCCUUGAUAUCACCCCUCAUUUAUCUACCUUGUCCUAUGUAGAUAGGUACGGAGUCGAUGCUUAGCUUGCUUAGUCCGGUAGAAGUCGGGUGAUUUCCGGUCACCUGCGAGAUAUAGGUGGAUCCCUGCUUGGGUAAGCAGUGGUUGCUUUGGGAAAAGAAUAACCAAGUGUGGAAUGGAAUUUGAGACCGGGCAGGGUCUUAUGGUGGUUUGACCAUAGUGCCUCUGCCUGUGUCGAUUAAGGACCGGUCGUUGACGGCCCUCUUGUCAUGUUGAACGCAUGCCCCACACUUAGCUGGAAGGAUAAGUCGUUCCGACCGCGAAGCCUGAACACUAUCCGGGCCGGGAAUCGAGCCGCCAUGCGCUGUAUUGGUGAUGGUUGAGGAGAACGACGAGGGCGCGCCGUGCAACCUUGGUAUACCUUGGAUACCUCGGUCGCCGGAACGGUCCUCGGGUACUGGCGGUGCCUGCCGAACCCGCGAAUUGGUCCUGGAUAGUGUAAUACGGUGAUCUGUAGCUCACUUGAUCAGUGAGUGUGGUUUGUGUGGGGAAUAGCUCGCCAGCUGGUUAGAAAUCGAUUCGAAUCGCUAUCGCUCCUGGAUAGUGAGCACUUGACAUGAGCUUCGUCCUCGUAGUAAGGACUAUGGAACACUUGGGUUAUAAUGAUAAAUGGUUUAUGAAUGCUAUGAUGAGGUACUAUCAUAUCUUUAUAAUUGCUUGUAAUAGUGCAGGUGCAAAACCUAGCUAAUAGGUAAUGAUACCUUCAACUUGAGCAAAUUAAAAGAAGAAAAGAUUUAUGUAGGUGAUGAUAAUAGAAUUCUGCGGUUUUGCAAAAUGGUCGUCAGCUACCCCACUAUAUAGCCUUCAUGAUCCUUGAAGAGUCUUUAUUUUAAUUUAUGUCGGGUAAGUCUAGCUGAGUACCUUCUCGUACUCAGGGUUCUACUCCCAUGUUGUUUUGCAGAUGGUCAAAUGUACUAUGGUUAUUGCAUCCUCUGUCUGUACCCAGCCAUGGGUGAUGACUAGACCAAGGGCGAUGGUCACUCCGUCUUCUCUUUUGCUUUUGUGGGAAUGACCGAACUAUGGCACUGUAUCAGACUAAAUGUGUGUGUUGUAUUUUUGAACUAUGAAGCUUCCGCUACUUGAAGAACUUGGUUUGUAAUAACUUUAAGUACUCCGAUGUAUUUUAUAAAUGUUGUAAUCUGGAUGUAUUUGUGGAUGGCGACCGCUAAACUUAUUACGAUCUUGGCUGUUGUGCGACGUGUGGUUUGAAAUCCUUCGAGAUUUCACCGACUACCGGGAUUAUAUGGGCUUAAGCCUGAUGGUUUGACUGUGCAAAUGGUCACUGUUAGGCUUAAUCUCUUAUAAUUUGGUCGGUUCUGUUACACAUUGGUCCAGUUUCCUUUCACCCCAUUGGACUUCAUUUGAGUAGCUGACUCUCAAGAACCAAUCCUUCCAUCUCACGGUAGGACUGGGCCAGGAACGAAAGGAAUCCUUCCAUAGAUCCAAAGAAAAAUUCUCGGCUCUAAAAGGGAUCCUGUUGGUUUCUGCAUUAAUAAAAUCGGUGGGAUCUGGAUUUCCUAAUGGACCAAGACAUUGGAGAUGUGGCUGAUCGGUAGGGAUGACGUUGUUAUUGGACAGAUCCUAAUGGUUUUGAAUGCAAAAGGAAAACAAAGAAAGAAAAGGAAAAAAUGUUCAGUAAAGUAAAUUGCGGAUGAACAGGGAUGCAGGAAAAGCACAAAAGGUGGAAUGAAGAACUGACCUCAGGGACGGUGAAGUUGAUGGCCAUCUCGUCACGAAGAGGGUGGUCGAGGGCUUUGGAGUUGGUGAAGAAGGGGCUUCGUUGGAGAUCUUGGAGCUCUCGAACAGCGCCGCCGUCGCGAAAGUGGAGUUGGAGCUGUGGAAUGAUGUGAUGGGGGAGAAGUACUCGAGAAGGAACUAUUUAUAGGACAAAACGGGCAAGGGAAAAUCUGACUUAUCUCUUCGCCGUAUCCGUGAAAUCUGAGGGUACUCAGGUAGAUAUGGUAACUGUUCGCACGGUAAUCAAGGGAUGGCACAGGUGAUUUGACAGGAAGCGGUCAUUAUCCAGAGAUAUCUCACUGUGCGAGAUUUCCUGGUCGAUCGAUCGGCAGCGCCUUGUAACGGUCAUAUUGCCGAUGGACGGAAUAUCCGUUCAGGAGGAUAAGAUACUUUACUAAACAGAACGUUCUGAUCGGUUCAUCGGCAAGUCUCUGUAACGGUAACAUUGCCGAUGCGCGACUAAAGUGGAAAUGUCUGUUUGGGAGGUUGAGGAUUUCGAGGGAUCUGCGGAGGAAUCAAACUAGGGUUGUUUGGAUUAAAGCUGUUGGUUACCAGAUUGGGAGAAUUAAUUGCGGAAAAGCAUCAUUUACUGCAAAGAAUUUUGGAGCAUUAAUGAUUUCAUACUCUGAAAUUGGGGGCAUGUGUUGACACCGUUUUUGGGCACGUGUCCAUGAUUGGUAGAGUGCGGGUCGGCAAGACAAGACGGCAGUGCUUGAUCUGCAGGAUGAGUUGCCGAUGAGGAUGGUUGCCGAUGGAGGGACGGCUGAAUGUGACCAAGUCCAUAGAUGAUGAUGUGUUUGUGCCGAUGGCUACAACAAGGGAGUCUGCCGAUGAUGCGGAAGAAGAACCUGGAGGUUGCCGAUCGGCUUGUGGAGGUGUUCCAGUUUGUCACGGGAGGAUAGUUUUAUAUUUUCCUUAGUUAUUUAGAUCGUUUUGUUUACAUAUUCUGUUUAAUUUGGAAUUCAAAUUCUAGUCGUGUCUGGUUGUGGCUCUUUGAGCAGGGUAUAAAUAUAGACCCUAGGGCAUUGUAAUGAGACAAUCUAUCAAUCAAUCAAACACAAGUUUUUACUCAUAUUCCAGUACCUACUUUUUCAACGACUUCGUCAUACUUUUUGCCUUUUUAUUACGAGUUCUUAGGAAUUCGUCGACUUAAGCUCGGCGUGUUCUCAUGUUCCGCGUGAAUACCUCUUGGCCGUGGCAUCCGGGCGCAUCGCUAUUGUCGGGACCAAAGUAUUCGAUUUACUACCUUUGCCGAUAGUAAGGUCAAAUCGGCUGGCACGCCUUAACGUUUAAAUCAGGUAUUAGUCCUUUGUGUUUGCAGAUCUAGCUUUUGCAUCAACAAGCAUUUGAGAUAGAUGUAUUUAUAGGCCGAUUGGAGUAGGGGCAUUCUAGACUUAUCUCUCUAUCGUGCACGUGUAGGUCGAGGUUGUUCAGAUGGAUGUGGUAACCAUUCGCAUGAUAAUCAAGGGAUUGUGCAGGUGGUUUGAUGGCAAGCAAUCAUGACUCGGAAGAAAUUUUGGUGUAUAGGAUAUUUUAAUUCUGAGAUCAGCAGCGUGAUUGAAGAUUACUGUGUUACGUUCUUGCCGAUGGACUAUUACUUUUGUGUCUUGACCAUAAUCGGAACAAGGUGAUUGAAGAUUGUGUGAUAUUUACUUAGGUGUGUAAAUCAAUGCUUGGAGGAUGAGCUAAAUAAUUAGGUGAAGGCAAUCAUUAUCUAGAGUAAAUUUUGGAACAUUAAUGAUUUUAUACUCCAAAAUUGGGGGCAUGUGUUGACACCAUUUUUGGCACGUGUCAAAAUGAUCAGAGUGGGCUAAUCGGUAGAAGGAAAGUUUUUGUAUUACGCUGGUAGAAGGGUGCCGAUGAAAAUCAGCCUCUGAGGAUUAUUGCCGAUGAAUGGUGGUGACCGAUGGAAAGGUUGUCAUUUGAUUUAGACUCAGAGGCAUUGAUGACAAGAUCAGAGAUGUUAUUGCCGAUGCUGAUGGAGGAAUAUUUGAAGACUACUGCCGAUGGAACGGAAGUCGAUGAUCGAGGAAGAUUUGAAGACUACUGCCGAUGAAGCUUAUGAUGACAAAAAGAAUGCUGAGGGAGCGGAAGCCUAUGAAAAUUUCAUUGUAAUUAAGGCGGACAAGGAAGUAGAUAGGUGUCGUUUUCCUUUUCUGUAUUUAUUAGAGUAUGACUCAUGUACGAGUCACGUUUUCCCUUAGAUAUGGACUCGGUGUUCUAGUUGUAUCUGGUCAUGUUUCUUCGGAUCAGGGUAUAAAUAUGGACCAAGGGACAAUGUAAAUGGACAUCAAUCAAUAUCAAAGCAAUUUUCCUCAUAUUUGCAUCUACUUAUUUUUUGGCAACUUCGUCAAUUUGCGUAUUUUUUUUCAAGAGUUCUCAUCGAUAAAACGAGCUAUAUCACUUUACUGCAACCUUCGACGAUCCUCGAGUUCCAUGUGAGUACCUUUUGGCCGUGGCUUCCACACGCAUCGCUGUUGUCAGGACCAAAGUACUCGAGUUAUCAUCCUUGUCGAUUAACAGGUCAAAUCGUCUAGCACGCUUUGGAUAUUGGAUUGGGUAUUAACCCUUUGUGUUUGCAGAUCCACUUUUGCAUCAACACUCAUAAUGGUUCUCCUCCAGUGGGGGUCAGGCUUGUGUUUAUAGGGGGACAUCUGACCCCUCCUCUACCAUGAACUAGUGAUGUGGUACUAAUCUUUCCACCCCCUAGGAGGAACCAUAGCCCUUAGAUCAAACCGAAUUAAACAUGCACUUAAGAUUAAUCCUUAAAGUCGAAGGAUUGGGAAUCCGUGAGACGGAGCCUGAUUGGCUGCGGUAGUUGGGCAGCCGCCCAAGGUGGUGGGGCGGGUGCCCAUCUCGUGUGGCUGUUUGCCUUCCCGUUUGUUCUGAUGUCUUCUCGAAACUUUUAUACUCCAGAAAAGUGUAUUUUCUUGUGAAAUACAUAUUUCUUCAUCUAAGACUCCAAAUAGGGAAAAUGAUAUAUGGAUUUCGAUCAUCUCGACGAGCCUGUCGCAAUGGUGCAGUCUCAUACAUCAAUUGAGAUACUUUUAUUCAAUUAUUAGUUUGCCUUUAGCUCUUUUCCUAUGUGACCCCUACAAAACAUAGAUGCACCAAUACUCGUAGAAUUUGUUAGUUGAAACCUCUAAACCAAUGUUUGUGAGCAUCUCUUUGUAGUUAUAAAAGUUAUGUUGAUGGUUAAAAAUAGGAGUUAACUACCAUCAACAGGCGUCCAAAGCAAUGUUGGUUUGAUCCAAUGGCCAGAACAUGUUGUCAAAUGGAUCAUGGUCUUCCAACACAUGACAAAGCGGUACUCCAACACGUGUCUUACUAGAAACCGACCUUAGGAGAUCAUCUAGACUGUCGGGAGCAAAGGCGGUUACCUAGGGGUGGCUCCUGUCGUAGAUCCCUAGAGCCCACUAGGGGGAGUGGCGCCUGCCACCCCAUUCUGAUACCUAUCACUCCUCUUCACUCCCUUGCGAGCUCCUUCCACCAGAAUACUCCUUGGCCUAUAGAAGGACCACCUUAGCCACUGUUUUGAAGGGGAGAAAAGAGGCUCAAGCAUAGCAUAGAGCUUAGUGCAAGUGUUAGCAUAGUAGCUCCCUCGCUUAGGUAGCCAGCUUAGCUCUAUAGCCUCUCUGCCUCUAGCUCAGCUUUGCUCUAGCAGUUGGGAGUUGUAAGCGGGAGGAGUAGCCAGGCGUAGCACAGCUUGGAGACGAAAGAGUCUUCCUCCUCUCCACUCUGGUCUUAUACCUUUGCUAUCUUAGUACUCAUUUGUUUGUCAUUUACCUUUGGUAUACUGAGUGCUAUUUACCUUUCAAGUACUUAGUUUAUAGUGAUCAUAUCAUUAGUGAGCUUAGGAGCUUGAUUAUGUUGGGUUAAGUGCUUCGUUCGUUUAGUGUUAGUUGUUCAAGCUAGUACUGCUGUGUCAUUUGGUUAGGGUGUCUUUACUCUAGAGCUUGGGUAAAGAUAGUCCGAGUUGGUACCUUAUAUGCCCUAGCAGACUUCGUAGUGGUAGAGACCGGAAAUGAUGAGAGAGCACCUAUCAUCCUAGGGAGGCCAUUCUUGAACACCACAGGAGCUAUCAUCUACGCUAGUGCUGCCAAGAUCAGUUUCUACAUCAAAGGGAGGAAGGAGACAUUUUUCUUCAGGAACAAGACUACACAAAUUCCAGAUCAAUCCAGACGUGAAUCAAGGAAGAGGACCAACAGGAGGAACAGGAACAAGCAAGUGUGGACCGAGUCAGCUAAGAUGGUCACUGCAAUUCAUGGAGGCCAAGAUCAUCAACUCAAGUCACCGUUUUUGACCAAGAAGGACGACCCAGGAAUGCCAAGCAUCUACUGCUCCAUAAAUGGAUACAACUUCUACAAGGCAACUUGUGACACCGGAUUGGGCGUCAACAUAAUGGCCGCAGUCACCUAUCGGCUCUUGUUCGGAACCAUGCCCUUAAGACCAACAUACAUUCAGCUCCAGAUGGCAGAUCAGACAUUUCGAGAAGUUAAAGGAACAGUAACUGAUGUCCCUGUCAAAAUAGACGAUCAUUUUGUCUACACAGACUUUUAAGUUAUUGACAUGGGAGAAGAUGAAUAUGAUCCACCCAUCAUCCUUGGUAGACCGUUCCUUAGCACCGUUAAAGCAAUCAUCUACAUUGGAACUAGAGAAGUCCAUAUGCACUUCCCCUCAGAGAAGGUACGCCGUUAUUUUACUGACCCUAACUAUAUCGUUGAAGAAUCUAAGCAGGUCAGAAAACGACGCAACCACAACCAGAGGAGGCAGAUCAUCAAGGACGGAUGGGCAGACUACGAAGGAGAAGUUGUAAGGUCAGAAGACGUAGAGUUUAAACAGAAUUAUCCAGAGGAGAUUGAAGCACCGAGUCAGGUAUGAAAAAUGAAGAUAACUAUACAUGAAGAGGAGGCGCUGCCGGAAGUACCGACUACGCCACCCAACGAAUCUCAGGACAAUUGAGAAAAUGGAGAGUCCCGUUCGGUGGACUUAAAAACACCAAACGCCUUGCCAAGAGGUAAACUUGGUAGUUAUCCUUUCCCUUUCAAUUAUUUCCAAUAGUUUACUUAGUUAAUCAUAUUCAUACUAUCUUAAAAAGAAAAUAAAAAUAUGAAAAUCCGUAAGCCCCAUGUGAGUAUACGAGUGGCAUAAAACCCACAAGUACAUUCACUGUGGUGGCAUAAAAAUAAAAUAAAAAUUUCUUUUCUGCUUUAUAAAAAUGAAAAUAUAAAAACAGGGAGUAAUAUUUAUCAAGGAGUCUCAACAUGAUAAAGGCAAGAUAUUUAUGCUAACACUUAACCUGUUCCACAAGCUUUGUUGUCUAUUUGAGCUCCACAGAAUUUAAGAAUCAAGAAGACUAGCAGACGAAGGACAUUCUAAUCACUGUCAGAAUGCUGCUGACAUUCAAAUACACCUCUGCCACCUGCUAGCUACAUCAAGAGAAAUUACGUCAAAAUUCAGCUUGGGGGAGAGCACCCUCAUUUAUCUCGAUAAGUAUUUCUAUCUAUCUAUCUUUAUACUUAUAUUAUUUUAGAAUUUAAAUAUAUAUAACUAUAGAAAACCAAAUAAAGAUUUUGUGCUUAUAUAUAAGCUUAGUGUGUUUAAUAAAUAAAUAAAGUAGCUAUGCUAAUCUGUAUCUAAAUCAAGCAUGGAUAUGAUGAAUAGUUGGUCUGCCUAAUUUGCAAAUUUUAAGUUCUCUCUCAAGUUUAGACAUAACUGUUAUAAUUUAAGGCUUGCUCUAGACCUAAACUUGUGGGAUGAAAACUUGAUCUGAAGUCUAAGUUGUUAACGGAUACGAUAUGGGAAGGUUGAGCUGCUAUUUAUCUGUUCCUAGAGAUGCGAGAAUUCUGGAGUUCCUAUAUGAUGAAAGUUUAAAUUCCUACCACAGCCAUAUAUACAUGCUUGCUAGACUUUGAGCCACACAUUUACUAUUUACUGCUUAUGAGCAUUGAGUGUGGUCAAGCUGUGUAGACCCUUAGGAGCUUGUCAUGUGGUUAAAUCAAGAUUUCACUUGCACGUUCACUCAUAUAUGCUACUUCUACUCCGGAAGUACCAUCCACAUAUAUCCACCCAUUUUCAUCUCCAGAACCACCCAAAAAUAUUCUACUCCUAAUCCAGGAGAGAAUGACCAAAAAUAUUUCUAUUUUUCCCUUGUGAAAUAAAUCCUCAAGUUAUCUUGUUACUACCACUUGCUAUAUUAUCUCAAGAGAUGAGUGCUCUAAGAAAAAAAAGAGAGAAUAUAUAUAUAUAUAUAUAUAUAUAUAUAUAUAUAUAUAUAUAUAUACGAGGAAAUAUAAAGAAGCAAGUGCUCGGAACCUUGAAAGAAAAGAAAAAAGUGAGACGAGAGGUAAAAAUGGACAAGUGUCCGACAGUAGAAUUAGGGGUACAAGAUACCCACCUAAGAGAAAAGUGUCGGCGUUUUCCCCCCGAGCGGUCACGUCAACGAGUAAAUUAGUAUGCGUGCUCCCUUUCCCAGAUGGUGAUGCAAGAAGACACAAAGAUUUAUCCUUGUUCGGGCAAGAGAAGGCCCUACGUCCAGCGGAGGAAGGAGGUUCGUAUUAUCUUGCACCUAAGUGCUUGUACAGGGGUGAAUACAAGUGUGGUAUGAAGUAUGGGAGUUCUACUGCGUAUGGGCGUAGUGUCCCUAUCCGUUCUAUUCCUGAGUCCCUCCUUUUAUAGCUCUAAGGAGAGACCUAGGGUACAUGCGUAGAUGUCAGAGUAGGGGUCGAUAGCAGCAUGGAGCGCUGACCUACUUGAGGCUUCCGUACCGGCAUGGCCUCGAGCCGUCCCGUCUGGAUAGUCUGGUGAUGAUUACGCGUGCCCCUGCAUUCUGCUCUACGCGCCGUCUUGGACUGGUUUACCGGUCGCACGCCUGUACGAUAUGGCGGCAAAUCCGGCGGAGUGGUUGAGAUGUAGUCAGUCGACGCCCAACUCGUCCCCAUGAAGGAACCCUGUCCGGUCGAGGGUCGGACGUCGUGUAACGUGCUGAUAUCCGGAGCGCUGACCAUGGAUGUCUCGAGGGGGUCCCGAUUGGACGUUCCAUCCUUGUUUCCCGCAUCCUGACACAUCCUGGGACGUUCGGCAGGGAAGGCUGCAAAAAGAACGAUGGGACGGGUGCCUGUUUCCUAUCACGCUUCCCGUGACCAGUGUGUUAGGUGGGAAAACGGCACGUGUAUUAAAUGCCCUGGCUCUCGUGCGCGCGUCAGGCGGCGGACAGUGUCCCUGCGCUCGACGCUUUCCGUUUUGCUCGAGCCCGCUCCCGUAUUCAACGGUAGCUAGCGCUCGACCCCUGAUUGAUUCGUUCGACACUAUUUCCGUCUUCGAGGCUACGGCCGUCGAUGGCAGCGCAUGUGUACGGCCAGAGCGUCGAGUCGAGGGCCUCGUCCUGCGUACGGAUAGUCUCAUUACGUGCAUCGGUGAGGGUACCCCUUAUUGAUACCCUCGACAGUAGCCCCCGAGUCUCCAUUUGAGCGCUGGCGCUCGAGUGGAGGCUUUUACUCUUGGGUCGAGUUUCCGUGGGGGCGCGCGAGCGACCCCGCGGGGGUAGCCCCCGAGCCCUUGAAGCAGUUUUUUACUCCUUCGAGGGUUAUACUGCCUAUUUUGCAGAAACACUAUCGACACCAGUGGUGGAAGGUUCUGAUUGGCUUGCUUUGCAUGGAGGUUUCGACGUACUCUCGAUAGAGCGAGCGUCUUCCACCCCAGAUCGAGUUCCUAGCGGGUAGUCCAAGUGAGAACCUGUGCCCCUUUCGAGGGGGUCAGCUGUAGCCCGGAGGCGUUCUCAUAAAGUAGGGUCGACGUGGUCGGGGAUACCGGUCUCAUUCGAUAGAGUCCAGCGGCUCGAUGCCUCCCGUCGGGGGGAUUCCUCUCGACUGUCUCGACCCUACCUUGAACAUCCCUAGCGAGUCUUCGAGGCAGGCCUCGAUCUUCGACCGCUCGCUGGGGAUCCCUGACUCCGGUGCUCGAGAUCGGCUGUCGAACCCUUUCGGUGGGCCAGCCUGCGACCUCUCGAGGCUUUCGCGGGUACGCCCCUUGGCUUACUAGGGAAGGAAGCUGCCGUGGCGGUUCGCCUUUUUGCCCGUUGGGCGCGCCUUUUUAGGCGGAUGACGUUACGACACUGCGUCGGCGUGGAAUUCGGAGCGCCCCGCCUGUGAGGCGAGAGAGACUGUUAGGUGGCGCAUUUAAGGGGGGCGUUGCCUCAUUUCUCGGAUCUAUCCGUUGGCGGAUCGUUGCCUAUAAAUACGCCGUGGCACCGCCGCCGCUCUUCCUUCUUCCUUCCGCCUCCUUGCCUUCAUCCUUUCGUCGCCUUAAUUCUCUUGUUGUCUUACUCACGCGUGCGCCCCUUCUAGCAAUAGCGAAUCCACCGUCCUUUCAGCCAAGAUGCCAAUGACACUCGUCGCCACCGACGACUAGCGCCCGUCGUCGAUGACGGAGCGCCGGGUGCUAGAGCUCAAGAGCGAGGGACUCUUGCGUCGCCGCACCUCGCUGUCGUCGCCAGAGUGGAUCGCGUCGCCGGCGGGCCACAGGGAGCCCCAGCCGCCCGAGGGCUACGUGGUGUCGUUCGCCAAGUUCCACCGCCACGGCCUGGGCACUCCCCCGAGCCGCUUCAUGCAGGCCCUCUGCUUCCACUAUGGGGUGGAGCUCCAGCAUUUCUCCCCGAACGCCAUCACCGUCGCGGUGGUCUUCGCCGCAGUGUGUGAGGGCUAUCUGGGGAUGAUGCCCCACUGGGAUCUGUGGCUCCACCUCUACAGGGGUGAGCUUUUCAAUGCCCCCACCGGAACCAUCGGCGUGAGGAAGCACGUGCGGGCUGGGUGCCUCAACCUGGUGCUGAAGACGAAGAAGACGGAGAGGCCACGCGAGUAUAUCCCAGUGGGGCUGUCGUCAAACCAUGCUGGGUGGGACUCCCAAUGGUUCUACUUGAGGAACGACGACGGUCUCUUCCCCGGUUACACGGGCCGUCUGAUUACAGAGCGCCCGGACAACUGGACGUACGGCGUCGUCCAAGAGCACCAGUCGCGGCUCGACCCCCUCCUCGACGCCAUGAAGAAGCUGCGCCUGGAGGGCCUGUCCGCCGCUCUCGUCCUCUCGGCCGUCCAUCGUCGAAGGGUCCUCCCUUUGAUGUCUCGGCCGUUGAGGAUGGACGAGAUGGGGCCGGGCGUCUCGUCCCGGGAUCUCAAGGCCUGCCGGAUGUCCAACGUGGCUCUGGCGGACGAUGAGAUCGCUGCCCGGGUUAGGGCGGCCAUCGCCGGUGACUUUAAGUCGAAGCACGUCAACGGCUUCCCUAUGAGGCCCGAUGAAGGUUCGGUCGACCUAGUAUGUUCUUUCCUCGCACAUAGCUCCGAUUCUGGAGUUUCCUCGAUUCUUUUUUAAACCUUCCUUUACUCUGGCAGGGACGUAUUGAUGUGCGGUCCUCGAGGCCCCUGUGAAGGAGGACGAGGUCGAUCGUGACAGGCGGCGCCAGUCCGCCGAAAAGCUAAAGUCCGCCAAGGACUCCGCAAAGAAAGGGGAGAAGAAGAAGAACCUCGACCGCCAAGCUUUUGAGGCGCGUCGAGCCAAAUCCAGGCAGAGGGGGGAGCCUGAGGAAGAAUCUCCCAGUGACGACGACGAUGACGACGAGGACAGCGACGACUCUGAGGGGAUGGCGUCACGUCUUGACCGGAUCCUCGAAGGCCCGCCUCGAGGUGAUGUCGACGUCCCCCGGACGGAGACUCCGAAGGAGGGCCCCAGCAGGUCCCACCGCCCUCGGGCCGACAUGCCUCCUGCGCCCUCGACUGGCCAGGUCACGCCGCGCCCUCCCCCCGCGUCCAGGGGUGGUGGCCAUGCUAGGUCCCAGGUGAUGGGGCCACUGACUCGUGGUCGCGCUGCGGCCUCCAAGAAAGGAGAGGCCGGCCGCAGGAGCACCAGUCCCGGCGCCCGCUACGCGGGAAUUGCUGCGCCAGGGCCAGUGCCUGUGCUCGUGGGGCCCGGAGCCUUGACGCGGGGUGGCUCGAGGCCCACCGGUCGGGGCACCAGUAGGCGAGCUGUUUUUCCCGUAGGGUAAGCUUUUUGAAGUUGUGACUUCCAUUCCCUCGCGUUUCCUUGUAUUCUGGUCUUUUCUUGCUCGUUUCCUUCUUUUUAGGCUAGAGCGGACGCUCGAGCAGGCCCAGCCCUCAAUGGCAAAGAGGCUCAAAGUGGGAGCUGCCUCCAAGGAGCCAGGUUCGUGGCUUACUUUAGGUACUCGUGAUGUUCUUCUAUUGGUCGUCAUAGUGACCGGCUUCUGUUCUUUGUUUUGCAGGCUCCUCCGACCCACGUCCUCCGGCCAACGCUGAGAGCGCCCCGCCUCGUCUCGAGCCUGCCCCGUCGCCGCCGGCGCGGGUCGAGGCGCCCCAGACUCAGGUGCAAGGAGGAGCCCCCGAGCCUCCCCGAUUGGGGGUCGAGGCGGAACCCAUUACCAUCAGCGACAUGUCUGGUGGCAACGAGACAUCGGGGGAUGCCCACCCUUUGGAGGAGGAGGCGUCGACGUCCCUCAUCGUGGGACGGACCCCCUGGCCCGCUGGUCUCCGCGCCCUCGAGGAGCAGAAGAAGAAAGGGGAGGAGGAUGAGGAGUGGGAGCGCGAGGCAACGCGGCAGCCGCAGGAGCAUGAGGAGCAACAACAGCAACAGCAGCAGCAGCAGCAACACAAGCAGGAGCAGCAACAGCGAUAGUAGCAGGUGGAGCACCAACAGCAAGCGCUCGAGGUGGAGUGGCAGCAGCAUCAGGGGGGCCAAGAAGAAAAGCCGCUUGAGCCCUUGCCUCAAGAUCUGCCUCAACCAGUGCCGUCGGUGCCACAAGAGCCUGGCGAGCAGGAAGAAGAUUUGCCGGUGUACGGCCCCCCGACCCUAGCGUGGCUCCUUCCGGGGGCGCCCGCCGCGAUCCAGGUAGAGCCGGGGCGAGCGGAUGGUGUGGUGGCGCUUGCCUGCCUGAUGCGCACCCCCACCGACCCCGAAUCUGAGAUCAAGAGGACGAUCUACGGCAUGGACGGGAUCGCCCCAGGGUUCCUCCAGGAGCGUCGAGCGUGGGAGGAUCGAUUUCCCUCUGAGGAGGACGAGAUUGGGACGUCGGGAAGCAAGGGCGGUACCUAGAAGACGGUGGAUGACGACGGGCGGUUCCCAUGCCUCGUCGAUCUGUUCCUGCACCGCGGGGGCUCCCUCGAGACCGUCGAGAACCUUAUCCGCGGUGUCAAGGCGCGGGCUGAUCGAGAGAUGGAGAACCGGUGCCCCGAUCGGAUUCGUAUCUGAGCUUCCACCGACCCGUCCGAGCCCAACAUCUUCCUCGACAACAAGAAGGAGGCCAAGAAGUGGGAGCAUGUCGAGGAGCUCCGCCUUUGGAUGAAGCACGUGGUGGGGCUCCUGUCGGACAUCAUCAACAACGGGCUCGGGCCGGCUUAUUUUGUAAGUGUUUUUUGAUCUUUGAUCUUCAUGGAACCUUUUGGUUUUGUGUUCUAACUGUUCGACCGCCGACUCGCAGGACAUGAAAGAGACCUCCCGCACCAAGUCGAGCUUCAUUCACGCCACAAGAGGCGGCUGGGAGCAGCUCCCUGUCCUCAAGGACCGACUCCUCGAGUCGCAGGAGAAACUCCUCAAGGCUUAUAAAGACCUCAUAGUGCUCGAGGAGAAGAAGAAGGCGAGGGAGGCUGCUUUGGCCGAGGCUCGAGAGGCCUCAAGAAAGGCGGAGGAGGAGACGACGCUGCUGCGGGAGCAGGCUCUGACGGUCGAGGAGGCCGCGUCCAGAGCCCGGGAGGAGGCCCUGUCCUACAAGAGUGUUAUUGCGAAUCUGGACAAAGAGAAGGGCCUUCUUAAAACCGACCUGGACUCUCUCCGAGAGUCCUUCCAAAAGAUGAAGGUGGAGCACGUGAACGGCGAGAUCGCCAGGAGCGCCGCGGAGGAAGCCAAGAGGAAGGCCCUCGAAGAUCUCGAGGCGGAGCGUGUUCAAUCCUGCAGGCUCUCUGACGACGUCGAACGUCUGAAGGGAGAGCUGUUGGAGAAGAGUGGGGCCAUUGCUCAGGCUGGCAAGGCGAUCGAGGAUCUCCGCGUUGCCAACACUGAUCUGGCACGUUCCAACAGAGAGAUCGAGAGGGCCAACACCAGGCUAGUCGGCGAGAAUACGGCCCUGAGGAGAGCGUCCGUGGUACGUUUCCUUUGUCGGAUUUCUUUUUCGAGGUGUACUUGGUUUUUUCUAAAGUUUCUUGCAUUGGCAUUUACAGGGCUUAAGGACGAACUCCUAGCCGCCCAAGUCGAGGCCCGUAAUGCUAAGGCCCAGCUCGAGGCGGAGGUUGCUUUGAAUCGUCGCGUGCGGACGGCGAUAAGCGACCUCUCGACCUCUUGGGAGGUCGAGCCUAUGGACGAGUCGAGGGAGGGAGCUCGAGGCGACGCACUGGUCGACCAGCUGUGCUACUUAGGCGCGACGCUGAGAGACCGAGUGCGGGACGCCCUCCAUAUCGGGGUGAAGCGGGCGAUGGCAGUUGUCUGCUCGGGCUUCUCCAAUGACAUGGAGGUGGUGUCCCACGGCUUCGUCACCGACAUCUCCAAAACCGGCGUGGAGAACGAAGAGAGGCUCCAUGCCUUGAUCGACGACGCGGAGGCUCCUGGGGAAAGGCUGGCUAAGCUUUUUGAGCCUGAGGUGCUUCCUCCUAAGACUGGCUCUGGUGGAGGCAGGGGCGGUGAGGAUCGUGCCAUGGACUGAGGCCUGCGAGCCUGCUCAGGGUGCCCGGGGCCCCUUGUAUAAUACUUUGUUAACAUGCUUUUUAAGUGAUGCAGUGUCUUUAAAUAUUUUUUAAAUGUUUAUCUGUCUUUCCGCUCGAGGCUUUUUGUUUCUCUUCGCGCCUACGUUUGUAUUCCUUGUUCAAUCUUUCGUCAAAAACAACCUCGAUCACCUCAAGGGUAAGGAAGUGAGUAGAGUUUCCGUAGCCCGGGGGCGUAGGAGUUCUCAGGCUCGUUGUCCCUCGGCCUUUGAGGGGCUCGAGGCGCCUUAGCUACUCGAGUCGUGCAAGGUUUACUAAGUAAGAAGAGAAAAUUUCUUUGCUUUUUCAACGCUUGGGGGGGGUCGUCCCCCUGGUAGCCCCCGAGGGGGUGUUGACUAUGAUGGGUCAUAGUCGGCGCCUCCUCCUAACGUCGAGAUUAUGACUUAUAAAGCCUUGGUAUAAGAAGAAGUUGCUCGAGGGAAAGACUUCAUUUAUUCACGCAUUCGUUUACAAAGUCUCGGUACAAAAUGUGCGUAGGAACAUAAGUUUUGAACUUCUAGGGGUAGAAUCGACGUAGCUGUUCGAUGUUCCAUGAUUUGGUGAAGACCGCCCCCUUCUCGUCUGCUAACUUGUACGUUCCUGGCUUCAAGACCUCGGCCACCACGUACGGGCCUUCCCAAGGCGGAGUCAACUUGUGGCGUCCUUGAUUGCUUUGCCGUCGUUGCAAGACAAGGUCGCCCACGUUCAAGUCCCUCUUUCGUACGUGUUUGUCAUGGUAGCGUCGAAGCUUCUACUGGUAUCUGGCAGAGUUGAGGAGGGCCAUGUCUCGAGCCUCCUCAAGCUGGUCGACCGCAUUCUCUUGAGCUUCCUUAUUCGACUGCUCGUGGUAUGCCUUGAGUCGAGGAGAUCCAUACUCGAGGUCCGUUGGGAGCACGGCCUCAGAGCCAUAGACCAUGAAGAACGGGGUGUAUUUGGUGGCCUGGCUUGGCGUCGUCCUCAAACUCCAUAGGACCAAGGAAAGCUCCUCGACCCACUUCUUGCCGAAUUUCUUCAGGCGAUUGUAGAUCCUUGGUUUGAGCCCCUGCAAGAUCAUGCCGUUGGCACGCUCGACCUGGCCGUUAGUUCGAGGGUGAGCCACCGCGGACCAGUUCACACGGAUGUGAUGCUGAUUGCAGAAGUCCAAGAACUUUUUGCCGGUGAACUGGGUGCCGUUGUCGGUGAUGAUCACGUUAGGGAUUCCGAAUCGGUGUAUGAUGUCGGUGAAAAAGAGGACGGCUUGUUCGGAGCGGAUGUUGGUGGUGGGUCGAGCCUCGAUCCAUUUGGAGAAUUUGUCGAUGGCCACCAGCAGGUGGGUGUAACCCCCUUUCGCCUUUUGUAGAGGUCCUACUAAAUCGAGCCCCCACACCGCAAACGGCCAGGUGAUGGGGAUCAUCUGAAGAGCGUGGGCGGGCAGAUGUGUCUGUUUGGCAUAGAACUGGCACCCAUGACAUGAGCGUACAAGCUCGAUGGCGUCUGCCAUGGCCGUUGGCCAGUAGAAACCUUGUCGAAAGGCGUUCCCCACGAGGGUCCGUGGAGCAGCAUGGUGGCCGCAAGCCCCCGAGUAUAUGUCCUCGAGGAGUUUUCGGCCUUCUUCUACGGUGACGCAACGCUGUAAGACCCCUGUCGGGCUUCGUUGAUAUAGCUCGUUGCCUUCGCCAUAGAUCACGUAUGACUUGGCCCGUCGAGUGACGCGGCGGGCCUCUGAUCGAUCUUCUGGCAGCUCGUAGCGGAUUAGGCAGUCGAGGGACGGUGUGCGCCAGUCAAACGGUCGACCUGGUCGCUGUUCUACCUCCAUCACCUCUGCUGCCGUCAGUAGUGCGUCAACGGUGUCGGUUGGCUGGGCGGGAGCGGCAUCGACGCCAGCCCCCGAGCUCAAGUCGACAGAUAGUUCGUGGAGAUCUCUUGAGAACGCGUCAGGUGGCACCGUGCCUCAGGUCGACGCGAUCUUGGCGAGUUCGUCGGCUGCCUCGUUGUAGCGUCGGGCGACAUGGACGAGCUCGAGGCCAUGGAACUUGUCCUCGAUUCGACGGACUUCCUUGCAGUACGCCUGCAUUUUUGGGUCGUGGCAGCUUGAAGUCUUCAUCACUUGGUCGAUGACAAAUUGGGAGUCACCUCGGACGUCGAGGCGUCGGACUCCUAGCUCGAUGGCGAUCUUAAGACCGUUGACAAGGGCCUCGUAUUCUGCGACAUUGUUGGAUGCGGCAAAAUGAAUCCUGAUGACGUACCUCACAUGGAUGCCCAAGGGCGAGACGAACAGCAGGCCAGCCCCGACCCCCGUCUUCAUGAGCGACCCAUCGAAAUACAUCGUCCACAGCUCAGACUGGACCUGAGUCGGGGGAAGCUGGGAGUCUGUCCAUUCCGCGAUGAAGUCCACCAGGGCUUGCGAUUUGAUGGCCUUGCGGGGCGCGUAAGUGAGAGUCUCACUCAUGAACUCGACCGACCAUUUAGCUACUCUUCCCAUGGCCUCCUUGCUCUGGAUUAUCACGCCCAAGGGAAAGACGAGACCACCGUGAUGGGGUGGCCGAGAAAGUAGUGCUGUAGCUGCGGCGGGCGAGGAUUACGGCGUAGAUCAGCUUCUGGAUUUGGGGGUAACGUGCCUUGGUCUCCGAAAGCACUUCGCUGAUGAAAUAGACUGGCCUCUGGACUGGCAGCGCAUGCCCCUCCUCCUGCCUCUCGACCACCACCGCUGCACUGACGACCUGGGUCGUCGACGCAACGUAAAGGAGCAGUGGUUCCGCAGGUUGAGGUGGGACCAGGACUGGUGCUGAGGUCAGCGUUUUCUUCAGCUUUUCGAGAGCUUCCUCGGCCUCGGGGGUCCAAGAAAAACGCUCGACCUUCUUCAAAAGUCGAUACAAUGGUAACGCCCUUUCUCCUAGUAUCGAGAUGAAACGGCUUAGAGCCGCCAGGCAUCCCGUAACUUUUUGCACACCCUUGAUGUCUCGGAUCAGCCCCAUUCUUGUGAUGGCCGAGACUUUCUCGGGGUUGGCCUCGAUGCCGUGCUGAGAAACAAUGUAACCCAAGAGCAUGCCUCGAGGCACGCCGAAGACGCAUUUCUCGGGAUUAAGCUUGAUCUGGUUGGUGCGUAGACAGCUAAAAGCGAUCGCGAGGUCCUAGACCAGGUCUCCUUGCCUUUUCGAUUUGACGACAAUGUCGUCGACAUAGGCCUCGACCGUCGAUCCUAUGUGUUUGUCAAAUACGUGGAGCAUGCAGCGUUGGUAUGUGGCUCCCGCGUUUCGAUGCCCAAACGGCAUGGUUACAUAGCAAUACAUCCCAAAAGGUGUGAUGAAAGAGGUCGCGAGCUGGUCGGACUCUUUCAUUUUUAUUUGAUGGUAACCAGAAUACGCAUCAAGGAAAGAAAGGGUUUCACAUCCCGCAGUAGAAUCGACAAUCUGAUCAAUACGUGGUAAUGGAAAAGGGACUUUCGGACAUGCUUUAUUUAAACUUGUAUAAUCGACACACAUCCUCAUUUUCCCAUUCUUUUUCUUAACUAAUACAGGGUUUGCUAACCAGUCGGGAUAAUGAACCUUGAUGAAUCCGGCCGUCAAAAGCUUGUGGAUUUCCUCGCCAAUGAUCCUGCGCUUCUCCUCAUCGAAUCGGCGCAACUGCUGCUUCAGUGGCUUGGAACCGGCUCGAAUUUCCAAGGAGUGUUCGGCGACUUCCCUCGGUAUGCCCGGCAUGUCCGAGGGACUCCAUGCAAACAUGUCGGCGUUCGUACGGAGAAAGUCGAUGAGCACAGCUUCCUAUUUGGGGUCGAGGUCGGCGCUGAUCGUUAGCACCUUGCCGUCGGAGUUGUUGGGGUCGAGCGGGAUCUUCUUGGUUCCCUCUGCUGGCUCGAAGUUGCCCGCAUGGCGCUUGGGCUCUGGAGCCUCAGCGACCAGGGCUUCGAGUUUCGCGACGAGCUCGGUGGAGUUCUCGACCGCCUCCCCAUACUCGACGCACUCGACGUCGCACUCGUAAGCGUGCUCAAAGGAGGAGGUAACAGUGAUGACGCCUUUGGGAUCGGGCAUCUUCAGCUUCAAGUAGGUGUAGUUGGGUAUGGCCAUGAACUUGGCGUAGCCCGGGCGCCCGAUGAUGGCGUGGUACGUGCCAUGGAACCCGAACACCUCAAAGGUGAUGGUCUCCUUCCUGAAGUUGGCCGCCGUGCCAAAGCAGACCGGUAGGUCGAUUCGACCUCCGGGCAACGCCUUUUUUCCUGGCACGAUGCUAUGGAAACCGCCGGCGCUUCGCUGGAGCCGUCCCCUAUCGAUGCCAAGGAGGUCGAGGAUCUCGAGGUAGAUGAUGUUGAGGUUGCUGCCUCCGUCCAUUAGCACCUUGGAGAGCCUGGUGUUGAUGAUGAUUGGGUCGAUGACGAGCGGGUAGACGCCUGGGGCGACUACCUUAUCGGGGUGGUCCUCUCGAUCGAAGGUGAUGGGGGUGCUCGACCAGCUGAGGUACUGGGGCACCGCCAUCCUUGCCGCGAAGACCUCACGGCGUUCCCUUUUGCGCUGCCUCGUGGUCAACUGUGUCGAAGGCCCACCAUAGAUCAUGUAGCAGUCGUGGACGGCGGGGAAGCCGUCGUCGUCCUUGUUGCCCUCUUUGUCGCCGCCCUUCUCCUUAUUCGAGUCGUCAUGCUCAUCCCUUUUGAACCCUAGACCGUCGAAAUGCCUUUUCAGCAUGCGACAGUCCUUGAGCUUGUGGUUGGCGCCUCCCUUAUGGUAAGGGCAUGGUUCCUCUAGCAUCUUAUCGAAGAUACACCCAUCUGGAGGGCCUCGAGGCUUCUUCCGCUCCAUGGCGGCGACAAGGUUGUCGAAAUCUUCCCGUUGCAACUGCCGUGCUUUCUGCUUCUUCUUGUUUUUCUUGAGCCCUCGACUGGGGGUUCCAUCUUCAUCGAUAGGCCGCUUGCCUUUCCCUCCACAGCUGAAGAAAGCGCCGACUGCCUCUUCCCCUGCUGCGUAGUUCGCCACUACGUCCAUCAGCUCAUCGACGGUCUGAGGGCGAUUUCGGCCCAGUUCCCGCACUAAGUCUCGACUGGUGGUACCAGAGACAAAAGCCAGGAUGACGUCAUGGUCAGGGAUAUGUGGCAGCUCAGUGCGCUGCUUCGAGAAGCGUCGAGCAUACUCUCGAAGAGUUUCUCCUGACUUCUGCUUGCAUUUGCUGAGGUCCCACGAGUUCCCGGGCCGUAUGUAGGUCCCUUUGAAAUUGCCCUCGAAAACAUUAACCAAAUCGACCCAGUCGUGAAUCUGAUUUGCUGGAAGUUCCUCGAGCCAUCGACGGGCGGUGUCAGAGAGGAAGAGCGGUAGCUAUCUGAUGAUGGCUCGAUCAUCUCCUCGAGCGCCACCUAACUGACAGGCCAGCCUAAAAUCGGCCAGCCAUAAUUCUGGUUUGGUCUCACCAUUGUAUUUCGCGAUGCUGGUCGGGGGUCGGAAUGGACUGGGCAGGGGUGUGCUGCGGAUCGCCCUGCUGAACACCCGUGGCCCUGGUGGCUCGGGGGCCACCCGGACCUCGUCGCUGUCAUACCUCCCACCGCGAUGUGCGCUGUAACCACGCUCUUCCGCAUCCCCGUGCCGGCGGCGUCGAUUCUCUUCGAUGUCAUGCCACGCGUCGUGUCGACGCUGAUUGUCGACGGGGAGAAUGAGAGCGGUCUUUCUGCCUCGAGGAGGAGGCUGUUGAUGGACUGACACCUCCUUUUCAUUUUGAGGCGGCUCGUCGUGCUUUUCAGUGGCAGCUCCUCGUCGUCGAGAAGCUGAGCUUUCGGCUUGUUGAACUGCCGCCACCUAGAGCAGAGUCUGUACCUCAUCUCAAAUGUGCCGAGCCUGGGAGUUCGACUGUUCUGGCAUGUUGCGCAGUAGCAUCGUCGCCGCCACUACAUUUUGGCCCGCUCGAGGGAAACGGCUGACGGGCUGCUCCGGCUCUGCGUCUCCAACGAUUUGUCAAUGUACCUCUCGAGCGCGUCUGCGGACACUUCCACCAGGCGGGUAGGGCAGGUCUUGCUCAAGGAUUUGCUCAUGCAGGACGAGGCGCUCACGGUCUUCAUCGAGCUUCAUCUUGAGCUCUCGUAGUUGUGCAAGUUGCGCAACCUUGUCUUCCUGUGGAGGGGGGUCGUCCUGUCCGUCGUUCCCAAGCGUCCUUGGGUCUUCCCAUGCUGCAGGGGCCCGACCGCCCGCUGCAGCAUCUUGCGUCUCGUCGGUAGUCUCUACUGCCCCGUCGACGUGAUAGCAUUCCCUCAUAGGGUCGUAGCCAUCUGUCUCGGAGUCGGAGUCCGGCUCGGCGGUGUAGAAGCGUCUCCGUCCCUCCUCCACCAGCCGUUGCCUGAGUGAGGUGAUCGUGUAUCGCCCAGGGCCUAGGCGGCGGAGGCCUCGCACCUCGGAGAAAUCUGGCAGUUCGGACGUCGGUCGUAGUGCCUCAGAGUUACGUGGGAGGACCAUUGGUCUCUCUACGUACGUCUGGGCGUUUGGGCAUAUUGCUCUGGCGAGCGACGCCGCGGCGUUGUCCAAUCCGAAUGGCAGUGCCAACCUGUGUGGAAGUAGCUUGGCGGCGGUGGGGGAGGUCGCGUGAGACACGUCCCCUCCCGUCGUCGUGCCGUGCUGAGCCGUCCUGCCCGUGGUUCCGGCAUAUGGUGCUGCCGGCUCAUGGCCCACCUCCUGCUUCGCACGAGUUGUCGGUCGUGAUGAAGCAGAGGAGCGGCGGUGAUGCUGUCCGCGCCUCUUCUUGGGCGGGGAGGCGUGGUGGCGAGGGCGUUUCGGGGCCCUCGACCGUGUUGGUGCAACACGGGUUCCUCUUGGUCCUUUGACUGAGAGCAAGAUCAUGUCAUAGCCGGAGCCCGUAGACAUGAACUCGAGACUCCCAAACCAAAUCACCGUGGAGCGUGGAAUCGGCGAGGCGAGAGCAGCCAUCUGGAAAGGAGUGGGAAAUCGAUGAAAAACACGCAGGACCCCUACCUGGCGCGCCAACUGUCGGCGUUUUCCCCCCGGGGGUCACGUCAAUGAGUAAAUUAGUAUGCGUGCUCCCUUUCCCAGAUGGUGAUGCCCCAUCUUUGUGUCUUCUUGCAUCACCAUCUUGAGGCUUCCGUACCGGCAUGGCCUCGAGCCGUCCCGUCUGAAUAGCCUGGUGAUGAUUACGCGUGCCCCUGCAUUCUGCUCUGCGCGCCGUCUUGGACUGGUUUACCGGUCGCACGCCUGUACGAUAUGGCGGCAAAUCCGGCGGAGUGGUUGAGAUGUAGUCAGUCGACGCCCAACUCGUCCCCAGGAAGGAACCCAAUCCGGUCGAGGGUCGGACGCCGUGUAACGUGCUGAUAUCCGGAGCGCUGACCAUGGAUGUCUCGAGGGGGUCCCGAUUAGACGUUCCAUCCUUGUUUCCCGCGUCCUGACACAUCCUGGGACGUUCGGCGGGGAAGGCUGCAAAAAGAACGAUGGGACGGGUGCCUGUUUCCUAUCACGCUGCCCGUGACCAGUGUGUUAGGUGGGAAAACUGCAGGUGCAUUAAAUGCCCUGGCUCUCGUGCGCGCGUCAGGUGGCAGACAAUGUCCCUGCGCUCGACGCUUUCCGUUUCGAUCGAGCCCGCUCCCGUAUUCGACGGUAGCUAGCGCUCGACCCCUGAUUGAUUCGUUCGACGCUAUUUCCGUCUUCGAGGCUACGGCCGUCAUUGGCUGCGCAUGUGUACGGCCAGAGUGUCGAGUCGAGGGCCUCGUCCUGCGUACGGAUAGUCUCAUUACGUGCAUCGGUGAGGGUACCCCUUGUUGAUACCCUCGACAAAAAGAAAAAAAGAGAAAAGCAUCUCAUUCUCCUCAUAAAGUUUCAAAAAGCAAGGAAGGUAUGUAUCCUCUCAAAAGAGCAAAGUAGAAUUAGACUUCCACCACCAUUGUUUCUACCAUUGUUUUCACCAUUGUUAUCACCAUCAUCACCAUACACCAUUCAUUCGCCACACAUGCACAUCUUGAUUUGGCUUAUUGAUUUGUUACUUUGGAUCCAUGGUUUGACUAUGCAAUACAUGUCUUGUAAGUAUGUAUACUUUAUCUCCCACCUAUGAGCCCCAGAUAUUAAAGCCUUAUUAGAGUAGGAUGAGAGAGAAGACAAUGUCACUAUGCUUUAUACCACAAAUACUACAUAUCUUGAGAGAAGGCAUAUACCAUCACUGCC